GGUAGUUCUGUUCCGUUUGUUAGGAACCCGGUUUAGUAGAUAACAAGCCGUAAGCAUGGCUUCACCCCAAAACUCAUUACUCAAACCUGAGUAUGACAACAUCGAAUUUACCAUCUCUUUCAAUGUUUGAUUCUACUUCUCAGCCACACCAUUCUGAUGUGGUGUGUAUGGAGCAGUGGUUUCAUGGAUGAUCCCCGCACUUUGAAAGUAUGUUGGAUCAUAGAAUUCCCCUCCUCGAUCAGUACAAAAUACUUUGAUCGAGAUACCUUGUUGCAAUUCAACUUCGGUUUUAAACACACGAAUUCAACUUCGGUUUUGAACACACGAAACUUCUCAAGGGCUUCAUCCUUUGAAUUUAACAAGUAUAGCAAUACCGAGAGUAGUCAUCAAUGAAGUUGAUGACAUACCUCUUACCUCCGAUAGUCGGAGUGCUAUGCAAGUCACACAAAUCGCUAUGUAUAAACUCAAGCAUCAGUGAUUUCUGUUGGAUACUAGUGAAAGGCUGACGAGUAAUUUUAGUGAGCAUACACGUUUUACAUCGUUCAGCAUUGACAUCAAAGGAGGGCAGAAUCCCUUCUUUCGACAUUUCAGUUAGACGUUUGUAGUUAACGUGUCCUAACCGACCAUGUCAUAAGGAGAAGUCAGAGGUACCAACCAAGAAAGCAUGAUCAUUAAUAAUAGUAUUAUUAAUAUUCAGCAUAAACAUGCCAUUGUUAUAGUGGCCGAAGCCUACAAACACACCACCUUUAGAUAAUACAUAUCUAUCAGAUUCGUACACUUAUUUGUAGCGUAUAGCCAUAUCUAUUAAGCAUACUGUCUGACACUAAGUUCUUCCUAAUCUUAGAGACGUGAAGUACAUCUCUAAGCUCUAGAUAUUUUCCAGAACCAAGUUCCAACAUCACCAAUCCACGUCCAACAAUAGGGGUUGUGACUCGUUGCCCAUGUGAAGUACAACAUCAUCAUCUGAUGCCUCGUAUGUUUUGAACCAGUGACGAUCCUUGCAUACAUGUCUGUUGGCACCUGAGUCAAUCCACCAUGCCACUUCAUCAUCCUGCACAUAGAAUGCUUCCGAUAUUAGUGAAACAGAAUUCACAGCAAUAUCUAAAUUAAGGUCUAAGAACCGACCUUUCGAAGUGGAUGUCCCUUGAUCUUUCGAUCCAGACUUGUGACGCUGUUUGUCGUGAUUCAGACUCUUGUUCGUGGGACAGUCACGUUUGAAGUGCCCCGCUUUCCCACAUAUCUAACAAGAAACUUUCGUUUUCUUGUUCGAGUCUCCUUUGGUGUUUCUCCAAGGGCGUUUCUUGCCCUUCCGUCAAGCAGAUUGCUCUUCUUCUUCUGUCAUAUGAACAGAUGAAGAAUCCUUUCGUUUCCCACUUUCUUGCAUCCGUAGAGCCUCCUCUAUCCGCAAGUGGCUUCCAAGUUGGAUCAGGGACAGUUCCUCCUUCUCUUGCUUAAGCAUGUGCUUAAAGUCCUUCCAUGAAUAAGGAAGCUUGUCGAUUAUGCAUGACACCGAGAUGGCCUCAUCCAUCUUCAUAUCAUGUUGGGAAAACUGUCCCAAAAUCCGAAGCAUCUCAUUGUAUUGCUCCAUGAUCGGUCUGGUCUCGACCAUUUUGUAAUUUAGGAAAUUACUAACCAGGAACUUCGUGCUAGAAGCGUCCUCAGCCAAAUACUUUGACUCCAGUGCAUCCCACAACUCGUGGGCCGAUUCAUAAUUUUGAUAGAUAUCAAACAAUGAAUCCGCCAUGCCAUUCAGAAUAUGGCCAUGACAUAUGUAGUCGUCAUUGUCCCAUUUUUGCUGCUUCCGUACUCGUUCCUCCUUCUUCUUCUCGUCCGUCUCUGCCUCCUCCUCAAGCUCCGAAGGAUAAGGUGUAGAGAGAACAUACACAACCUUCAAAGUAGUGAGAAGGAAGUGCAUCUUCUUCUGCCACCAACGGAAAUCCACACCUUCAAACUUCUCUAGUUUGCCAAAUGACGAUGUCAUUUCCUUGAUUGCUGCAACCUUGGACAUGGCAAAUACUCUUUUCAAAAGUGGUGUCGACGAUUCCGUCUUGAUCCUAGAUCUCAUCACCUAUCAAAACUCGAACGAUUGCUACUUGGAACCUCCUAAGCUAACACUCAGCAAUUAAUCUCACAAGAAACCCAAAUUAGGAAAACUGAGAAAACUACGAAUCGAAUGAAAAUAGGACAAUCGAGGCAACAAACUAAUAAAACACAUCAUCAAUCAAUAUGAAUCCACAAUCCUAUCACUACACACAAGAACAAUUUCACAAAUCCAAAGGAUUUCACCAAACCCGAAUAAGAAGAAAACCUAGCUAUCCAUAAGAACUGUAGAGAAUUUUAUCGAAGUAGGAAGUAGAUUCUUUCUCGGACUUCAAAUCUUUGACUAUUUAGUUUCAAAUCUUCAUUUUUAUGGUGCUCCUAGACUGUCAAGCAAUCACCCCUUUAUCACUUUGUGGUUUAAUUUUAUCUUCAUGGCUCUUUUUCCGCAAUAAUUCUAAAUUGGAGCUAAAAUAAAGUUUUUGUCCAGACUAGGCAUCACGACUGUAACAGCUUAACCAUCAUGGCCGUGACAAGUUGUGUCACGGCCGUGACUGGUCAACAACAGAAUCACCCGACUUCUUUCGGCCAUAAAUUCUUCAUCCGAACUCUGAUUUCGCUUCAGAAGGUAUCAUUGCCUUCGUAGUCAAACCCUCUUUCCAACGGAUACCUGCACUCAAGGAAGAAACUCCAAGAAACAAAUGAAACGAACUAAAAUGAUUCGUUCAAAAGAAAACAAGCACGAAAUGCAAUAAUAAUCAAAUCGGACACUUCUACCAAGCAAAUAUCUUCAAAAUCGAAACAACCAUAAGUCACAGUGGGAUCAAAACGGCUACCAAUAAUCAAGCUAUGAGUGAGCAAACUUAAGCUUCUUCGAAACUUUCUGAUAUCGUACUCUCGAUUUUUGAAAUGGUAACAGAGCCUAGGUAAUCCACCAUCCAGAAAUGCUUUAAAAAUUGCUAACUUACAAGAUGUGAUUGAUGCGUGUAGCCAGGAACCGUUGUCUGUGACGCAGUAUUAUACUAUCAUUAAGGCCUCGUGGGAGGAGUAUAGUCAGUUUGCUCCAAUUGUUCCUUGUACUUGUGCCCCUACGAAUACUGCAGCUAUUUGUCCAGCAGUGGUUACUUUUCAGGAAAAACAAGAUACAGAUUACUUCAUCAAGUUCAUUCGAGGUUUGAAUGCGGAGUUUGACAUUGUGAAGACUCAUUUGCUCAUUAUGGAACCCUUGCCUUCGAUCACUAUAGCCUAUGAUCACGCAUUGCAACAUGAAGAAAAAAUUAAAGGGGGAGUCACCUUAGGCAAGGAAGCCAUGCAUGGCACACCAACAGCGUUUGUAGUGUCCUCUCCCCCUGGUAAAGAGGUUCCUACAGCUCUAGCUGUCUUCAAUUCAAAAUUUUCUGCAUCUGAAAAGUCAGCCCCAAAGAAGUUUUUUCGAUACUGUCUCAAGGAAGGGCACAUAUUGGAGGAAUGCAACAAACUGAAGUGGAAAACGAAGCAGCAAGAGCAAGAACGUCUAGCUGGUGGGAACCCUAACCAUUUUGCUGGUACUGUGAGUCAGGGAGGAACCAUGCCUAUCGCCUCUUCACCAUCAGCAAAUCCUUCUUUCACUCCAGAAGAGUUCAACCAGCUUAGACUCCUGCUGCAAGGCUCAAAAUCAGUACCUAGAGGACAUGCUGGUACUCAGGCCAUGCCCCCACCACAACCUUCAAACUCCUCUGGUAAUUACGUUCUGUCUUCUGCUUGUAACAACUUUGACAAGGUUUGGAUUCUAGACACAGGGGCAUCAGAUCAUAUUGCCUCUUCCCUUGACCAAUUCACAGCCUUUAAACCCGUAUAUGAUAUGUAUGUUUAUUUGACAAUCUUUGAGUGUAUUGUUGUUAGCCAUGUAGCAGACAUCACUUUACCUAUUGGUCUUACCUUUCAUGGUGUUAUGCAUGUCCCUCAUUUUACAUUUAACCUCAUAUCAAUCAGCAAAUUGACCGAUGCCUUACCUAUCUCUAUUUCUUUUCAUUCCAACCAAUCUCAAAUUCAGGACUUACUCACCAAGAAGACGAUUGGUUCAGCUAUAGAACAUAAAGGCCUCUACCAUCCCCAUAACCCCAACCUCGAGCAAUGUCAAACAUAGCCAGGAUAGACUCAAACUGUUAGAAGCAUGUAAUAAUGGUGUUGUUAGUGAGAAAAUCACACAUUGUCAUGUUUGUCAUCUUGCUAAACAGAAAUGCCUUCCUUUUCAAUCAAGUAUUAAUAGAGCCUCUGGCAUUUUUUAGUUAAUUCAUGUCGACAUAUAGGGUCUCUUAGCCACAGAUUCAUAUGAUCAUUAUUCAUACUACUUGAUAUGGGUGUAUCUAAUGAGGCAAAAUCAGAACCUAGAGGUCACCUGAAAUCAUUUCAUCAUAUGGUUAAAACACAGUUUAACAAAGUCAUUAAAAUUAAACGAAGUGAUCAAGGGCAGGAAUUUCAUAUGUCUGAAUUAUUUUCUAAUCAAGGUAUCAUCCACCAAAUGUCAUGUGUUCAGACCCAGAACAAAAUGUAAAAGUAGAGAGAAAACAUCAACACAUUUUGAACGUAGCUAGAGCCCUUAGGUUUCAGUCAGGACUCCCUCUACCUAUUGGAGUGCUUGUGUUUUGCAUGCUGUUUAUUUGAUCAACCGCAUGCCCGCUCCUAUUUUAGACAAUCACUCUCCUCAUUAAAAUAUUUUCAAAGUCUCUCCAAGUUUCAGUAAUUUGAAAGUGUUUGUAUGUGUAUGCUAUGCAUCUACUCUAGCGCAUCAUAUAACUAAAUUCCAAAGUAGAGCUAGACUAUGCAUUCUCUUGGGCAUACCUGCAGGAAUCAAAGGUUAUAAACUGCUGGAUAUAGAGUCCAAGCAGGUUUUCAUAUCACGAGACAUGGUUUUCUACAAGAAGAUCAUACCACUCAAAGGUUCUUGUGACACCAAUCAACCUACCUUACCUCAGAACCUACCAAGACCAAAUGAACCAUCAAACUUCACUGAAACUCUACCCCUUCAAGCUCCACCAGAAAUGCCUAUCCCAACUAACCAAACUCCACCACACUAUGACCCUGAUGGUUCUAAUCUGAGUUUGCCCUUGUCGAGUUCUUCUUGUCAGAUGCAGGAUGUUUUAGCUGAGGAUGAGGAAGAAGUGGAGAAAGAAGAAAUUCCCUGUGAAUGAGGAGACGCCACAAACAGUAUACCAACUGUUGAAUUCAGGAAGUCCAAACGAGCCACCAAGCUGCCAAUUUACCUGCAAGAUUAUCAUCUAAGCAACAGUGUUAGCAAACACCCCUUGGCUGCUGUUUUAUCAUAUGAUAAUCUGUCAGAUAAUUUCAGAAGAUAUGCGUUAAAAUUGAUCACUCAUCAAGAGCCAGCCACAUAUGAAGAAGCAGGACAGAUCAUGUGUUGGAUUGCAGCCAUGAAUGAAGAAUUAGCAGCACUAGAGGGAAAUCAAACAUGGGAAAUAAUCGCAUUACCAACAGGGAAGAAGGAAAUUGGUUGCAAAUGGGUGUACAAGAUAAAACUAAGGUCAGAUGGCACUAUAGAGAGGCACAAAGCAAGGCUAGUGGUGAAGGGUUUUACACAGAUAUAUGGAAUUGACUUCAUGGAUACCUUUUCAUCGGUGGCUAAAAUCAAUUCAGUUAAGACCAUCUUAGCAGUUUCAGCUUCUAAGGGAUGGUACUUGGAGCAAAUGGACGUUUCCAACACUUUUCUCCGUAGAGAUCUUGACGAAGAAGUAUAUAUGUAAGCUCCUCCCGGCCUUGAAAUACCUCCUGGAAUGUGCUGCAAGCUGAAGAAGUCCCUAUAUGGACUCAAACAAGCUAGCCGCCAGUGGUUUGCUAAGCUAACCACAUCAUUGCUCAGACCAUGGAUUUAGGCAAUCCAGCUCCGGUUAUUCACUUUUCAUCAAAGAUACUCAACAGGAUCAAUGAAGCUUUUGGUAUACGUGGAUGAUAUCAUCCUUGAUGGAGAAAAUAUGACGGAUAUUGCAGCGGUGAAAGCAUAUCUUCAGUCAGUGUUCAAGAUCAAGGAUGUGGGAACAUUAAAUUACUUUCUAGGUUUGGAAGUGGCCAGAUCAAAACAGGGCAUCCCUGUGAAUCACUGAAAGUAUUGUGUGGAACUUCUAGCUGAUGCAGGAUCCCUAGAAGCAAAGGGAACUAAAUCACCUAUAGUAAAGCAGGGAGAACCAUUGGAUGAUCCAAGUCGAUAUAGACAACUUGUUGGGAAAUUGCAUUACAUGACCAUUACUAGGCACGACAUUGCUUUUGUUGUACAACAAUUGAGCCAAUUCCAGUCAGACCCUUAUACCGAGCAUAUGAAUGCUGCUUGUAGAGUUCUGAGAUAUCUAAAAAUGGUUCCUGGACAAGGUCUAUUUUACAAAGUUGCAAUGCACUGGAAUUGCAGGGAUAUUGCGACUCUGACUGGGCUACAUGUCCAUAUACCAGGAGAUCCAUAUCCGGUUAUUGCACGUAUAUUGGAGGCUUUCUACUCAUAUGGAAGUAAAUAAAAAAACUAAUGUAUCCAGAUCUUCAUUUGAAGCAGAGUAUAGGGCAUUAGCACAUCUAGUCUGUGAAGUACAGUGGCUGAACUCAUUAUUGGCAGAAAUGGGAAUACAAAUUCCUACACCUAUUAAUAUUCGAUGUGAUAAUAAAUCUGCUAUUAAUAUUGCUGAAAAUCCUGUGUUUCAUGAGCGUACGAAACACAUCAAGUUGACUGCCAUGUGACCAGGGAGCGAAUCAAAUCAGGACUGAUCACCUUGAGGUAUAUGUUCCUACAAAAUUUCAGUUAGCCGGAAAAAAUCUACGGCAAAUUUUUUCGAUGACCGGAAAAAAUCGCCGGCAAAUUUUUCGAUGACCGGAAAAAGUGUCGGCAAUUUUUUUGAUCACCGGAAAAAAUCGUCGGUAAUUUUUUCGGUUGACAAAUGUUUUCAAACUCCUGGUCUAACUUCAGAUGUUCCGCUUAGACUUGACAGAGUAUCAUUCGUAACUUAUGGAUUUCAAAUCAUCGGAAUUUUGUUUACAUUUGAAAUUACAAAGGAAUUGGGGUAAAAUGAAAAUCUCAAAUGUCAUCCAAACACCAACGUUUGAUAUUUAAAAUACCAAAUGCAACCGCCACUAUUUAGGUAUAAUUAGAUUCAUAGAUUGAUGUUGGAUAACCAAUCUUGAGUGGGGGGAGGAGCAUGUUGAUUUCAGUUUACAGUGUUGACACGAUGGGAAGUUGAUGACUUUGUAUUGUCUCUACAAUGUAUGUCCUAAUAGGGGUUUAUGGGCAUGUUGAUGUGGGUCAUAUCUAAUCUUAUUGUCUAGAGAUGUGCAUGUUUACUUCAUUUGACGUUCUGAUUUAAUGAAAAGGCUGAUGAGGUUCUUCAUGAUUUAAAUUUUAUAUUACAAUGAAUCGGGUAUCACUGGGAAAUUUCAAUUGGUCACUUUUGGAUUCAAGCUCCGAGCACAUGUCAGUGGAUGCAUCUGCCAGAAAUCAGAUUACAGAAUUACAAAGAUAUCUAAUGGAUAGAGAGAUUCCAAGCAUACGAAACAACAACCGAAGUUUCAAAAUAAAAAACAGAAAACAGCACACUGAGAGGCUAUCGUUCUGUAGCCACCGUCAAGUCUUGCCUGAGCCCAACACCUGCCAAAAAUCAGUUCCCCUACUUCAUAAUAUCCACCAUUUAAAUAAACGGACUAAGACACGGAGAAGGAGGAGGCAUGCGACAAGAAUAUGCUCGUAAUUUGAGACCCUCAUCAAAAACGAGAACCUCGUCGAAUUGUUGACCAUUUUAAUUAUGAUUCAUGUUGAUGCAAUUCAUAGCCCUAAAAAAAGUUGAAUUAGGAUGAAAAUUCAGAUUAGGAUAUACACAGGCGCUCGCUUUAUGAGCACUAUCAGCGACGAUAACGGCUAGCUUUCCAUUCCCACCCCUUGCCUUCUCUGCGUACCAACUUGGAGUUGGACUUUAUACGUACUAGUAAGUAUACAUCAUGAAACAUAAAACAUCCUCCAGCCAGUAUAUGGCCAGCCAAACACACCUAAGUCACCUAUAUAUUGAAUUCAUUCGAGAACCAACAAAGUCAACCGAAAUCCAUUGAACACGAAAUUAAGCAUCCAUCCAUCAAGCUGUUGGUGAUUAACAUUAAUCCUGGAUAAGAACAAGACUCAGGUACAUGGAACAUCAUCCAUCAACACCUCGUUGUGCAAAAAUACACUACUUAUGUUUAGUUGGUUUACAUCAACAGAGGGUUUCCUUCAACCCAGAAAUUCAUCCGGCGCCAUUUCAGGAUGGCACUCACAAAAGUACGUGUGUUCGGGAUACUGACCAACCACAUAGUGUCCUGCGGGAUGGAGAAUCGGAGUCUCAAAGUUUCCCAAGCACAUUGUACAACGAUCAGAGAUGUCUGCAACAUUCAAUUAAAGAUCCAUAAGCUAUUUAGUAGAAAAGAUUGAUGCCAAUAACAUACACAGAAACUGCGAGGUACAUUUAGUAACAAAAGGGUAAAUAGAAAGGAUCAUAUACUAGCCAUCUAUGAUAUACAUACCAUGCAAUAAAGAAAUUCAUAACCACAUGAAGAGCAUACAAAGUGUACAAAAGCUAACUUCCUGAAUACAUAGCUAUCAAUUAAUAAAAAAACAAACGACGACGAGGAGUAAUUGAUACUUACUAGGUUCAUCAUCAGGAUCAAAAGUAACACAGUCCCAAACAUGACAGUCUUCAAACGGCUGAUUCCCUGACCCUGAGCCCUCUUUCUUAGCCGUAAAGUUGACAUGUACGACAUCCAGACCAAUACGAUGUCGGCCAUUGCUGUUCAAGGGAAGAACAAGCGUGUAGGAGAGGCCCUGAGAUUAAACCCAGCAGAUAGAGAAAUUACAGUCGCAGCAAGGUAAGCCAUGUUGGAAAAAAGAGAGCCGUUUGAUGACGGGAAGAAAACAAAACUACCGUCUUUUGGUUGUAGUACUCCAAAGCAUUGUUAGCAGAUGUUGUGGUUUGGUCAAGAAGAUAUUUUUGAAGACGAGAAGCAGCAUUCAGCUGAUGAGUGGAAGGACUUCCAGAACUGCAAGUUUCAAAUGAUCCAAGAAGCAUAAGCAGUGCAUUAUUAAAUUCAUUAACUGGACACACAAGGGAAAGGUUGAAUCAACAAAUAAAACAGGUGAUAAAACACAACAAAUAAAACAGGUGAUAAUAAGAUUACAUUGCGCUCUUGCUAUAAUUUUUCCCCCUUCCCAUAAAACCUAGAUACAUUUGUCGGGUAGAUUUCUAAGGCCAUGAUUCCGAUGCAGUUUCCAGCUCUCUGUUUUCCAUGUCGUAAAUUCUUUAAAAUUACUGAAUGAGUUGAUUCAAGGGGGGUUAGUAUCUCAAUUUUCAUGAUAAUGUGAUACUUCGACUUCUCUUGAUAACAUGUUAAGUCUGCAUAGAUUAAUGUCGAAUCAAUGUGGUUGAAUGGGUUUUAUCUACCUGGCUACCAGAAAUGCAAGGUAUUUGGAAUUUCCAAGUUAUUUUAGUAUUUGAAAAGUAAAGAUAGGGCAUUUAAUUAGUGGUGGGGUGUGUUUGAGUUGUAUUGCUUCCUGAUUCCAAAAAGGUACCAAAUAAUGGUUUAAUAUGUAUUUAUUUCUCAUUAAUGUGCUUCGUGGGUUAGGAAGUUUUGGUCAUGUGAUGGUGCAUACACACUAUUACAAUAUGGUGAUUGAACUUAUUAUCCAAUUGAAGUUGAUGGUUUUUUUUAGUAUUUAUCAUGGUGCUUAGGAGUUUUAACAUUCUCUAAAGAUAAUUAAUUUUCUCUGAUUCUUUUUGCAGUUAAUGUAAUAAAUUAUUUUAUUCUAACGAAGAACUUUUGAUGUUAUGGCUUAUUGUUAGGUUUUUUUUGUGGUUGGUCUUUUUGAAGAUAUUGUUGAUCUAAUGGUGCCAGUUAUGAAAAUGAAACCAAAUCCACAAAAGUCUUAUGCAUACAUUGAUGGUUUAGAUACUCAUAUACAGGAAAUCAAAGAAUCAGCUGAGCUUCCUUUGACUCACUAAAAACCAUAUAAAGGAAUGGUAAAAUUGAUAAUUAAUUUACAAAUUAAGAAAAAAUUACAAUAUAUAUUAAUAAUUAUAACUUAUAUAUUAUCCGAANNNNNNNNNNNNNNNNNNNNNNNNNNNNNNNNNNNNNNNNNNNNNNNNNNNNNNNNNNNNNNNNNNNNNNNNNNNNNNNNNNNNNNNNNNNNNNNNNNNNNNNNNNNNNNNNNNNNNNNNNNNNNNNNNNNNNNNNNNNNNNNNNNNNNNNNNNNNNNNNNNNNNNNNNNNNNNNNNNNNNNNNNNNNNNNNNNNNNNNNNNNNNNNNNNNNNNNNNNNNNNNNNNNNNNNNNNNNNNNNNNNNNNNNNNNNNNNNNNNAUAUAUAUAUAUUACCAAAUAUAUAUUUUUGGGCUAAGUAAUGAUUUGAUAUGCAUCAAAAGUACAAAAGUAAUAUUAUGAAUUUGCAUGGUCCAAAUCGAAACUGGUCUGUCAUCAAACCAGUUUAAGACAAUGGUGCUCAGGGAGGUUGUUCAUUUUUGGUAGAAGAAGAAAGUGAGAUUGAGUGUUCAUGCUUAACUACGAGAGUAAUUGAGUGUUGAGGGAGGUAUUUUUUGCUUCUCUGUGGGUUCCGAUUUUAGUGUGGCUGGGGGGUUUCUUUGUCGGGUGUGGCUGUUUGUUUCCAAUGCAGGUUUUUGGGCCUUUCUCUUUGUUCUUCGGUGUUCUUGGCUUCUUUUCCGUCUCCCUGGGCUAGGUACGAGUGCCUUAGCUGCUUGCUUUUGAUCACUCUGGCUGAGUUUUGAUCGUUCUUGGUCAGGGGGCUCAUUUUUGCCCCCCUUGUGUCUUCCUUUCUUUCCCCUCUGCAUUUUCCUUUUCUCUUGUGCAGCCGCAAGCUGUCUCUGUUUGUUGUAAGUGACUUUGUGUUUGCUGGCCCCUCCGUUUCUUUAGGCCCAUGUUUUUAUAAUAUACAUCUCAUUUAUAAAAUAAAUAAAAAACUACGAGAUUAAUAAAUAGAUAUUUAUCCCAAAUCAAGAUCAACGUGAGAAAUUUUCUUCCCAACUGAUCAGCUUAUGAAUUCCGGCUUGAUGAUCAUACGCCAACAACCAGGGGCGGAGGGAGGAGUCCAAGUGGUGUCACUUGGCCCAAAAAUAAAAUUAGACACCAUUUAACUUUAUUUCUAACUACGCCACCGCCAACAACUCGAUAAGAACCCAUAUUUAAUCUCAAUGAGUUGUUUCCACCAACUCCAAGGAUAUUAGACUUUCCAAGAAUCUAAUUUCCUUCGAAAUUGGUUUAGGACCGGAUCUCAAAUUACUCUACAAGAUGAGUUGCAACUAAAUGAUAGAUCAAGGUAAUUCGUAAGAAACGAAACAAUGUCGCCGUCGAAAAUGGUAGCAAAAUUAAUGAGAUAGGUCAGGAAUAUGCCCAAUUGCAAAUAACCUGCUCAUGACACUGCCACAAUCUCUCCAUUAGGUAUAGAUCUACCGUACAUAGUAGAUUAUAUACAUAGCUUCAGUUCUUGAUCGAUAUUAGAUAAUUUGUUUGUUUGAGAUCUGCUGGGUUGGGUAACCUAUAGCUAGCUUAUCGGAUUUACCAACUUAGCUUAUGUAAUGAAUCUCAUGCGGUGUUGUAGCUAAGAUUGAUGCUCUGGGCUUCAACUUCAUCCCUAAGUGAUAAUAUAUAUGGAUGUGGUGUUAAUUUUUCAUAAUUUUUUCUUCUUUAAUUUCUCCAGGGCAAUUCUUUGGGUCUAAUUUGUAUCAAGAACUUGAUGGGCAGUGAAAAGGAUCCUUGGUUCGAUUAAGAAUCCAUAACUUUAUGGAUGAAGAAAACACCAAUAACCCUAACACUUCUACUUUUGAAUUAUUUAUUAACUAGCUUUAUUUUUAUAUAUCUUCACUAUAUUUUAUUAGUUUUGUGUUUUAUCUUUUGGCAUUUAGGUAUGUUGUAGUUGAUGAUGGUCACAAUCUCUUUACAUCUGGGUUUAGAACUACAAGGAGGAGCUAAAUGGCGAGUUAUAGUUUGAGAAACAAAUUCAUCUACAAUGGCGAGGUCAGUGAAUCAGAGGAAGCUAAAAAGAACGGGGUGCAUGUUCUCUCCGACGUUAGGAUGAACAAAUCGAGUAAGUGAUUUUUUAUUUUUAUGAUUUAUCUUUCUUUUUAGCUUAAGUAUAGGAAUAUUAAUUUUCUUUCUUACCAUCAAAAUACUAUAUUUGUUUUGGCCGCCUAAUUAUAAUUUUUUUUAUAAUUUGUAUAUGAUAUAUUUGUAUAGGGAUAAUAUUAUUGAUUUACUUUCUUAUCAUUCAAUUUAUUAUAUAUACUGGCAAAAACACCAUACCAAAAGGAAUUGGCGACUCAAAAGCCUUGUCACUAGUCAGGCUCUCUCGAGAAAAAACACACCCUCAGCCAAAGCUUUUCAUUGCUGAUUCGAAAUUGCACUAGCAGCUUUCAACCCUGAUUCCACCGGCCAGAAGCAACCCUAAACGCCACCUCUUUCUCUGAACUACAAGUGUCACGAAAAACUCUAAUGUUUCUCUCUAAAUACCACAAAUUUUUAGGGUUAAUUGCAAAUUUAGGGCACUGAUCUUAGGGUUAAUUAUUUUUUAUUUUGUUGUUUCUCCUUGUAGAUUGUUGCUUAUAUAGGUCUUAUUUUGACCUCUGCGAUGCCAAAGCAAGAUUGUAUGAUAUAUUUGUAUAGGGAUAAUAUUAUUGAUUUACUUUCUUAUCAUUCAAUUUAUUAUAUAUACUGGCAAAAACACCAUGCCAAAAGGAAAUGGCGACUCAAAAGCCCUGUCACUAAUCAAGCUCUCUCGAGAAAAAACACACCCUCAGCCAAAGCUUUUCACUGCUGAUUCGAAAUUGCACUAGCAGCUUCAACCCUGAUUCCACCGGCCAGAAGCAACCCUAAACGCCACCUCUUUCUCUGAACUACAAGUGUCACGAAAAACUCUAAUGUUUCUCUCUAAAUACCACAAAUUUUUAGGGUUAAUUGCAAAUUUAGGGCACUGAUCUUAGGGUUAAUUAUUUUUUAUUUUGUUGUUUCUCCUUGUAGAUUGUUGCUUAUAUAGGUCUUAUUUUGACCUCUGCGAUGCCAAAGCAAGAUUGAAGACUCUUCAAAAUCCAUUCAAAUAUAGAUUUUCACUCAAAUGGCUAUUGUUAUUCGAGAAGCAGUGGCUGAUUACCAACAACCUAGGGCAUGUGGAGGAUUGCCUACAUUAUUUGCAAUAAGGCCCUCCCAAUGCAUCCAACAGAUGGAGAACCAAAGUGGACAGUAAAAAAUUACGAAGAAGUGAGAAUGUCUGUCUACAACGAUAUUGUCUCCAAAAAUGCUGUCUUCGAACGAGUGAAGACGAGUUUGAGGGAAGAAGGCCCAGUUAUCGGUGCUGUGAAGAUACAUGUUGACUAUUUUGACAAGCACAAGCUGGUGUAUUAUCCUCACAGGCAAUCUCUCAGCAAGAUACAUGUUGACUAUUUUGACAAACACAAGCUGGUGUAUUAUCCUCACAGGCAAUCUCUCAGCAACUCCAACAAACAUCUAAUUGAGGACCCCAAGAAAGUAAGUGAUUUGGAGGAGACUCCUCCUCCUACUCCACCAAAGCCCUCCAACCCUCCUCUUCCUCCACAAAUUGUGCCCUCCAACCCUCUUCCUCCAUUUGAUCCCUCCAAACCUGUUGAGGAAAAAAGGGGGCUCCGCGAGAUGAUGAUCAGAUCACUGGUCACGCGGUAUGUAUUGUUGGUUACUGUUAUGUGGACAGGCGACUGUGUUUUUUAGUGCAGGACAACCAUGGUAGACUGUUCAAGGAUGGAGGAUUUCAUUUGAUUGGUGCCAUAUCAUUUAAAAGGUUUUUUUUUGUAGAUGUGGAAGUUGUUGAGGCAAAAGUGGAUUAGAGAGUAUUAUUGUCUGUUCUAGUAGUAAUUAAUCUUUUGGUUUAAUUCCAUGUUUUAUUGUUUUUCUAAAUUUUUCAUGGUGGAUGUUGAUCAAGAAUACAUUAUUUUGUUAGUUGUUGAUCUUUGUUCUAUUUUGACUAUUAUUGUGGCCAUUUUCUCACUCACUCAAGUAUCCAUGUAUCCAAAGACCAUGCUUAGGUAGAGGUUUCUAAUUGGACUGCAUUUUUCCUUCAUCCAGAACCUCAUUUUGAAAUGGUUUGCAUUAUGUUAGUCGUCUCAUCAUAUUCAAACUAUAUUGGGGAGGAAGACAUUGGAUACCAUUUUGUAGUACCUUGGCAUCUUGAAAUGUUAUUGUGUGGAUAUUUAACGAAAGAUAGUGGAAUGUCAAUUUAUACACAUCUUAAUAGGUUGCCAGCAGCAGUCACUAUAUUAUGCAUCUACGCAUAAUCAGUGACAAAAGUGUUAUAGCUGCACAUACUACGUACUCGGCUCUUUGUCGGAUGCCCUAAGGGGCAGCAUAACUGCAAUGUCUAGGGUUCAUUUUAUCUCCCCAGGGAUGCUCAAUCACAAUCCAGUCAACUUCCUUGCUUCAUCAUGCACGAUGUCAUUUUAUUGUGAUGCGGUGGAUAUGAAAUUGUCAUUGCUAACUCCAAAAGGCAUAUUUUUGGUUCAUGUAAUUUUCAUCAAUUUUUCAAAUAUUAAGUAUAAAUUUUGAAAUUAUGAUUUUGGGACUAUUAUAAUUCGUCCUAUUUUUCUAUUUCACAACCCGUACGUAUCGAUUUCUGUUUUCAUCGUAGAGUAGUGUAGUUGAUUAUAUUUGGUUAUUAAAGACCUAGAGAUACCGGGAUCGAAUCUAGCCACACCUUACCUAGCGACACCAAUUUUUCUAAACAUAAUAAUUGAUCGCAUUGUUUUUUAACUCCCUGCAUCUUCCAUCCACCUCCCAUCUGGACCCUUCAGCUUGCAGAUGGUGUUCUUAUUCUUUCGAAAAACAAUAGAGGCAUGGAAAAAUGCCAUGUUUUGAUCUCCAUCUUUGUCUCAUUGGAUACAUACCAUUUGCCUCCAGAAGCUGUCCUCAGCAUGUAAAAUAGCCUCGAGCUCUUUAAGAAGCUCUUUCUCUUCCUCAAUCUCCUCACCGCUUUGCACACCCAUAGAAAGAGGAAGAGUUUUAUUUUUCAUUUUAUUUUGAUCAAGUUGGGGAGUUAAUAUAUUUUUGUUCUUCUUUCUUCCUCUCUCGUCCAUUUGGGAAUGAGAAAAAGUAGUACGUACGAGGUGAUGGGAUGAACAAAAUUUCCUUUUAAUUGUUAAAAUGAUGAAGUUAGACAUCAACCCAUCAACAACAUGUAUCAUUCCUCCGUUGCUAACCAACCGAACUCUUAACUAAAAUACGAUUGAAAUCAUGCUAAUCUUGGAGAAUAUUUUAGGUUCAGAAUUUAGAGAAUUGUAGAAUCCAUGCUUUGGCACACCCAUGUGACGGCACCAUAAGCCAUCUCCUCCACCAUAUUUUAUGCACAGAAGCUAAAAAUCUUAUGCCAUACAUUUUGAUUUUGACUAAUAAAUUUUUUUGAUAAGCAAGUGAUUUUAUAGCUAUGGAACCAAAAGUUCCAAAGGAAUACAAAAAAGCUCAAGAAUUCAAAAAAUUGAUUUCAUUAUCUACACAGAUUCGGAUCCAAAAGGAUUGGUAAGUGCAGAUGAGCACGAGUUAAGGACAUCGAGAAGAAACAAUAGAAACAUCCCAAAAUGGCCACAAAAACAUUAUGGUGUCUAAACUCAAUCACUCUCACAAAUCAUCUACGUGAGCCGUCAUCUUUAUCUAAACACGUUGUCGUAAUCCAAGAGUUGAUUUUAUUUCCGAUUUUAUUUGACUAAUAAAAUUAGUGUUGCACACUUGGCGCACUAACUGAUCUCAGUCCCGGAUACCGAUGGCGGGAGACACUACAAUACCCCAUCCAAUGUAUCAAAUCCUCUAGUUAUUGUUUAGCAUCGCAUAUGUAAUAUUGUUAAAUUCAAAUUCUCCAAAACUGAAUAAGUGAACAUAUAAUAUUAUAUUAUCAUUAAUUUCUUAAUUGAACCCAUCAAUCACGAACCCACCAAAUCUAGAUCUGCAUGCAAAAUAAGGAGAUGAUUGCCGAUGCUGAUGAGCUUAAGCAGCAACACUCAAUCAUCUCAGCAGCUUCUUCUCCAUUUAAUAAUACCAUCGGCUUCUUCUGGAACUCGAAUGCUCAUGACGCUGCCACCAUCACUCCAUCAAGUAUAGAUCUACCGUAUAUAGUAGAUUAUAUAUAUAGCUUUAGUUCUUGAUCGAUAUUCGAUAAUUUAUUUGUUUGAGAUCUGCUGGGUUGGGUAACCUAUAGCUAGCUUAUCGGAUUUACCAACUUAGCUUAAGUAAUGAAUCUCAUGCGGUGUUGUAGUUAAGAUUGAUGCUCUGGGCUUCAACUUCAUCCCUAAGUGAUAAUAUAUAUGGAUGUGGAGUUAAUUUUUCAUAAUUUUUCUUCUUUAAUUUCUCCAGGGCAAUUCUUUGGGUCGAAUUUCUAUCAAGAACUCGAUGGGCAGUGAGGAGGAUCCUUGGUUCAAUUAAGAAUCCAUUACUUUAUGGAUGAAGAAAACACCAAUAACCCUAACACUUCUACUUUUGAAUUAUUGAUUAACUAGCUUUAUUUUUAUAUAUCUUCACUAUAUUUUAUUAGUUUUGUGUUUUAUCUUUUGGCAUUUAGGUAUGUUGUAGUUGAUGAUGGUCACAAUAUGCAUCGUAGUUGGUACUAUGUUGUCCCUUUGAUGUGAAAAGCCUAGUAUUAGCUGGUACUAUGUUGUCCCUUUGAUGUGAAAAGCCUACUAUUAGCUAGGGACGGAAUGAUGUCAUUUCUUUUGGUUAGAGGAAGAGAGAUUGAUGUCUUAGUAACACAUAUUGUAUUAUUAUAUAUUUUAAUAAUACUUAUAUUCACAUAGUAUAUAUUAUUUUCUUAUAUAUUGUAAUUAUUUUAUGAACAUUCUUGAUCAUUAAUGUAUUAAUUAUACCAUCAUGGUUUCAAUCACCAACUUCUCUAAUAUAUUUACUUACUGGUGACAUCAAUUACCAAUAUAAUUAAUCCUUAAAUUGUAUAGCUUUAAAUUCUAAACACUAAGCAAAAACCCACGGCCCUAAAUUAUAUUCUAACAUGCACUCCCUCAAACAUUUAAUGAUGGGAAAUAUUGCCCAGAUAUGUUCAUUAGUUGCUAGGCUAAGUUCAUUUUCCUUAAAGGAAGAAAGAGAGAUUAAGUGUUGAUGCUUAAGUACCACAUUAAUAAAUGGUUAGUUCUUUAAGAAUAGAAGUACUUUAGAUUAUAAUCUUUCUAUUUACAUCUGGGUUUAGAACUACAUGGAGGAGCUAAAUGGCGAGUUAUAGUUUGAAAAACAAAUUCAUCUACAAUGGCGAGGUCAGAGGAAGCUAAAAAGAACGGGGUGCAUGUUCUCUCCGACGUCAGGACGAACAAAUCGAGUAAGUGAUUUUUUAUUUUUAUGAUUUAUCUAUCUUUUUAGCUUAAGUAUAGGGAUAUUAAUUUUCUUUCUUACCAUCAAAAUGCUAUAUUUGUUUUGGCCGCCUAAUUAUAAUUUUUUUUAUAAUUUGUAUAUGAUAUAUUUGUAUAGGGAUAAUAUUAUUGAUUUACUUUCUUAUCAUUCAAUUUAUUAUAUAUACUGGCAAAAACACCAUACCAAAAGGAAUUGGCGACUCAAAAGCCUUGUCACUAGUCAGGCUCUCUCGAGAAAAAACACACCCUCAGCCAAAGCUUUUCAUUGCUGAUUCGAAAUUGCACUAGCAGCUUUCACCCCUGAUCCCCCCGGCCAGAAGCAACCCUAAACGCCACCUCUUUCUCUGAACUACAAGUGUCACGAAAAACUCUAAUGUUUCUCUCUAAAUACCACAAAUUUUUAGGGUUAAUUGCAAAUUUAGGGCACUGAUCUUAGGGUUAAUUAUUUUUUAUUUUGUUGUUUCUCCUUGUAGAUUGUUGCUUAUAUAGGUCUUAUUUUGACCUCUGCGAUGCCAAAGCAAGAUUGAAGACUCUUCCAAAUCCAUUCAAAUAUAGAUUUUCACUCAAAUGGCUAUUGUUAUUCGAGAAGCAGUGGCUGAUUAGCAACAACCUAGGGCAUGUGGAGGAUUGCCUACAUUAUUUGCAAUAAGGCCCUCCCAAUGCAUCCAACAGAUGGAGAACCAAAGUGGACAGUAAAAAAUUACGAAGAAGUGAGAAUGUCUGUCUACAACGAUACUGUCUCCAAAAAUGCUGUCUUCGAACGAGUGAAGACGAGUUUGAGGGAAGAUGGCCCAGUUAUCGGUGUUGUGAAGAUACACGUUGAUUAUUUUGAUAAAAACAAGCUGGUGUAUUAUCCUCACAGGCAAUCUCUCAGCAACUCCAACAAACAUCUAAUUGAGUACCCCAAGAAAGUAAGUGAUUUGGAGGAGACUCCUUCUCCUCCUACUCCACCAGAGCCAUCCAACCCUCCUCUUGCUCCACAAACGGUGCCCUCCAAGCCUCCUCCUCCAUCCGAUCCCUCCAAAGCUGUUGCGGAUAAAAGGGGGCUCAGCGAGAUGAUGAUCGGAUCACUGGUCAUGCGGUAUGUAUUGUUGGUUACUGCUAUGUGGACAGGCGACUGUGUUUUUUAUUGCAGGACAACCCUGGGAGACUGUUCAAGGAUGGGGGAUUUCAUUUGAUUGGUGCCAUAUCAUUUAAAAGGUUUUUUUUUAGAUGUGGAAGUUGUUGAGGCAAAAGUGGAUUAGAGAGUAUUAUUGUCUAUUCUAGUAGUAAUUAGCCUUUUGGUUUAAUUCCAUGUUUUAUUGUUUUUCAUAACUUCUAAACUUAUCAUGGUGGAUGUUGAUCAAGAAUACAUUAUUUUGUUAGUUGUUGAUGUUUAUUGUAUUUUGACUAUUACUGUGGCCAUUUUCUCACUCAGUCAAGUAUCCAUGUAUCCAAAGACCAUGCUUAGGUUGAGGUUUCUGGUGUGACAGCAUUUUUCCUUCAUCCAGAACCUCAUUUUGAAAUGGUUUGCAUUAUGUUAGUCGUCUCAUCAUAUUCAAACUAUAUUGGGGAGGAAGACAUUGGGUACCACUUUACAGUACAUUGGCAUCUUGAAAUGUUAUUGUGUGGAUAUUUAACGAAAGAUAGUGGAAUGUCAAUUUAUACACAUCUUAAUAGGUUGCCAGCAGCAGUCACUAUGUUAUGCAUCUACGCAUAAUCAGUGACAAAAGUGUUAUGGCUGCACAUACUACGUAUUCGGCUCUUUGUCGGACGCCCUAAGGGGCAGCAUAACUGCAAUUUCCAGGGUUCAUUUUAUCUCCCUAGGGAUGCUCAAUCACAAUCCAGUCAACUUCCUUGCUUCAUCCUGCACGAUGACAUUUUAUUGUGAUGCAGUGGAUAUGAAAUUGUCAUUGCUAACUCCAAUAGACAUAUUUUUUGUUCAUGUAAUUUUCAUCAAUUUUUCAAAUAUUAAGUAUCAAUUUCGAAAUUAUGAUUUUGGGACUAUUUUAAUUCGUCCUAUAUUUCUAUUUCACAACCCGUACGUAUCAAUUUUUGUUUUCAUCGUAGAGUAGCGUAGUUGAUUGUAUUUGGUUAUUAAAGACCUAGAGAUACCGGGAUCGAAUCUAGACACACCUUACCUAGCGACACCAAUUUUUCUAAAUAUAAUAAUUGAUCGCUUUAUUUUUUAACUCCCCUACAUCUUCCAUCCACCUCCCAUCUGGACCCUUCAGCUUGCAGAUGGUGUUCUUAUUCUUCCGGAAAACAGUAGAUGUAUGGAAAAACGCCAUGUUUCGAUCUCCAUCUUUGUCCCAUUGGAUACAUACCCUUUGCCUCCAGAAGUUGUUCUCAGCAUGCAAAAUAGCCUCUAGUUCUUUAAGAAGCUCUUUCUCUUCCUCAAUCUCCCCACCGCUUUGCACCCCCAUAGAGAGAGGAAGAUUUUUAUUUUUCAUUUCAUUUUGAUCAAGUUGUGGAGUUAAUAUAUUUUUCUUCUUCUUUCUUCCUCUCUCGUCCAUAUGGGAAUGAGAAAAAGUAGUAUGUAUGAGGUGAUGGGAUGAACAAAAUUUCCUUUUAAUUGUUAAAAUGAUGAAGUUAGACAUCAACCCAUCAACAACAUGUAUCAUUCCUCCGUUGCUAACCAACCGAACUCUUAACUAAAAUACGAUUGAAAUCAUGCUAAUCUUGGAGAAUAUUUUAGGUUCAGAAUUUAGAGACUUGGAGAAUUGUAGAAUCCAUGCUUUGGCACACCCAUGUGACGGCACCAUAAGGCAUCUCCUCCACCAUAUCAUAUGCACAGAAGCUAAAAAUCUUACGCCAUAAAUUUUGACUAAUAAUUUUUUUUUAUAAGUAAGUGAUUUUAUUGCUAUGGAACCAAAAGUUCCAAAGGAAUACAAAAAAGCUCAAGAAUCCAAAAAAAUGAUUUCAUUAUCUACACAGAUUCGGAUCCAAAAGGAUUGGUAAGUGCAGAUGAGCACGAGUUAAGGACAUCGAGAAGAAACAAUAGAAACAUCCCAAAAUGGCCACAAAAACAUUAUGGUGUCUAAACUCAAUCACUCUCACAAAUCAUCUACGUGAGCCGUCAUCUUUAUCUAAACACGUUGUCGUAAUCCAAGAGUUGAUUUUAUUUCCGAUUUUAUUUGACUAAUAAAAUUAGUGUUGCACACUUGGCGCACUAACUGAUCUCAGUCCCGGAUACCGAUGGCGGGAGACACUACAAUACCCCAUCCAAUGUAUCAAAUCCUCUAGUUAUUGUUUAGCAUCGCAUAUGUAAUAUUGUUAAAGUCAAAUUCUCCAAAACUGAACAAGUGAACAUAUAAUAUUAUAUUAUCAUUAAUUUCUUAAUUGAACCCAUCAAUCACGAACCCACCAAAUCUAGAUCUGCAUGCAAAAUAAGGAGAUGAUUGCCGAUGCUGAUGAGCUUAAGCAGCAACACUCAAUCAUCUCAGCAGCUUCUUCUCCAUUUAAUAAUACCAUCGGCUUCUUCUGGAACUCGAAUGCUCAUGACGCUGCCACCAUCACUCCAUCAAGUAUAGAUCUACCGUAUAUAGUAGAUUAUAUAUAUAGCUUUAGUUCUUGAUCGAUAUUCGAUAAUUUAUUUGUUUGAGAUCUGCUGGGUUGGGUAACCUAUAGCUAGCUUAUCGGAUUUACCAACUUAGCUUAAGUAAUGAAUCUCAUGCGGUGUUGUAGUUAAGAUUGAUGCUCUGGGCUUCAACUUCAUCCCUAAGUGAUAAUAUAUAUGGAUGUGGAGUUAAUUUUUCAUAAUUUUUCUUCUUUAAUUUCUCCAGGGCAAUUCUUUGGGUCGAAUUUCUAUCAAGAACUCGAUGGGCAGUGAGGAGGAUCCUUGGUUCAAUUAAGAAUCCAUUACUUUAUGGAUGAAGAAAACACCAAUAACCCUAACACUUCUACUUUUGAAUUAUUUAUUAACUAGCUUUAUUUUUAUAUAUCUUCACUAUAUUUUAUUAGUUUUGUGUUUUAUCUUUUGGCAUUUAGGUAUGUUGUAGUUGAUGAUGGUCACAAUAUGCAUCGUAGUUGGUACUAUGUUGUCCCUUUGAUGUGAAAAGCCUAGUAUUAGCCUAGUAUUUUGUUUUUCAUAGAACUGGAGAUGGUUUGAAUUUGUGAUGCAAUCGCAAAUCAGUGUCGACUAAUCGUCAAACUGACUUAAUUGUUUUCUUUCUUGCAGAUACAUGUUUCUACCGGUCAUUGUGUUCUACAUGCGAUGCACAGGGGAGGCUGCUCACUCGUUCUGAACCGUUUGAGGAUCGGUUUUCGGUCAAAGGGAUCCUUCGACUAGAGAGAAAAUGGCUGUCUAUCAAGCUUCCACAUCCAAGAAAAGUGCAUCACUGCUUGGGGUAUUUUUCUGGCAAAGGUGGUCCUAAUCUGCCAAUGCAGCCAGAAAAUGGAGUCCAGAAGUUCAAAAUUUCAGACUUCCAAGUGUUUCCAAAUGAAGGGACUCUCGUCAUCCCUUACGUGAAGAGGGUUGUGCAAAAUUUCAGUCCAAUCAUUGGAAGUCUAAAGUUGCGUUUCGACUAUUUCAGUGGAGUUGAUGAGGUGUAUUUGGGUGAGGAGGAGAAGAUAACAAUGGAGACUUUACAUGCAGUGCAAAGGCCGCCAUACGUCAAGUCUCCGGUGACAAGGACCCCCACCCCGCCUCCAUUGACACCUUCCCCGCCCAAGAAAGGAGAAAAAGGCACACAACCAUAGACGGAUGAGGAGGUGAAAGAGGAGGAGAAAAAGAAAAAGGAGAAGGAGGAGGAGGAGAAGAAGGCGGAAGAAAUAUCAGAUCAGCGAAUACGCGUCACUGCACACGUUGUCUGCAUCGUAGGGUUCCGCAUUGCAAAUGAUAAGUAUGGAAUCCCUCAUGAUUGUUUUAUUGUGCAGGACAGUUACGGUUCGAAGUUCAGGGAUGGUGGGUUUAGUGUGAUUCCUAUCAACAUGUUUGAUAAAUUUUUUAUCGCCAAACUUGUGAAGAAAUGACUCGGUUCGGAGGAACCGGCCGGUUUGGGGUGUCUAUGGGGUUUAUGUUUUUGUUGUUAUGCUUAUGCUUGUCUAGACUAUUGUACUGUUUCCAUUCAGAAAUAAAUUGAAAUAGUUGGCAUUCCAGUUUAGCCGACAUGAUCACUGUGUCAAGACAGGUUCCACCAUGCAUAUUGUCCAUAUUCCAAUUUUCAUGCUUCAGCAUUACAAGCAACUAACUACUCUGAAUCAUUUGAUCUCGACUGUAGUUCGCUUUCUCCGGGUUUCAGUUUUUAUUCAAAAGUAAGGCCACGAUGGCAUUAGGAGUAGACCCUCUUUGGAGGUAUAGAAACGUGGUGUGUAUGUGAUGAGUUAGUUAAUUCCAUUGGCUACGAUUUAAUUCAUUAAUAAAAAAGGAACUAAGGCCAUGGUAACCGGGGAAAGAAACAUGGGAACCUCACAAAAAGAAAACACUUAACUGCCUUCAGACUAUUGUUGAACUCGAAAAUCAAAGGGGCGUAGAACUUGACAACGUUCAAGUCGUGAUUGCUGACAGUUUCUGUAAGAUUUGAGUGGUCGGGUGUGGGCACGAUCUCCUUAGACGCAGCCUCUUCAGAAUCCGAACCAGAGGCAGCCAUAAAAAUGCCUUUUCUUGCUGAACAAGAUUGUCAAGCGGGCGAGGGAUAGGGCGGUUGAGGUCAAUAUGGAGAUCUACACUGAUAAUAACAAAACAGAACAAAUCUAAUGUAAUAGAAAUGGAUGUGGAAGCUUGAUAGACAGCCAUUUUCUCUCUAGUCGAAGGAUCCCUUUGACCGAAAACCGAUCCUCAAACGGUUCAGAACGAGUGAGCAGCCUCGCCUGUGCAUCGCAUGUAGAACACAAUGACCGGUAGAAACAUGUAUCUGCAAGAAAAAAAAACAAUUAAGUCAAUUUGACGAUUAGUCGACACUGAUUUGCGAUUACAUCACAAAUUCAAACCAUCUCCAGUUCUAUGAAAAACAAAAUAGUAUUAUUAGUACAGUAGCUACUUGUCACUUUAGCUCAGAAACACAAGUAUUAUUAGUACAGUAGUGAGCAUGUUUUUAGGAAGCCGGUAGUAAAGCCUAACAAAACACAUAAUCAGACUAAAUGUUAAAUCAUACAAAAAUAUUGAAUGGAAACAUGGCAAUAAGCACAAUACGUAAAGCACAUCAGAUUCCUUGUUUUAUAAUAAUUAAUAACCAUAAAAAAAUUACUUUGUGAGAUGUAGAACUAGGCGAUCUCACAUUGAAUCAACGAUUUGACUAUUAUUUGAAUGCUUAUGUAUACAAUGCAGGUAUUAUUACUGUUGUUAUUAUUAUUAUUAUUAUAGUAUACACCUUGGCAAGUACAGCUGUUGACACCUGGCCACCGGAGUACAUUGAAAGAGGAUAAUGGAAAGUCUAAUAUCCUUGGAGUUGGUGGAGACAACUCAUUGAGAUUAAAUAUGGGUUAUUAUUGAGUUGUUGGCGGUGGCGUAAUUAGAAAUAAAGUUAAAUGGUGUCUAUAUAUGAUGAAAAAAAUAAAAAAUCAAACAUUUCACUUUUUAUAAUACCCGUGGUGAGUUUUCAUAUUUUUUCAAUGUUAAAAUUAGAAUUUAAUAAUGUUAAAUAAGGUGUUAAGUUUAUAUUUUUUAAAUUUUAUAUAUUUAAAUUAAAAUAGUAUAACUCAAAAGUGUAUUGUAACAGAGUGUUAAUGGCUUCAAAUGAAUUCAAGUGGUGUACAUCAAAACGCAUUUCAUUAAGAACUAUUUUAAUUGCUUGCAACAUUGCGAAAUGGUACCACUGCCAUGGGCAGCAACAUCUGCCCCAAGUAUGAGAGGUCCAUUUUUUAGUAGAAACCAAACCAUACUGACUAACCGGGCAAAAAGAAAACACUUAACGGCCUCAUUUGUGCCAAAGUACACCAGUUAAGUUUAAUUGGUUACAUUAACUCAGGAUACAAAAUGGUAGAACCCGCAUAGGAAUAGUGAUCAUCAUCAUCCGAAGAAUAAUCAAGAUCGUACUCAAAAUCAAUGUAGUGGUCUUCGUCAUACUGACCAAGCACAUAGCUUCCAGCAGGAUGGAGGAUGGGGAUACUAUAUCUUUCCGAGCACAUUGAACAACGAUCGGAAAUGUCUGCAACCAUCAAGGAUCCGUAAGCUAUUAGACUCAACUUCAUGUAUCCAUUCAUUAGACACAUAGACUACUAAUUACUAAUCAGAAGGAUAAAGGAUGAGGAUCGGUUUUCACUUACUCGUUUCAUCAGCAGGGUUAAAAGUCACACAUGCCCUAAUACUCCAUUGGUCAAACGGCUAAUUAUAAGUUAACUCCGAAAAGAAAUAUUCAAUAUUGUUGGAGCCAUCAUUUUUCGUCGCAGUAAAGUUGACAUGUAUGACAUGUUUAGACAUACGAUAAAUGCCAUUGCUGUUCAAGGGACGAACAAGCGUGUAAGAGACACCCUGAGAUCAAACCCAGAUUAAGAAAUCAGAAUCAGAUCAGCCAGGUGAGUGAAAAGAGACAGUUGAUACUUGGAAGAAAACAAAACUACCGUCUUUCGCUGGUAGCCUCCCAAACUAAUCUCAGCAGCUGUUUUGAUUAAUGCUCACUAAGAAAUUGUUUAUGAGUGGCAUCAUCCAACUGAUGGGUGGCUUCAUUCGGGAUAGGACUUCCAGAACUGCAGAUUCAAAUGAUAAUUAAGAAGCAUAAGCAGGACAUUCCAUAAUCAUUAACCGGAAAUAUCAGGGAAACUAACGAUGAUUCAAAGGGAUCAACGAAUAAGAAAGGUUAAAAAUACUCGCAAUACAUGACGUCUUCAAACAGAGAGUCGAAAUGAAACACACAGUACAGUCCUAAACAUAUAGCAAUCCGAUAUGAAGAGACCCCCCCCCCCCUCCCCCACACGAACAACAACACAAUUCCUUCAGGAUGAAAACAACCAUUGAUUCGAUAGAUUGGGAAAACAGAAACGAAACCCUAAUUCGAAGGAAAAGUAAGAACAACAAGACCUCUUCAGCUUCUGUCUCUUGUCAUCAUGCACCAACUCUCGAUCGACCAUCUUCUGUGGUUCUCCCAUCUUCAAUCGAUCCCUCGUGUCGAUCUCGUCAAACCCCUUUUCGUCUUCUGGUUUUUUCUUUUUGGUUUCUCGUCUUGUGUUUCAGCAGAAAAGGCAAGGAGAGGAGAGGGGAGAAAUAGGCAUAAUAAAAUAUUAGCAAUCCCGGCACUUAGGUACAAGCCUAAGCCUACCUUCUUCUUUAGCGGGCUGUAUUUCUUGGGCCCACGCUUCUCUGGCUUUUCUAAUGAAUUAGCCCAAUUUUUCAUUUUAAAAACUAAGAUAUCACACUACCCACGCGCCUCAGACCCAGGAGGUGGGAGUGGCCUGGUGGUGUGCGAUGGGCCUGGUGGUGCACAGUGUAGGGUGUGGCCAUGUGGUGUUGCACUGUAUUGGACGGAUUUUUCUAUCUCCUUAAUUGCUAACUAGAUGUACAUUGGCCGAAAUUUGAAUGGACUCACCGUCUGUUUUAAAAAAUUAAAAUAUAAAUAUAGUUACAUUUUAAUUAAUUUGUUUUUAAACAGAAAUCUAAAAAAUAAAUAACCAUCACAUUAUCGCGUCAUCAUCACAUUAGCUAGUCUUUCGGAAUCUUGAUGUGAUUUUAUAAAUUUAAUCAUGUGCAAUUUGAAUGAUGAUGUUAACUGUUAUUAGGGUUAUUCGCGCAAACCAGAUCAGAUGAAACAAAGUAAAAGUGAUAGAGUACUUUUAGGGUGUAUGUAGAUACAAAAAUUAUUACAUACGUGUAUGGGUAAGAUGUGGAUAGUAAAGUAUCAUCUAUUAACCGUAAUAUAACUUUAAACAUUAUAUAACUCUUACGGUGAAGACUUCGUCCCGACUUAUUGAAUACUCCCACUUUUAGAAUUUGAUCUCAGCCGUUCAUUAUGAAAUUAAAUCUCAAAUAUUGAUUUUAUUUAAUUUUCUAAUCUAAUUUAUUUCUUAAAACAAAUUAAUUAAUGACCAAUUGACUUAAUUCCAAUUAAUAUGCGGUCAUUUUUUAUUUUUACAAUUUGAUGUUCCGUCUUAUUUUUUUCGCAUGUGAACAUCUUAAUAUCAACAUUGCACUUUAAAUCACUUUAAAUUUGUGAAUUAAAUUUAUAAAUGGAUGAACCUAACAUCAUCCAUCAAUAUUUGAACUCUUCUUCACCGGUAGACUUCUCAUUCUUCACCAAUAGAAACCCUAUCUUUCCAUAUCUAUUUAUAGUUUCUACAUCUCGACCUCAAAGUCUUCGAUUUAACUAAGGUUUUAGUGCUUACUCUAUACUCGCAGCUCUUCUCUUCUCCAACCUCAAAAAGACCCCGUCGCCGCUUUGUUACUCCGUCCAGCAAUCAUGGGGUAUGUUUCAUUGAUCUAGCAAUCUGAGUUCUUUCUUACACUGGAUUGUAGCCUUGUAAGAAGCAAAAUAACCAGCGGAACAAAAAUUUAUCGGAAUUUAGAUUCAGCAUACCCUUCAAAUAGCACAUUCAUCGUCAUAUGCUCGUAGCUUAUCAGAUGUUGCAUGGGGAAGUGCUGCAUGAAGAGCACCUAAAGCCAUUCUCAGUUUAAUAAACCCCUUUACACGCUUUAUAAUGGCACUUAGCAAGGCCUGCAAAAUAUAAUCGAACUUAUAUUUUUACCUUUUCUCAGAAGAACCAUGAUUCAAACAUCUUCAAGAUAAGCACUUAUCCACAUUCCAGACAAAACAAGAAGGGAAGCGUGGAUGUUGAUUCAUAAUGAGAAAGAGAGAUCACUGGUAAAAUUGACUGAGUAGCAUCAAGCUUACCUUGUAAAUAACAUAAUGGACAAGGCGCUCUACAAGUGUCCUAGUUUCAGAAGGAUACAAGUCCACAAAGAAUAUACUCAGCAAUGCAAAACAAGUACUGUAACCAUAAAUUUCAAUCAUGGAGGUGAAAGGAAAGACCUUCUGACGCAGUAGGAACACAAGAAGAAAAGCUCUAGAUUUCUUCUCUGGAAUCCACCAGAAAGUGAUUGAGAGUUGUGGCUGGCCGUGGCAGGGGUGCUGCAGCAGUUGCAGGCAUGAAGUGCCAAUUAUUUUAUUAUUAAUUAGUGACAAAAGCUAAAAAAACAUUUAUAUUUACUUAAAAAAAGAAACAUGGGGAUGAGUAAAGUAGUACGAGGUGAUGGGUUGAUCAAAAUUUUUAUUUCCCUUGAUACAAAUCAUCCUCUGGGUAAUGUGAUGAAGUAGCUAGGCAUCAACCCAUCAACAUACAUAUAUACCAAGCUACUAGCCGGAUUGAAAAUAAUGUAGUUUGUACUUUAUACAAAAUGUUAAAACUAGUAUAUUGUGUGAAAUCUUCAUUGAUGACCUUUUUUAUCAUAAAUUCUUCAUUUCAUCAUAAAAAGGUUAUACCAGCGAUUCUUAUGGCUACAAUCCAACAAGAACAAUAUUGGAAAACCAGUCUUGAUGCUAAGUGUGAGCUUUUGAAGAGGUUGCCACCCAGUCAGCUAGUUAAUUUGUUGUGCUUUGUAGGGGUGAACACAAACACGAUUUUUAUCACGCCAAUACUUAGGUGGAAGAUCGAACUGAGUUCAACAUAACAAUCCUACAACCAAGGAAGAGAACAGUUGUUGAUGUGUUGACGAUUGUAAUGUUGUCCGAAAAAAUAGUUGAAGGUAACAAAACGUGCAAGCUUGAGAGUUGUGAUUACACAGCAUCUCUUACAACCAUUGUUAUCAGAACAGGACCCAACUGAUCGAUCAGACCAGUUCGACCAUGAACCGAUAAGUUAGUUGGUAUUUGGCGGUUUGGGCAAUUGAUCAAAUUUGGGCAUUAAUCCAGUUGGACUUCGGUUGGACCUUCCAUUACUUACAAAAUCUCCUGUUCAUUGUCCAAAAAUAAUAACCACAUUCCAAUAUCCCAUACAAACUGAUCCAAACAGAGAACAUACACACAAAUACACACAUCAAUCAUCUCUUCAAGCACGUGUCAUUAUUGAAUAUUCAAUAAAUUAUUCAACAAUGAAUAAACAGAGCAGGAGGAGGAAGCUACCCGUUGGAAUCCGAAUUUGUGACGGAGGAGCUGGCAGAGAGGAGGAACUGCCGGCUGAGUACUGCAAAGAGACGCCGGCUGGUCAAGAGGCCAGAGGAGACGCCGGUCGAGAGGUCAGAGAAGACACCGGCCGAUCUGCGGCUACUUAACAUUAAAAAGUGACAUCUUAUUAUAAAUUAAAUAAAGUAUACAUUAAAUCUCAAUAAUUUUAUCAAUAAAAACCUUCAAAUCAUUUAUAUAUAUUUUGAAACUUCUUAAAAAAUGAUUUAAUAACUAUAUUUUUGACAAAUUAGAUUAUGACAUUGAACUCUAUAUAUUGCCGGUUUGAUCCGGUUCAAUUUAAAAGUUGUCCGGUCCGACUCAACUUUCUUCAUUUAUUUAUUUAAUAAUUAAAACGAUCCAAUCCGAUUUAAAAAACGGUCGAACCCCGGUCGAACCAUCAAACCUUAACCCGUAACCUCACCAAUUUUGAAAACAUUGGUUACAACUAAUUAAGGACUAAAGAACACAUAAGCCACUUGUCCUUGUGUCACAUCAUAAUGAUAAAAGCCAUGGAAUGAAUGUUCGUAUGCAUGCUCUUUCAAUCGAUCGGAUUGGUGACCUUGGCAAUAUAUAUUACGCAUGCAUGGAUUAGUUGUAUUAAAGAGUUUCUCUUGCCAGCUGAUUUUAUUUCCUUUUCGUUUGUCCCUACAAGGCAAAAUAAAGAACCAUGGACACUAAGUUGCGAAAUGCUUAAUUGCGUAUGUAAACUCCGCCUAUCUUUGUACUAAUAAUGCCUUUGCUUGAUUUUGAUGAAUGAAAGAUCCAUUUCUUUUUCAAGAAAUUAAGUUGACUAAUUAUAGUAGUCGGACAGGCAACUCCAUCACACUUUCUCCUGUUUUAAUUUGCGACUUCCGGAGACUGUUUCCGAUUGUGGGAGUCGGAGUUUUUAUUGUAAAACAAAUUCUGGCCGCCAAAUUACUAUCACCUUGCCGCCCGCCGCCCUAUAUUUCUACAGAUUUUUCCCACUAAACUUUCAUAGUAGUUUCUUUACGUACGCACUACUCUCUUUUUUAUCUUCUUUGUACUCUCUUCAUGAAUUAGAAUUUGAGUUGAGUGAGAUCAUUAUUCUAAUCGAGUUUUUAUAUUAUGAAAAUACUGUAUAAUAUAUUUUUUGUUUACAAACAACACGUUUUUAAUAUACCAUUUUUUAUAUUCGGUAUUGUAACUUCUAUUUAGACCUUGCUUCAUUAUUAGUUAUAAAGAAUAUGGUUGAGUGGAGAAACCAAGAUCAAACAUUCAUUGAGAUAAUUUUGAAUUAAACAUCUGUGUAUCGAGGAAUAAAUUAACCAAUAUAGUGUUUCAAACAUAAUAUUGUUAAAAAAUAUAUAUAAAUAUUCUUUUUCAGUUAAAGGAAAAUUAAAUGUAUCACCGACAAUUUUUUUAUAUCUAGAUUGCUUAAACUAAAUUUAUGAUCAUUACUUAGUAAAUAGGUAGUUUUAUUAGAAUAUUAUAUCACAAAUUUAAGGUAGAUAAACGAAUGAUAUGAAUUCGAAAUAAAUUCAAAUGGGGUCCUAGGUUUGAAUCUAGUCAUUUGCACAAAAUUAUCCAUUAUUUUUAUUUCACAAUGUAUUGUCCGAGUGGUGUUAUGUGCAUCCACUUGGGCUCCAUGCUCCGCCCCUGACUCUAAUCAUACACUAGCUAUACACACAGCCAUGUACAUGAGUACAUUACAAUUGUGCAAGGUACAUGUAUAUGAGUACACAAUGGUACACAUAUGACAUAUACAUAUGCAAGUAACUCCGACCCCUUUUAAUGUGUUGUGUGCCUGUGUUCAUUAUCUAGAUAGUAACAAAAGCUAUAGCUCACUUGCUCGAAUUACGAUUGUUUCUAAUAAAAAAUUUUGAUUUAAAUACGUCGAAAAUAUACUACAUUUAUUAUUAAUCUUUGUAUUUUCAUCGAAUACCACUAAUUUGAAAUUAGUGUUAACCGUAUGCCACACUACCCAAAACUUGACCGGAAAAUGACGUGGACAUAUCAGAGUGUCUUUCUUUUUCUCUAAUUUUUUUCAAUUUUUUUGUUACGAAACUACACCAUUUAAGUCAUUCGUUUGACUUAUUUUGAGUCGUUGGAUAAAAAGUUGAUCCAAAACUAGCCUGAUCCAAUGAUCAUGAUUUAUCGAAAUAAUCUCGAAACCGGCUCCGGUUAGUGAUGAGGCUAACUCCGAUCUGUCCACAUUAUAUUUCUGGUCAAGUUUUGAGCAGAGUGAUAUAUAGUUAACACUAACUCAAGAUUAGUGGCAUCUGAUGCUGUAUAAAAGAAGAUUAGUUGUAAGUUCUAAAUAGUAUAAAUUAUUCGGUUCAAGUCUGAAAGUUUCUCUAUCUCAUGGUAUAUAGAAUAUAGAAUAGUGAAAUUGAUUAUUUUGAUCUUAAAAUUUUACAAUUUUAUGAUUUUAUUAGUUUAUGAUGAUUUUGAUUUCAAUACUCAAAAUUUUUUGUUAGUAGAAUCAGGUAAAAUCUCGAUUAACAUUUUAGAAUCUUGUAAAAUCAACGAUCUUUCACGUAUUUUACGAUUUCACUUUCUAAGUAAGAAUUAUUGAUUUAUCAUUUUGUCUCACUCGGUUUGGAUAAGAAUAAAAAAAUGUUAUUAGUAAUUUAUUUAUUUUAUUGAUAGAUUUUGAUUAUUUAAACAAUGUCCUAGAUUACAUAGAGACUGAAUCAUCCUUAUCGUAAAAAAGACAAAGAAUUUACUAAUUUCAUUAAAUUGAACUAUUUUCAGUAUGUGUUUAGUUGAUCGACUUGUCCGAAAAAUCUCGGCCAAUCCAAUCUAAGUAAAAAUUCAAAAAUGUCCGACGAAUCAAUCAACCGAAUGGACAGACCGAACCGAAGGGAUUUCCAUCCUGCGAGACAAAAAGACGGACGUGAUUUCUAUCUAGCCCAACUCGCUAGACAGACUCACUGUCCGUCCGGCCGAUCAUACCAGACGGACGGUGUGUCCGUUGGGUGAGGUGGGCCAUACGGAAAUCCCAUCUUUCUGGUUAUUAUUGCCGAAAUUUGACCUCGACAUUAACAUCAAUGUUGUAGCUAAUCGAACUAGCUUUCAAACAUAAACCAUUUUUGUAUCAAUCAGACUUCUGAGCGAUGAGUUAUGUCAAAAAUACUAAACUACGACGUUUUCCGACCUGGCCGGCGAGUUGGGCCAGACGGAAUUUGGCCUCAAGAUGAACAUAAAAGUUGUAGCCAAUCGAACUAACUUUUCAACACCGUCGGUCUUGUAUCAAUCGAAAUUUCAAUCAAUGAGUUAUGUCAAAAUUACUAAACAGCAACGUUUUCCGACCAAAUCGACCGUCUGAGUUGUUCCAGCCUCCCCGUUAUGGUUUAGUUCAUCUCAAGACAUCAUAUGGCACCUGAAAUGCACCAAAAAUAUGGGAAAAAAUGUAACGCCCCAAGGGGAUAAGGGGAACCAAAUAUGCAUAAAACGUCACAAAUUCGAUAAAGUGACUCAAUACUUGGAAAUGAGAUGGUUCUAUUCAAACUACCUAACGGGUCGUGAUGGAUACACAAGACAACGGAUGCGAUGAUGCAUCUCCACUAGACAUUACUAGGAAUCCAAAGCACGAUCAUGCCCAUGCACUACCAUUACUAAUUCACUUAAAAUCAAAUUACCUAGAAAUGAACAUAAACAGCUUGCUGGAGUGUUCGAUGAAAUGCUCUUACGGCAAUUCUAUUUUAGUAACUAGUGUUGAGAGUGGCUUUAGGUCGUGCAGUUAACAGACCUGAUCCUAAGACCCGAAACUUAUCGUUAUCCAUGUUCCUAUUUAUUCUGCAGCUGAACAGUUUCUCAUAGUCCUUAGGAUGAUCAAAAACCCGAACAAGGCCUUUCCCCACAGUCGUUCUAAUUUUAAUUUGAUCUGUAGCCGCCGAGUGAUAUAUUUGCAUUCCUGGUUUCCUGUUUCCCUUAGUAGUUGUUUUGUUUUCAUUUUAUAGUUUAGGAUAAAACUGUCUCCAAAUUAUGAUCGACUAACCAUCAAAUCAAAGCUGAGUAGUGAAGGCCAAGUGACCCGGGAGAAUUUGACUCUGAAUUAUCUCAGGAUCAUUUGAUUGUUUGGGCUUGAAAACCCUGACAUCAAAUUGGCGCCGUUGUCGGGAACAUACUUGACUUCACAAAAGGUGUAGGAUUACUCGCUUAGUCUUUGUUUUCAUAUUUGUACAUAUUUGAUUUCUUAGUUGGUUUUUGUUUCUAUUUGUGCAAUUUGUUUUUUUUUCUGUUUCACCCCACUGUAUUUGUUGUUUUGGAUAGUUCAGGUUUGUUUGCAAGACAAAGUAUGGAUAACCAUGCACAAAUGCAGUUUGACUCCCCCAAUCAAGCCUUCCCAUCGGUUCAUUAUGGUUAUGUUGAUUCACUAAUAGGAGUUCAAAUAAUCAGGACUAUUCAAAUUGGCAAGACCAAUAUGGAUUUCAUGGUGAUUCUCACUUUCAUGACUCCAUGAAUCAGAAUUUUGGUCCCUCCACUUCCAAUGAAGAUAUUGUUAAGCUAAUCCAAGAUAUUAAAGCUCGUUACCGUGCCAAUAUAGCUAUUCAAGCAGCUCACAAUACAAGGAUUGAAGCAUCUUUGGGAGAGCUUCAAGAGUCCAUCAAUUUCAUUGCUUUCCAACUCAAAGAAGAAAGAAAUAGUCACUGAGCAUCUCAACAAGAAACUAGCUCUUCAUGCCGUAUCAUGGAAACAACAAGUGUUGAGAAGUUAUUAAGUGAUUUUACAAGACAAUUUGGGGAUAGAUUGAUAAAGUAAGAAGAUGAGAUUGAUCGCUUGUCAAGUAAAAUGGAAAUCCUCCAAGAUGCUUUCUUUGAAUUGGAACACAAGACUCGAGCUUGGCAUACUGACAUUGUAGAAAGAAUUAAGUGGCGGGACCAAUUGAAGAUGUUGGUGCGAUCGAGGAAGAGUCUAAAGACGAGAAGGCUUUUUUGGCUAGGCUGAGACAGGGUGACAUUGAAGAAUUUCCGUUCUACUUCUCCGACGAAGAAGAGGGGAAUUCUUAUAUGGAUAAGUUAAGAAAGGGUACGAUUCCUAGUCCUCCUCUUUUGGUCGAAGACAUUGACAUUCCGUCCUAUUUUUCGGAAGUUUAGAGGAUGAGGAGCUUUAUGGAGUUCACAAUGUUAGCACCACUCCCCUGGUAAUAGAUGCUCAUAAUACACCCGAAGAGCAUAAAGUCUUAGAAAAGUCAACCACUUCAAAUGGCGACUCUACCUCCUCUUCAAAUGAAACAUCAACGAAAUUCCCCGAACCUACUACUAGGACAACCAAAAGGAAGCGUCUAAGUAGAAGUAAAAGAAAGAAACGCCGCAAAGAAUUGAUGAUGGUUGAGCAAGCAAAGAGUAAGGAAGAUGAACAUUACGUAGUCCUUUGAUGAAGAAGAUUGAUACUACUCCUACCGGUUGUAUUGAGUUUACUCAUCCGCAAUGGGGAAGUAUUCAAGUUACUUUUCCUAACCACGUCUACUCAAAGACCAACGAUGAUAUGAACUACAAGGAGCUUCUUGGAUGGGAUGGUGAUUGCUAGUCUACCUCCGCUUCACCACGUCAAGCUAAUGACGUUAACUAAGCGCUUCCGGGAGGCAACCCAAGUUUCUAUCCUUUUCUUUUAAUUCGUGUGCAUGAUCGUUCUCUAGAUGUCUUGAGUGUCAAACUUUUUUGAUUGAUAUGUCGUGUCAAUUUGGGGUAUUGUCGGUCUUGAUAUGAGUGAAUUUGAUGAUUGUUUGGUGUUUAGUUGGGUGAAAAUGUGUUUUUCUUUUUCUCUAGAAACGUACAGAGUUGCUACUGUCUGAAAGCUAGUCACGGCCGCGAUGCCUCUUGUGUCACGGUCGUGAUUCGUCCUUUCAAAAACUUGCUGUUUCAUUUAAAAUCAGAGCGGGGAUUGGGAGUUUGAAAACCCGUCAUGGCCGUGACGCCCAACCUGUCACGGCUGUGAUGCGUAUCGUAUCCAGCAGCCUCUUUCCCUUUCUAGACACAGAGAACAACCGAAACCACACACUUUCAACGUCGGUUCCCCCAUACUUCUUCUCUACCACUCCUCCACCUAUCUCACCGGCGCCGGAACUCUUCCACCGAUGUCGGUCGUCCCUUCUUCUCCUCCUCUACUCCUUAUCGACCUCCCAACUUCCACCAAAACUCCCAAAACUCCCACAAGUCCCCAACCAACCAAUAACAAUCCAAGUACCCAAAACCUUCAACUUCACACCAACUCCGAUCAGCUGUCUUCUCCAGCCUCCUAAAGCUUCUCUGGAGGCUUCCUCAACCCAAGGGAGCUUCCAAUUUCUUCCUCCAACCUCCAAUUUCGGAAUUCCCCAAUUUUUGGUGAGUUUUCGAUUUUUAGGUCGAAAUUUUGAUUAUCAGAAUUUAUGCCAUUGAGUUGCAAUUGAUGUGAACAUUAUGAUUGGAAUAAUGUAUAUGAUUGCCUAGGAUGAUUUUUGCAUGAUCAGAACGUGUCGUCCACUUGAUUUUUCAUGUUUUUCGAAGCGGUGAAAUUUUUGGGUUACCCAAUUUUGGAGAAUCUGAAAUUUUAAGUUGUUAUUGAUGUCCAGGUGUUUCAUGUGACUUGUUGUCAUCGUUGUAUACUCGUGAUUCUUCUUGUUUGAUUGAAGUCAUACGUUUACCUUGAAUUGUGAUUUCGCCAACAUCGGUAGAAUUUUGAUGUUUUGCCAAUUUUGAGAAUCUGAAAUUUUGAAAGUUGUUGUUGACUUCUUCGUAUUCAUUGUGACUACAUGCAUCUCUUUGUGCAAAUUCUACUUAUUGUUUGAUCAUAAUCAUUGAUAUGAAUUGUUCUUGAAUUUUGUCAAAAUCGACCAAGUUUCGACUUGUCCAUUUCGAGUUCAUUGUUGAUGUUUCUGUUUUGUUAUACUUUUGGUAUGGUGAUCGGUAUUUAUUGUGAAUUGUGAUUUCAUUGAACUUCACUUGUUCUAGGAUGUUAGUUUGUUCUCACUUUGAAUAACUAGUCAUUCUAGUCACUUUUAGAGCUAUCUUUUGAGCUUUCCAUUUCCCAUGACUUGUGCUUAUUUAGGUUCAUUUGCUUUACUUGUGUUAUGCUAUUCUUGCAAAGUAGUCUAUGUCGAGCAAAUGAUCUAUUUCUUUUUGUCGCUUGGGAUUCUUUAAACUUGUUCGAGAGUUUGAUGGAUUGGGAAGCAUUGUGCAAUAUAUUAUUAGAUUGUGAUUUUUGGCAUUUUGGAUUACGUUUGGAUGGCUUAAUUUUGCAGAUGUCAGGUGAGGGUUCUUCUCAGUCGCGGGAUGACCAAGGAGGAAGAGACAUGUUUCUAAUGAUGAUGAGAGAACAGCUUGUACUGUAGCUGCUAUGCAUCAGGCUAGGGAGCAGCAUAUUCAGGAGGUUACGGCCGCUGCUUUUGAGGCCUUCUUGACUUUCAACAAUCCGAUCUUUCGGAGUCGCUGCCAGAUUGCCAGGGGGAAGAGGAUUGUAGCCACGAGACUGUUUGAUUGGACAUCUAUUGAUGCUACUCCUCUUAUUGGCUGGACUUUUCAAAUGCGUUAGCUGUUGCAGUCGCCUUGACCGGGCUCUUUCUGUUGAUGAGCCCAGUCGUGAGGUACUCACCCAGGAGUUAUUCUCCACUCUGAUGGUGGACCUUCAGGCUGAUAGGGAUGAUACGUCAGCUAUCAGAUUCCGCAUGGCGGGAGAGUCUUGGCACUUCUCUUUCUAUCAGUUUGUCGUCGCUUGUGGUUGUUAUGACGAGGCGGAAACUGAGGAGUUCAGCAGCUGUUGAUCUAUCGAGGUAAUGAUACUUUGACUGCUGCCAAUGCCUCAUUCUGGUCUCGAAUGCGGAGAGAUGCUAUACCAUUUGCUGCUGGGAGGAUCAAGGCGAUACUUUUCAAGAACCCUCUUCACAGAUUCCUCAGGGAGGGUUGGCUAUGAUUAUCACUGCUCGCCAUGAGAGUCUUGGCACAUCCUAGCUGGAGACUUGUUCCUGAUUCAGAUGAUGGUAAACGGUACACCGGCACAUUUGGGCUAUCUAGUGGCUCAUCACUUGCAGUUCAUGUGCGCUCCGUCUUCCUCAGCUCUUCUUGGCGGUGCUUACAUCGCUCGGGUGGCCAGAUACUUGUGGCUACUCGACCGGUUCAGAGACUUCCCGACCUACCCGUCGAUGAUGAUGGAUUCUGCUUUGCUCGUCUGCAUGAAGCUGCUUCGUGCGGUGCGUGGUUUAGGUGGUAGGGCCUACGAGGUGACUGCUGAUGCCCACAUUCCAGAACAUGAUGUGGAUGAGGAGGCGGAGAUGGAUGCCAUGGAUGCCCCUGUUUCUCCACCACAUCCCGAUGAGAACUUAUCUCUUCCAGAUGCAGUGCGCCGUCUCACGGAUCAGCAGGCACAGUUUCAGGCAGAGACUCGAGCUGCAAUGGCUGAUCUCACCUCUCGAGUCUACUAGUUGCAGCGUCGAGAUUAUGAGAGGCAUGGUGAAUCUCUCCCACCCGGGCUACCACCAUUCGAGUGACUCUAGUGUGGCUUUUCAGGACAUUUAGUGUUUGAUCUUUAUUUUUCUUUUUCUUUCAUUUGAACUUUGUGAUAUCCUCUAUUAUGAUGUUACGGAUUUGUUUUCACCCCAUUAAGCACUUGUGCUUAUGGUGGGUGAUGUCCGUACUCUACUCUUUUCUUCUUUUCUUAUGUUUGUUUCAGGUUUCCCAACAUUUCUCUAAUCAUCGACUUGGAUUACUCUAUUAUGGAUCAUCUUUGUGAGUUGUUCCACCCUUCAUCCUUUGUGCUUGUUUUUUACGGUACACUUUCUCCUACUCUAUUAUAUUUUGGUCCCAUUGAGGACAAUGUGAUGUUCAAGUGUGGGGGGAUUAUGAAAGUGUACCAUGCUUGUUAUUGUUGGAUGUUUAGGGUGCUAGUUCAUUUUGCCUUCUUCUUUGGAUUGAUGCCAGUUCAUGUUGGCCUCUUAUUUUGAUUGAUGCAUAUUGUGGCUUAGUCUUGCUUUUCGAAACUCCCUCUCGAAUUUGAAUAUGUGGAUGUCUUUGGAUACAUUCUUAGUAUUUUCAUACUGCUCGAGGAUGAAUAGGUUGUUAAGUAGAUCAUUUGUGGACCACCUCCCAUUUUUCUGAAAUUAGUUUGCUUCGAACUUGUGCAUAUGGAAGUUAUGAGUUUUUGCAUGUACUUGUUUGAUACGUAUGAUAGAUUCUCUUUAUCGAGCUUGUUUGUGGUGUUAUGAAGUCAAAAUGGACGGGACGGAUCCGAAUGAGGAUGCUUGAAUAAAAAUGCAUUUGGGUUUGUUUACAUCCUAAACACGUGUGGCGACCCUUGAGGUCCGCCUUCUUCACAACCUUUAUGAGGUUUGGGUUGUGGGAAACAGAGACUGGUUACUUCCGAGUCCGGCCAUGGUUGUAACAAUUCUCUCUAAAAAAAAAAAAAAAAAAAAAAAAAAAAAAAAAAAAAAAAAAAAAAAAAAAAAAAAAAAAAAAAAAAAAAAAAAAAAAAAAAAAAAAAAAAAAAAAAAAAAAAAAAAAAAAAAAAAAAAAAAAAAAAAGAAAAAAAAAAAAAAAAAAGGGGAGAGGGGGGGUGCUAGUAUUUUUGGUGAUAGUAGUGCUACGAUUAGACACCCCCUCCCUCAGCCCAGCCAGGACCGUCCGUCCGUCCAUUUCUUCCGCUAGUACCACAAGACAUAAGUGCGAUGGAGAAACUCUUGUAUAUUCGCGUGUAUAGGUGUUUAGUCAUAAUCUCUAUAUGUUUGAGUUUGGUGUGAACUUUUCUAAGGGAUUCGGUGUCUUGUACAUAAUUGAGUGGUUUGGUGUUCGACUUGCAAUUUUGGCAUCGUGAAGUAGGCUUGAAAUUCUAAGCUAUGUAUUUCCUUUCACCAUGAUUCGAGUUCUUUUUUUGCGUGUGAUUAGUAGAUUUGCUUGAGGACAAGCAAUGUUUAAGUGUGGGGGGAUUUGAUAGCUUGAUUAUUGGUAGCCAUGUUGACCCUAUGGUAGUCAUAUUGACCCUACCUUGACCAGUUUUUGCUCCGAUUUUGAUGAUAUUUGAUGGUUAUAAGUGCCCGGUUUGAUCAUAAGUGCAUUUCGUGCUCGUUUCCUCUCGAACGGAUCUGUUUCACUUGUUUCUUGGAGUCUCUUCCUUGAUUGCAGGUAUCUGUUGGAUAGAGGGUUCGAAUACGAAACCGAUGGUACCUGUCGAUUAAUGUUGCUGUUGACCGAAAGAAGAAGUUAUGACCGAAGAAGUCGAUCAAUGCUGCUAUUGACCAGUCAAUAGGUGUCACGGUCGUGAUGGGUAACCUGUCACGGCCGUGACGCCUAGUCUGGACAGCAAAAUUAAUUCAACACCAGACGCGAUUUCAGAAGGGGGAAGACAGAAAAUGACGAACUAAAACAUAUUUUGACGAAGGGGAAAGUGCUUGGGAGCCUAGGAACGGCAUGUGAAUGAAGAUUUGAAGCCAAAUAGUCGAGGAAUCGAAGCCCAACGGAGGAUUAACCUUCUAUUUCGGUGGAUUGGCGGUUUGAACCUUUCUCUACAUCUUCCAUGAAAAAAUAGGUUUUCUUCUUGUUUGGGUUUUGUGAAUUCUUUUGGAUUUAUGGGAUCGUUCUUGUGUGUAGUGAUAGGAUUGUGGAUUCAUGUUGAUUGAUGAUGUAUUUUGUUAUCUCGUUGCCUCGAUUGUCCUGUUUCCAUUCUUUCGCAGUUUUCUCAGUUUCCCUGAUUUGGGUUUUCUUAUGAGAUUGUUGUCGAGUUGUUUGUUGAGCGGAUACUUGCGGGUGUUGAGAGUGGUUUUAGGUUGUUCAGUUGACAGACCCGAUCCUAAGACCCGAAACUUAUCGUUAUCCAUGUUCAUGUUUAUUCUGCAGCUGAACAGUUUCCCAUAGUUCUUAGGAUGAUCCAAAACCUGAACAAGGCCUUUCCCCACAGUCGUUCUAACCUUAAUUUGAUCUGUAGCCGUCGAGUGAUAUAUUUGCAUUCUUGGUUUCCUGUUUCCAUUAGUAGUUGUUUUGUUUUCAUUUUAUAAUUUAGGAUAAAACUGUCUCCAAAUUGUGAUCGACUAACCAGCGAACCAAAACUGAGUAGUGAAAGUCAAGUGACCCGAGAGAAUUUGACUCUGAAUUAUCUCAGGAUCAUUUGAUUGUUUGGGCUUGAAAACCCUAACGUCACACACUUUUACUUGUUUAACGGUGUUUAAUUUCCUGAAAUUUAAUGUAGUUAGAAGGGUAAGUCUCGAAAGCUCAAGCUAUGAAAGAGAUGUUUGGAAAGCUACGAAGAAAACUUGCAAGGGCGACUUUGAACUAUUUGGAGUCCCAGGUCUUGCUUUUUCCUUUCUCUUUUAUGGAUGUUUUGUUUUUCUUGUUGAAAGGUUACUCAUGAGAGCCUCAUCAAUAUAACUAAACCUUGUGCUCGCUCGCUGUUUAUCUGAUUUUGAUUUUGAUGAUAGGGUGUCCAUUAUGAGCUUGAGAGCACCAUGCCCCACGUGCUCUUUUGUUGAUUUUGCAAAUCGUAAGGGUGUCAUACAUGGAAACUUCACUGCUAUAAAGAAAUCAGACUAAAGCUCCGGAGAAAGGCCUCCAGCUGAAAUGUUUUUUGCUGAGGCGGUGUACAAGAAGGAUGGAUUUGGGGUGGACAUUAGUUGUUGGAGCAUCGUUGAUCCUGCUGUAAAGGGUGGUAAUCAUUUUAUCAAAUCUCUGGAUCCUAUAUGUUGGUCUGUGAAAAUCAUUAAGUUCACAUCAGUAGCUGCUGCUUAUGGUAUUAUGGAUCUUUGUUUUUGUAGGACGUUGUGAGUGUUGUUCUGUGAAUGAUUAUGAACCCGGAGAAAGUGAAUCAGAGUAGUUGCCUGCAAUUCUCAAGCAUGGAAACUGGAACAUGGACACUCUCUCGCAAUUACAAAAGAGGGUUCGUUGUUCUCGUUUUAUUAUUCCCAUAGUUUAGUCUGAUGGACAGUUAUGUACGUAUAAAUGAUAGAUAACUAUUUUAUUCUAGCACAAGGGGAUGUGAAUAAUAAAAUGUAAUAGUAGGCUCGUAAGAUUGAUCCUGUGCCGACCACUCUGAGCUUCAAUUUUAAUCCUUGAAAUGGUUAUGACAUUGUAUAGGAUCUAAUGAAGGUCCUAUCAAGGGAUGGACAACCGAAAUUGUUUGUCUACAGCGGGGUCAUGAAUGUAUGGAAUGAUGUCAGUUGUGUGAAAGGUGUUUCAAUAUAGCUUGUAAGAAAGGAUCAGUGAAGGCAGGCAAACAUGCAAGUCGACUCUCAAGGACUUAGCUGCCAAAUGGAUACAAUGCAUCAACUCUCGCUUCACAAAUCCUUAUUCCUAUGAGUAAUGACAAGCGGAAAGUACCCUAAACGCAACGUUAUAUACAGAAUGAUAAGUAGGAGAACACCGACUGGAUCCAUGACGCAAUUGGUAACGCGUGCGACUUCAGAUCAGAAGGUUGCUUGUUCGAUUCAUGUCGGGUUCAAUCUCCUGGUCUUUCAAAUUGGACUUUCAAGAAGCCCAGCCGACAUUGCUGGUGGGGCAAGUUUGAAAGAGACAAAAAAUAUGAACUUGGGUUAAAUAAAAAAAAACCCAGUCGUCAUUGGGUAAGCGAAUUGAGGAUAAGAUUCCUGAAAAGCUUUGGUGGGGGGGGGGGAAUUUGUUGCUUUAUUUUUUGGUUUAAAUUUUAUCGGAAUAACGAAAAUUGUUACAUCCUCUGUAAAAACAAAAUUGUUUCUCGUCUGGAGUAUGAAUGAAUGAAUCUGAGGUAAGCAGUAGCAUGUUCAUAUAUAGAAGAAGAGCACCAGACAAGUACAAAAGUACGUUACACCGUCCAAUCAUUUCCAAUCAUACUGAAAUUUUUUGCCCAAAUUAUGUGUGUACUACUUACUACUAAGUUCAUUGAAUCUGCACCUAAUCCUAAUACUCUUGUUCAAUUGCAUGUAAUUGUAUCUGCAAUAGUGCAUGAUUUCAAUGUCAGAAUUAUCGGACAAACGAAAUUUCAAUAUAAUCCAUUAAUUAUUAAAUUUGACGAUCUUCAAGAUAUCAGUAAUGAGAUUCGUUAGAGCGUGUGCAUGUCUCGUCCUGAUAUUGUCUGGAUAUUUUUUUAACAAAAUUAAGUUUGACAAUCAUCAAGAUAAUAUAAGUGACGAGAUUCAUUAGGGAGUUUGCGUGUGUGUCUCGUCCUUAUAUUGUCUUUUUUUAACUAGAUUUAUAAAUAUGCGUCAUGUAAAGAAAAAAAAGGUAUAAAAAAUCCUGAGUGUAGUCAAACUCACAGUGACCACCAUCGGUUAUAUUGUUAGAAUCUCUUUAGGUUGAGCAUUGUCUCAAUAACAUUAAAUGAGGUGCUUUCUUAGUGAUUUGAUAAAUCGUCGAAUAAUUGUUAAAAUAAUUUAAUGAUCUUUCAUUAUGUGAUUGCAUAUUUAUUAUUGUCAUCGAGGUCAAUACUAUACAUAGACAUUAUAGAAAAUAUCCAAAACAAUCGCUGAAUCGAUAAAUUAACGGAUCAUAAACAAUCAUUUAACUCGAUACUUAACCGAUAAGAUUCCGUCGUACAACUAACUACAAGAGGUCGGCUGGCUAGUUGACAAAUACAUCCUAGGCAGUUUGGUCUCAAAUAUUAUGAAAUAUUAUAAGAAAGGCCUACUAGCUAGCUAGUUGGGAGUUGGAAACUUAUGGUUACAUAUAAAUUAGAAAGGGGGGAAGGCACUCAUAAGUCAUAAGAAUAAUUUUUUUAAAAAAAACGUAUACUUUUGUUAUUGUACGUACAGCUAAGAUGUUUACAUGUGUAGUGACAAGUUGCCUAAUUACAUCCCCAACUUGGGGAGUGUUCCCUUAAUUAAUUAAAAUGGCUUAAAUAAACUAAGUAUGUAUGCGUAUAUGAUGCAUAUGCUAGUGACUGUCUCAAUACUGGAGCACUCACUAGUUACAUUACAUCCCAUCUCUCUCUAAUCCUUUAACAGCUCAGUUUAUAGCUUUCAACAACGUGACCAUCAUUCAUUGUAUCGUGCAAUUAUUAGUUUUCAUCUAUUUUCUCAUUUCAUUUUUUUCCAAUUUAAUUUGCAACUUAGUGAUAUUUUUAUAUUAUAGAUAAAUUGAAAAAUAAUUAUUUGUGUUGCGGGUAAAUAUUAACAAUUAAAGUAUCACAUAAGAGAAGUUUGUCUUUUUUAUAAGUGUUUACCAACCAAACUAGUAUAAAAGGAAUUCAAAAUACAGGUGCGUGCAAUUCAAAAGUGGAUCGGCGAGCCUAACAAAUAUUGAAAUAUUUGAAUUGAUGUUUUUCCAACCGGUCAAUUUAACUUUUAUAAAAAUAUGUUUAUAAUGUGAUUUUUUUUAUUAUUAGAAUGGCUAAUUAGAUAGUUACAGUGCAUUUGCACCGGAAUUUUAGCAAAAAUACAAACAAUCAUCUCCUCCGGCGGCUUCCCCUCCCUCCCACACAGCUCCACUUUGCUUUUGGUUGAAAGCAUUUAAAUUUCCAUAGUCGGAGGAAGUGGAGCCCACCAGUGGUGGGUGGAGCAAAACGGCACGGACCACGUGACCGUCCGGUAGCGAGUUUUGGAAAGGUUGUCUAAAACGUCACGUCUGUAAAUUUCCCGGCCGACGUGGAGCUCGUCGGAAGUGGGUUGGCCUGGUCCCUCCCGUGUCCUCCUCCUCCUCCAAUUAUUAUAAUACGUUUCCAAGUCAUUGAUAUUUCUCUUUUUUUUCACGUACUUUUGAGCGGUUAAUAUGUUUGUUUGAGAUUUACAAUAUAAUUACAUAAAUCAGUGAUACCAUUUAAAUCAUUAGAUCUCUACUAGCCCGGAGAUCAUCUGAUACGGCAAGAACACCUCUAAAACAAGAUGGUGAUCGUAUGUUAAAAAGUUUCCAGUCCUAUUAAGGACGUAUUAAUACAUAAAAAGAUUUAUGAUACAUUGAUAUGGACGAAUGUCUAUAACAUGCAAUAUGAGACGAAAAACCCACAACUAAAAAUGAACCCGAACAUAUUCAAAUUGAAACAUGUAAACAAGCUAAAUCAAGAUGGUAAAAGUCACACUUGAAACAUAUCGUCUCCAAUGAUAACCUCCCUCGGAACUGUUGUCAAUUUCAAAACAAGAGAAAACCCCACACAAAAGAGAAGCAUGGAGGUCGAGCAAAUGCAAAAAACAACAAAAAAAAAAACUGUCCCAUCUUAAAAGCAGCGGCAUCGCCAACCUAAAAAGCUGGUAAAAAUGAGACUGCCAAAAAAGCUAAUACACAACACAACCCUAUUGGCUAACACUUGUAAAUAAUAAUUACAAGAAAUAUGCAUCUCUUUGUUGUUGGGAAGCUAAUCCUAGCAGCUAACUAGCUAGUAAAGCUCUCUCUGCUUCCCAUGAUUUGGAAGCUUUUCUUCACUUCUUUCCUCCUGGGAUCAGAUUAAACUAAUCAACCAUAAUUCAUUAGUAAAAAGUGGAGAAAUUAUGGGUUGGAGGAAAGGGUUUUUGCCCAAAUGCACAAGAGAAUAUACUUAAAGCAGCAGAGGUUCUUUUUUAAUUAUUUACUUUAUUAAGCUGCUACAAUCCAUCCUUGCUUCUUUUCGCAGCUUUUUUCUUGCACUCCAGUCCUCUUUUUUUUUAUUACCACAAGACAAGUUACUAUGCUAGCCUUGUUCAACUUUGAAUCCUGUCAUUUUAACUUUAGUUACUAUAAGAGAAUCAUUAAUUCAUAAUGCUUUAGUUCUCAUGGUAAAAAUCCCUCUAUUUUAGAGUGAUUUAGGGUAUAACAUGGAACAUACGGCAUCGUUCGGUUCUUACAAUCGAGAUUUCUUAAGCACAUUAAUUUUGUCUAUAUAUAGCCACAAUCCUUCUAAUUUAGUCCAUUCCUCCAAUGUAUCUUGAAUACCAUUUGUUUGAUAUAACAAGUAUGUUAAUAUAACUACAAAGGAGGUGAUCACCUGUAACGUACGAGCCAACGGUGGAUUCAAGGGGUCUUCCCGGACUCGGUUCAAUGUAUUUUUAAUUUUUGAAGUUUAAUGCUAUGUACUUUCCUUUAUACUUUUCAGUUUGUUGGCAUUUUUUCUACAUGUGGCGGCCCAGGUAGAUGUUUAACUCACAUAGAAUCACAUAGUAGAUUGCAACCAAGCAUGCCAUUAAUUUAUCAACGUCAAAUCAUUAUUAUACAUUUUCAUUCAAACAUUAGACAAACUAGCAAUAAAGCUCAAGAUUUAAAUUGAAAGGUAAGUAGUUCGAAUCCUAUACCCAUCAUAUGAAGAAACUUGUUCGACGUGACAACAUUCGAGUCAUAUCCUCUAAAUGAAACAAAUUAGUCAUUUACCAACUAGUGACAUACACCUUUUUUGUAUAGUCGAUCGAACGAUAUGAUAAGUCGAGUAUAUAAAUACGCCUAGUUACAUAACCGUUUCGAUGAGUCGAUGAAUAUACACCCGUUACAUUAAAACAAUCAUGUUGACAACGCAAUGAUACUAAACAUAAUAUUGACAUAUAUAUAUAUAUAAUGUGUUUGAUUUGAACUCGAUAUCUCUAAAUUAUCAACAAAUAACGUAACCAAUUAUGCUAUUUCACGUACAAAUAUUGAUUAAUGAACAGAGAUGGAAAAUUGAAGGGUAAAAUAAAUAAGGGAGAAUGAGUGAGGGAGAGAGAGAGAGAGAGAGAGAGAGAGUGGGGUAUUAUAUGGUGUCUCUCUCUCGCUAUCUCUGGGCUCUGCAGUCAGCAGCUAGCAAUUGUAUACAGAGAAAUGAAAACGAAAGGAUAUAGGCCAAAUGCAACCUUAUCUAACCCACGGCGUCACCACAAGACACGUGUCUCUCCAGGGGAAGUGAAAGACUUUUGGAGUGUGGGAAUGGAAGGCCUCUGUAAAAAGUAAAGGCAGGUUUAGAAGAUAGGUAAACAAGUAAAAAGCCUGCAGUAAAAAAGAAAAUAUAACUCCGAAUCCCCACUUCAUCGCAAUUAAAAUGCGGUAUUAGAGUGAUGCUGGAUCUCCUCCAUUCUCCAAUACUAUGUUAAUGCGAUUACGAAGGAUGUUUGUGUUUCCUGCUGGUUUAGUGGAAAGCUUAACCAAACUCCACAUCUGCAUAAACAUUCAUCUAUGUUUGCUGACCAAACCAUCCAUUACGGAAUUGUUUUUUGUUUUUCUUCUACUUCAAACUUAUUAACUUAAUUAAGAUCAACUCUACCGAUAUUUGUAAUCCCAGCAAAAAUUAACUCACAUCAAUCGUUAUCAUAAACGAGGGGGUCGUAAAUCCAACCAUAUUGAUAAAUUUUGUAAAUAUCUAUAAUUUAUAAAUUAAUAUUACAGACAUAAUAUUUUCACACUCAUAACAUGUGCUCAUCUAGAUUGGUGAUUUAAUACAAAUGGUUACAUUUUUUCCACCCUUAAAGCUAUGGUUCGUCACUCGCAAUCAAUGGUGGAAUUAAGGGUGGACGAACUUAGACUUUCAUCUGACGUAAUUAUUUAAGAUUCUUCGAUUAUGAAAUAUACAAUUUUAUGAGAUUUUCAUAAUUAAUUUUUUUUUAAUAUGUUUUUGAAUUUAGUUCAAUAUAUUUUUAAAUACACUUAAAANNNNNNNNNNNNNNNNNNNNNNNNNNNNNNNNNNNNNNNNNNNNNNNNNNNNNNNNNNNNNNNNNNNNNNNNNNNNNNNNNNNNNNNNNNNNNNNNNNNNNNNNNNNNNNNNNNNNNNNNNNNNNNNNNNNNNNNNNNNNNNNNNNNNNNNNNNNNNNNNCUCUUACAGGUCUCCCCCCCCCCCCCCCCCCCCCUUAUUUUAUUUAUAAAAUAAUAAAUAACCCCAGACCAAAAACAGAGAAAUUGAGCUUGAAGCUCAUACAUGCCACGUCAUACUUCACAUUUUUUCUUCAUUCAAUAUAAUUAAUUAAUAAUUUAUUUUUCAUCAUCAAAUAAUCCAAAAUUCACUCUCUCAUUCAUUUCUCAUCUGGGGGACUUUUUUUCUUCCAACUCACAGAGCUUUCUUCGCCUUUCCUUUCCUCUCUUUCUUUUUUCCCUUCACUUUCCUUUCUUUGAUUCCCAACUUCCCAACUUCAAGCUAAUGUAAUUCUGCUUACUUCCCACUUUUUCUUAUCUCCAGUGGUGGUGGUGAGUUCUCCCUAGUUCUUGUUCUUCCCUGGUGGUGGUGGGGAUCACAUUUUUUUUUUUGUUUCUUUCUUCUUUGCUGGUGGAAGGAGCUAUGAAUCCCCUUAAUGGAAAGGGAUCCCUCUCCGCUUCUGUUUCCAGAGUCAACUGGAAAUCCGGCGAACCAGUCGCGGAUCAGUUCCCCGCCGGACUCCGUGUUAUGGUCGUUGACGACGAUCCCACUUGCCUCAUGAUUUUGGAGAAGAUGCUCAGAACCUGUCUUUAUCAAGGUAGUUUACCGGCUUCAUGCUCAAAAGUAGAGUGAUGGGUUUUAAGAUCUAUUUGGAAUUAGCUUUGUUUUGCGACCAAUUUUCGGAAUCUAAUUUGAAUUUGGUUUGACUUGUGAUUAUCUUUGAGAUUUCUGCUGCCUUUUUUCAAUUGGAUUGAUCUCCUUUAUCUUCUUUUCCUUGUAAAUUUCCAAUCUUCAGUGAAGAAAUGCAGUAGAGCAGAGGAGGCCUUGUCAAUCUUGAGAGAGAACAGAAAUGGGUACGAUAUAGUGAUAAGUGAUGUACAUAUGCCGGAUAUGGAUGGGUUUAAGCUGCUGGAGCUUGUUGGUCUGGAAAUGGAUCUGCCUGUUAUCAGUAAGUAUAUUAUCUGCAAUCUUUGUUUGUGAUUUAGGGUGUGAUAGAUGAUGAUGAUGAUGAUGAUUGUGGAACUUUAUUGUGUGAAAAUCUUGAAGUGAUGUCUGCGGAUGACUCGAAGAGUGUGGUAAUGAAGGGAGUCACUCAUGGUGCUUGUGACUAUCUGAUAAAGCCGGUUCGGAUCGAGGCUUUGAAGAACAUAUGGCAGCAUGUUGUUCGUAAGAAGAGGAGUGAGUUGAAGGAAGUGGAGCAAUCUGAGAGUGCUGAGGAAGGGGAUUCUAGGCAGCCUAAACAGUCUGAGGAUGCCGAUUAUUCUUCCUCGAUUAAUGAAAGUAACUGGAGAAAUUCCAAGAGACGGAAGGAUGACGAUGAGGAAGGAGAGGAUAGGGAUGACACCUCCUCGUUGAAGAAGCCUCGAGUCGUUUGGUCUGUUGAGCUGCAUCAACAGUUUGUCGCUGCGGUUAACCAGCUUGGCGUAGACAGUAUGUCUCUUCUUACUCAUUACCGGACCGAUCCCUUCAUUUUGUUAGCAACUUUUCUAAAUUAUGUAUCCGUUGAUUCUUAAUGUCUUAUGUGUUUGUUGGAUCUGAUCAUACAGAGGCCGUGCCGAAGAAGAUUCUUGAGUUGAUGAACGUACCUGGACUCACUAGAGAAAACGUUGCUAGCCACCUUCAGGUAUGCUCUAAAUGAACUAUUUACAAUGUCAAUUCUUGUUCAUACAGUCUAUUUUUUCCCGGUUGAUGCAUCAGAGCUUGAGAAAGUUUGAUGUGUUUCUAAUUUGAUGCCCCGGUUUUGUGAGGUACAGAAAUAUCGAUUGUAUCUGAGAAGGUUAAGUGGUGUUUCUCAGCAUCAAAACAAUUUGGGGAACUCGUUUAUGUCCCAAGACCCAGGUUAUGGACCAUUGUCCACACUUAAUGGACUAGAUCUUCAAACGCUUGCUGCCACUGGCCAGCUCCCAGCUCAAAGUCUUGCAACCCUUCAAGGUGCAGGAUUAGGUCGAGCGGUUCCAAAGUCCAGGAUCCCAAUCCCUGUAGUUGAUCAGAGGAGCCUGUUCAGCUUUGAGAACCCGAAAUUGGCUUACGGAGAUAGCCAACAGCAACAGCAACAUCAUUUGGGUGGUGGUAUGCAGAUGAACUUGCUUCAUGGAAUUCCAACAAAUAUGGAGCCAAAGCAGCUUGUGAAUUUGCACCAUUCGGGAUCAUCUCAUGGAAGCAUGAACGUGCAAGUUAAUUCUCAGAGUGGGUCUCUGCUAAUGCAAAUGUCUCAACCACAGUCUAGAGCACAGAUGCUAAAUGAUCAUACUGUAGCCAACCAAGUUCCUAGGAUUCCUUCGACUGUAGGUCAGCCGAUCAUGUCAAAUACCCUUGCUGGCGGUAUCAUGUCGAGAAAUGGUAUGGACGAAAGCAACAGACCAAUGGGAUAUAAUAAUCCAGCUUCACAGUCUUCAUCAAUCAUGAACUUCCCCUUGCACAGCUCAGCAGAACUGCGAAGUAAUAAUAGCUACCCUCUUCAGAAUAAUCCAGUUGUAGCCAACCUCUCGUCAAAAGGUGCUUUUCAAGAAGACGUGGCCUCAGAAAUGAAAGGAGCGCCAGGAUUCAUGCCUAGCUAUGACAUUUUUGGUGACUUGAACCAGCAGAAGGCCCAUAAUUGGGAGCUGCAGAAUGUUGGCUUGACCUUUAAUGCCUCGCAACAAGGCAAUAUUGAGGUGGGCUCUUCGGGUGUAUCUCGUCAAGGUUUUCCCUCUGGUCAAGGAAGUGGCCAAUCCAGGAAUUCAGCAGCUAUUGUAAGCAGGCCGCCUAUGUUCUCUGCUGCUGGCGUGGAACAUGUGAACAACACAAUAAGUGUCGGCCAGCAUAUGAAUAACCUCUAUUCCGAGAAUAAUCCGGUUAGUAUUAAAGUUGAAAGGAUUGAUACAGGCAAUCAGACUACUCUCUUUCACGAGCAAUUUGGUCAAGAUGAUCUCAUGACUGCAUUACUCAAGCAAGUAUGUAGCUUUUCUCCUUGAUUUGACUCUUUCUGAUUCAAUGUCCUGCUCUUGAACUCUCGACUCUUUCUGAUUCAAUGUCUUGCUCUUGAACUUUGGUUUGACCAUAUUCUCACUUUUUGCAGCAGCAGGGAGGCAUUGGACCAGCAGAUAAUGAGUUUGACUUAGACGGGUAUACCUUCGACAAUAUUCAUGUAUAGGAAUGUCGAUCAAGCUCCAAUACGGCCUUGGUUGGUCAAUGCAGUUGCUGAUGUACAUACAUGCAGUCGCCUGUGGACCCUGAUCUCUUCAAGUGACAGCAUAGUGAUUCAAAGUUAGAUGGAAUUGUUCAGGAAGGAAAAUAUUUGGUUGCUUUUUCAGGUAGCUGCAUUUCAUCUGUCAAUAUUGAGAGUUCUGCUGGGUAUAAAGGUGGUGGGGGCAUAAAAGAACCAGAAUGGGGAAGUUGCUAUCACUACGAGGCAUGAUAUGAGAAGGCAUAGCAUGCAAAUUUUUGGAAGGAAAGUCUGUCUAGUAUUUGAAGCAGCAAAGAAACUAAUUAUUAGGAGGGAGCAAAUUGUGGUUAUCUUGGGCUAGAUGAUGUGCUUCAGUAGAAGUUUGCAGAAGAAAAGUAGCUAGCUAGGAAAACCUGUUUUUCUAACUCUAAUAACUCAGUUUGUGAUCAUUUGAUUUUGAGUUUGCUCUCUUGCUUUUUUUUUCCAGAUUUGUUAUUUCAGGAACUGACCUUGAUUGUACAUAUUCUAUUCCCCCAUUUGUUUGCUCUUUAGACAUAAGUCCUUCCUGGGUAUAUUUUUCUCCAGGAUGUUUUCCUCUUGUAUUUGAAUGAAUAUUCCAGCAACUCUCUUUUAUUUUAUCUCAUCUAAUCAUCAUACCCCUAUCUGUUUUUAGCCUUUUAGGGUUGGUUUGGCAAUGGAAAUCAAGAUUUUUAAGAAAAUUAAGUGGAAGGAAAUUGAGUUGAGAUUGGUAAAGGUUGUGUUGUUCCCGUAUAAUACAUUUAUCGUUUCCUUGUCAUCUAAACAAAACAUGUAUGAAUGAAUGUAGUUUUUCAUCAGGAUAAAACAAUAGAAUAGAACUCUCGUCAGAUAUUACACCUCCCAAACAGAGCCUUAAAUCGAAACCAUGGAAUUUGGGAGCAAAAUAUAUUCAAGAUGAAGCCAAUAAAGCAAGCAAACAGACAAGAUACAAUACAAUGCUGAUCAGUUCAAGAUUGAUCUUUGUAAGAGCAUAUAACUUGGAAGGAAAAUUACAAAGAAAUAGAGUAAUAGUAGUAGCAGAAGUAGUACUAAAGACCCAAACUUGAAAUCCUGUUAGGGACAACAUCUACAGGAACAGGUUUUACAUUUUAAGCUUCAGUUCUUCAGUAUGUCUGUCACAGUGCAGCAGUUUUCAACUGGGGAUCCUGCUGUCCCCAUCAUCAAACUUGGAAUAGUAUUUACCAAUCUCUCGACUUCAAUGCCUGCUCAAUUGUACCGAUCAUUGAACAUAAACCAAAAGAAUGAAAAAAUCUUCACAUCACCCAACAGCUACCAUAGAUCCUGCCUCAGUAGGGAUGCCACCAGUGUUCCUAGUAUUAGAGACAGAAUUGUCACAGGAGCCCUUCGGUUAACGCUGCUCGUUGGGUACAUUGUAGGAAGAGAACAUUCUUCACCAUUGAAGAACACUUUAGUAGGGAAACCAUCUCCGAGUGGCACAUUAAUUCCAGGUGUGGUUCUCUUGGUAAAUGAGACCACAGACUGCUGUUUUCCGGGGACUCUUGGAUCCUUGCUUGGGUUGAGACCAUCAGUCUCCCCAACUAGGUAGUUCAGUCCAGGAAGACCCUGCAUGAAUAUGGUGUUGUUGGAAUUCGGCAGCAUGGUUCCAUUAAAUGAAUACAUGGCUUCGAAACCUCCGGCUGCUUUGUCCAUUUCGACGGCAACAAACCAAUCAGGGAAAGGAAUCUCCGCCCAGUUGAAGAGCGUGAUCCUAGAACUCCAUCCUCGACUGUAAUCAGUAUUCACAUGCCAAUUGAUGCUCACCCCACAGUUAUCAGCACACGGCAUCGGGUUGGGGAGUGCUCGAUGCUUGAUGUUGGCCCAAGCAGCGGUCAUGGCGGAACGAUUCUCAAAAGGAACCAGGAGAGCAUUGGGCGGAAGAAGAACCGCCGGAGUAUUUGCACUACAAGUCUGAGAAGCUGCUUUAUUAGGGCACCCACAAGCACAGGUAUUGCAUGGGACAACCGAAUCGUUGUAGAAUGCGGAGAAUGAAACGCAGCAACGAGGGCUCGAUCCCUUCUGUUGCGUGAUGUUGCACACCACCUGCCAAGUAGCAACUGCAGUAGAAUUCGAUGGUAAACCACUUGGGUCCAGGAACUCACUUGGGCUCACCCUAACAGGAGGUCCACAUUGAUAAUCAGGGUUCAACGUGCCAUUGAUCUUCCAGUUCUGUGGCGGGGAAAGCUCUGAGCGGGUCAGAUUAGGAGGCAUUUUGAAAACCUGCAUCUGGAAAGAAGAGACCGACUUGCUGGGGUCCAUAGAUGGUGGCAAGAUUGUGCCGUUCCGGCAACAAAAAGGGAUCAUUCCGAGUGUGGUGUCGUUGAACUUGGUUGGGGGCAGAUCGAUAAUUGUCGGUCUCCUUUCACAGUUCAGCACGGUGGAGAAGUCCAGCUGUUUGUAGUAUUCGCCCUGAGGACCAAAUAUGCAGGGAGAGGAAUCUACGAGUGAAGGAUACGCACCCUUCAUUGAGUUGAUGAACUCAUCCUGCAUCCAGUCCCAGCUCAGUUUCCAGUUAUCGAGACGGCCUAAGUGAUUGUGGUUGGUGAUGGUAACUUGUGCCCAGUAACUCGAAUCAUAAGCUCGGAUCACAUCGUAAGCUAUCGUCAAAUCGCCACUCUGGCGAGGCAAGAAAUCCCCAUCUAGUAAUGUGAUGUUCGAUUUGGCUUUCUCGUCUUUGACGCAGCAAGUCGACAUAGCACCGCCUGCCAAAUCCACAAACAAAAUAUAAUAGCUGUCCAUCAUCAACAUCAAUGAUAGCAAUUACAAACAUUCAAAGGAAACAAAAGAACAAACAUGAAGCAUUCACUACUAUCCAUCAAACAACUUUCUAGUUACAUCACAAUUUCAUAUUGCUACAAUUCAUGUCCUAAAUCAUAUCUCAAUGGGGCAAAAACAAAAGCUGCAAUUCAAGUCAACGAUAAUUCACUAGUCAAUUCAAUCCCUAGUCUAAUUCAAUGAUCGUCCAAUCAACCCGAAAUCAUCGCCGAAAAUGAGAUCUAAUCCCACACAGAAAAAGAAAACCCUGAUAAUCGUAAUUCUGAUUACCUAGAGUGGUGGUAGCAGGGCAAGACCAUCCAUCAUUCACCAGAGUAAUAUUAGUCGGCCAAGGAAUCGCCGGCGGCUUGACCCCGAACUGAGUCCCCAAGAGCUUAACCUCGACGGAAGUCUGAGUGGAGUCCCCAGCGGUCUCAAUCGCGGUCUUCAAGUCAGUCAUAGGGAACCCGGCGAAAACGGUACCGUUCCCGACUAAAGCAGGGUAGCUGGAGCCGUCAGCUAGAAUCGCAUUGGUGGCAGAGACAAGGAUCUCAUCGUGCUUAAACCCUACAAAGGCUUGCCAGGACUUGAGCUUCUCGAUCCCGUUGUUCUGGACGGUGAGUGUGGACUCGAAUCGGUAAGGCUGGUGUUUCGGAUCAGUAGGCCUGAUCUUGGAUCCGGACCCGUAGCGGUAAGACAGGAAAAUCCCGUUGCAGUUGUCCGCCGCGGGUGCCGGAGCGGCGUCAUCCCCCGCCGGAGCUGGAGGCGUCGUCUGGGAAAUCGUGUGAAACGGUAGGAAGAGGAGGAAGACGGGGAGAGCUAGAGAGAAGGAGAUAGCUGACGGAGGCAUGGUUAUGGGGGAUAGUGGGGUUUCUCCGGCGGAGAUGGAUGGAGGAGGAAGAGAAAGAGACGUGGAGAAAAUGGAAGCUGGGUUUUAGUUUUUGUAGCAGAGAGGAAGAGAGUGGGAAACGCGUCCGGGAGUGGGUAUAUUUUUUCGAAGAAGGGAGAAGACGACAGCUUAGUAAAAGCUGUUAUUUUAUUAUGCGGAGAAGAUUAUGGUGUUUGCUUUUUGGUUCUGUUUUUAAGGGGUUUUUUUAAAUGUUUUAAGGAGGGUAUUUUCUUUUUAUGAAAAACCAACAAACUUUGAAUUUUUUUUUAUUUUUACAAAUACUUUAUGACCAAUUAUAUUAGUUCUCAAAUUCUCUUUUACAUUCGAAUUGAAUUUCAGUCCUUUAAAGAAUCAGCUAUAUUCUUCCAUAAAAUUCAUAGGUUUGAGGUGGGAAGUGGGAGAAAAUCAGAAGGAGAGAGAUGGAAAGCGAAGUGAGAGAGAAAGUCCCGUUGAGUUUGAACAAACAAUACUUUGGCCCACGCUUUCUUUGCUAUUUUGAAUUCAAAUACCGACCCAGUCAUGGGUGGCCCAGCGCCAGUUUGCAUUGAAUUUUUGUGCCACGAUGGACGGUGAGGAUUAGUAAACUACCAUCUCUUACUUUAAUCAAGUUUUUUCUAACUAAUAACAUCUGCAAAAUCCUUACAACAUCUUUGUACAAGUAUAUACAUUUCGGUACAUUUGUACAAAACAUAUACUACUGCUGUUCAUAUUCUUAUACAUACUCUGGAGCAGCUUUAGAGAGCGCGUAAAUCAUUCAUUCUUAGGGGGUAAGCCCUUCCACUUACGCAUUACCUAUUUCCUGUCCUAAAAAAAGAAAUCUGUUGGCGGAACGAACAUUCAAACAUUCGCUGAACACAAACACAAUCUCGAUGAGAAUCAGUACACGGAAGUCGAUCAAUCCACGAAGGUAUGACACUUCUACACCCUCUGCUAGCAGUUUUCUUCUCUUAAGAGAUUUUCGAAAACAAGGGUUCAAUGUAUAUAGACGAUCAAGUUACCAUAGACAACUCAAAUGGAUUGGUUGAGUCCAUUGACUUAACCCAACCGGUAGUUAAACCCAAGAGAGAGGCCUUAUCCCACAAGCAGACGGAAAAAAAAUCCCAUGAUCACACACUUACAUCUGAGUUUGAGUUUAUAUAAAGGUUGUUAUAUCACGCCUGGAUUUUUACUAUAAAACAUCCUAAUAUUUUAAUUUUAUAGGUAGAAUUAUGUGAAUGUCCUUCGAAUAUAAUGUAUAAAUACACCCGAUCUAAUUCAGAACAAAUACAUGACCUAACUCGCACCUUCCGGUCGCCGUCACUGUUGCAUCCGCCGCCGACGCCGCCAUUACGAGGUACCUUUCUUCGGAAUAAAUUAUUUUCGUUGUCGCCGUGGCCGCAUCCGCCGUCGCCAUUACGUAUAUUCCCUUUUAAAAAAAUCGAUUACCGUCAGCGACCAAUUAUAUAACACCGUCGCCAUUGAACGACGGCCAAACCGUGUAUCCAUUGCACAAGUGGAUUUUGAUUGGCUGCGAGAUGAGACAUUCAUUAGUUGAGGGAUUUUAUAAAUAAAUGUAUCAGAACAUUUGCAUAAUUUUCUAUACCAAAUUUAAAUUUUAAAACAUUUAUAAGUAAAAAUUAAAGCGUUAUAUAUUCAGUUAUAUAGAUACGUACAGAGUUUAUGAAUACACAACUCUAUAUGGGUAUACGAUGUGAAGGUUGUACGGUAAAGAUGGAAGUCUGACAACUAUUCAACAAUGUAAUUAUGAGGAGAGAGACAUUUCUAAUUUGCUUAUCUUUUAUAAUCAUUGUUAAGAAUAAUGAAAUUAUGGUUUUAUGAAUAGCAUUUAACCAACCAAGCAACCAACGUUAGAUAAAGAUUUUAUGUGUAGAAUGGGUUGAAAUGGUCAAUAAACGUGAAGUUUGUCUCGUCCCCUAAUCAAUACACUCUCACACAAGCCCAUGAAUACACACUAUCAUGUGUAAACUCUCGCACAAUAAUUUAAAACAAAUUCAGCUAUAUAACCAUCAUCUUCUACUAUAUAUUAUUCAUUUUUAUAUAUACUAAAAUUAUCCACAGUAUACUACAGAAAAAAUUUAAAAAUAAGUAAAGAUAAAUAAAUUUUUUUAUAAAAAAUAUAUUAACAAAAUCAAAACAUGAAAUAUUUUAAUACAUGUCAAUUGAAAAAUGAAAAAUACCACGACUUAUGAAGGUUAUUAUAUAAGUUCAAAAUAAAACUACCAUAAACUCAAAAUAAAAUUUCAAUAAAAUAAAAUUUCAAUAAACCCAAAAUAAAACUUUAAUAAACUCGAAAGAAAUCACUCCAUUUUGUCAUCAUCCGGAGCAAUAUAGCAGCUUUGGUUCAGCUGUUAACCGCAACUUCGCCGCGAAUUUGAGAAAAGACCGUUACUAUAAUCUGCUCGCUAGUCGAAUCGGGAAGCUGCUGCGAAAGUUGCCUGGUUUCGGAGAAUGUUCUGCCUCCUCUGAUCAGGCUGAUCGAAUCUGGAACAGAAAUGGGGGAAGGAAAAGGCCGUCUUUUCGCUCCAGACGCUUUCGAAGCAUCGAUCGUCGACCAUGGCGGAAUUCAGCCGCUGAUCGAGCUGUGUAAAACAGGGGACUCUUUUUCUCAUGCUGCAUCAGCUUGCACACUGAAGAACAUUUCCACCGUGCGGGAAGUUCGGCAGAGUCUCACUGAAAAAGGAGCUGUGAAGGUAAAAUUCGUGAAUCGCUUGUAAAAACUAACGAGGUCAUAAAAACCCUUACUUUUUCUUGUUCGGUUUCUAACAGGUAACCAUCGACCUUCUAGAAUGCGGGAUCCUGCUCGGAACGAAAGAAUACGCAGCGGAAUGCCUACAGAAUCUCACCGCAAGCAACAAGAGCUUGCGAAGAAUUGUGAUAUCGGAAGGCGGGAUUCGGUCCUCGUUAGCGUAUCUCGACAACACUUCUCUGCCUCAGGAAUCUCCAAUUGCAGCAUUGAGGAAUUUGGUCAACUCUGUUUCAAUGGAAACCCUGGUUUCGUCCGGGUUCUUCCCCCGAAUCGUCCACGUGCUAAAGUCGGGAUCUUUAGGAGCGCAACAGGCCGCCGCGUCAGCAAUCUGUCGAGUAUGCGUGUCGAAUUCGGAGAUGAAGAAGCUAGUGGGGGAAGCGCGGUGCAUUCCUUUACUCAUCAAACUACUGGAGGCAAAAUCGAACGGAGCGAGGGAGGCGUCCGCUCAGGCUAUUUCGAGCUUGAUGACGGUAUCACAGAACACGAAGGAGGUUAAGAAGGAUUUCGGGAGGAGCGUGCUGUGUUUGGUGCAGUUGUUGGAGGCUAGCCCGCAGUACGCGGUGGUGUGCCUUUCGGGGCUUUCGUCGACCAAGAAGUGUAGAAAGAUGAUGGUGUCGUACGGGGCAAGCGGGUACUUGAAGAAGCUGAUUGGGGCACAAACCAUGCCUUGUGUUACGGCCACGUUUCUGCAUAUUGUGGACCCUAAACGUACCCAUUCUUGUUCUCUUUCCUUUGAUCUUCUCAAGAUUGGACUCCCGUUGCAUGCAUUAUAUAAAAUCUUGAUUUUCUUUUCCUUAUUGAUUUUAUUGGGGGGUUCAGAUUUAUCUCUGCCGAUGGUGCAUUUAUUCAUUCCAAAUAAUUAAUGUACAUGGUAGACCACACUACAUUUGUCGUAUUGCAGACCUUUGUGAUACACCUUUGGAUUUAGCCCCUUAGACCUUAGUCAUCCUCUUUCCUGCAUCCAUAAUACUUUCUUCAAAUUGGACAUGCAAAACAAAAUAAAGAAAUAUUAGAGUUUGUUAUUCUAUUUUUUUGAAAAUAAUGUCCUAACAUUCAAAUUAUAUAUAUAUAUUAUUACGCAAAUGUUCUUUAUCCUUGUAUUAAAAACUCAAACACACAUCAAUUCGAAAAUAACACCUCCUCCUUCUCUUUAUCCCCACUGCGGCCUUCCCCUCCUUUGUAUCUUUCCAAGUUAACCUUCGACGUAGCAAAAACUAUAAAAAAAUUUAGGUUGGUCUCCCAAAGUGGAUGCCUGUUGAAGGUAGCCGUGGGCGGCCGUUCAAAGAAACAAGGCCCACCAUUUUUUAAAAAUAUAUUAUAUUAAUUUCGCAAUCUUAUGUUAUUAUUCAUUAUGAUAUAUUUCACAAAUCAUAUAUCGAUAAAUGAAUAACGUCAUAAGAUUAUGGUGUUUGGCUUAAAAGAGUCAACUAAUAGAAAUAACCGUUGUUUUUUAUGUGAAGUAUGAGAUUGUUCUUCAUAUGGUUUAAGUACUUGUUAUUUUCAACUCUUGAAGUACCCAUAGAUCGAUGAAGAAGAUCCAACAAUCAUUCACAUGUAAGCGUACAACUGAGUUGAAGAUCGAAAUGUCGUACCACAAUUAUCAUCAUGAAGUCAUCUUAUCGAUUAAGGAACACAUAUUAGCCAAAUAGUAGUGAACUUAAUUGGUUAAGCUCAUAAUAUAUCACACAUUGUCAUUGAUUCUUCUACAAAAUGUUGCCAUGAGCUAAUUUCAAUGUUAUUGGAAAAUAUUUGGGAUCAAAGGGGUAGGUAGGUAGGUGGGUUGUUGGAAUGAAAAGAUGGCGUAUAGGGAGAUGGCUUCUUACUUCUUAGUUCUACAUAUGUUUUGGAAAGUUGUAGAAUGUGUUUGGUUUCUCGUUUAUUUCAGAACAAAUUAGGGGAGUGGUCUAGUAGAAAACAACAGAAAGAUAGAAGGAACUCGACCCAAACUGUUUCACACCCCUCAACUGGGAAGAUACUUCGGCCAUGAAAUGAGGAUUUAAGUAGAACAAAGUUGUCUGGGGUGGUCAAUAUUUUUACAACUUGGAAACAGAGCAAUAUAUUAUUGUAAGAUUUGGCAGAAUAGAAGCCUUAGAUCAAAAAGACUUUGUAUGGAGUGAAUGAACGGUCUAAACAACAAUUAUCGAGUUGUAGAAUGUACAUACACUGAUUUAUAAAUAUGACAGCAGAGAUUUCUACAGUAUCAUAUGGGAAGAAGCUUAUAUUAUCAGUGGUCAGAAAGCGAAUCUGAAAUUUCCCAGCUCUAACUUGAUACUCCUUUUGUCUUCUAUUUACAUGUCUUUCGAAUUAGGAUUAAUUUGAAUAUAUUUUUAGGCUUAAAAAAGUUGCAGGCUAUAAGUAUAAUAGUUUGUGGUGCUGAUGUUAUCUAAGUUGGCCGCUACCGCAGCAGCAGCAGCACCAGUUUCGACGACCAGAAGAACAGAGUUCGUUGUUAAUAAAAAAAGGAUCCGAAGACCGGGGGAUUGAACCCGACGUGAAUCGAACACGCAACCUUCUGAUCUGGAGUCAGACGCGCUACCAUUGCGCCACGGAUCCGGUCGGUGUUCUCCUACUUACCUUUUGGAUUAUAAUACUUUUACAAAUCCAUGCAUUGAACCUUUUUUGUUUUCUUUAUAUAAUAGGCCUUUCAGUUUGGGCCAAAAAUGGAGUAGCAGACUUGCUCUUACAGGCCUUUUGACAUGGGCCUUGGAGGAUUACCCACCAGCACUUGGGCAGUACUCGAUCAAUGCUGCAUGUCCAAGAUCUCUUCUUGAGGAUUUUCAUAAGCAACAAUCCAUACUGGCACUGCACUGGUUUAUUGUAUUGGUUCAACCAUGUGUAAGGUACUACUCGAUACCAAUAUUCGAUGUUGUAUUGUUCUACAAUUAUAGUACCAAACCCUAAUUGAGUAAGUGGCGUUUGGGUGUGUACGAAUAUCUAGCGCGAUAGAGUUGAAUUCUUAUUUUACUAGUGGAAUUAAUAAAGAGAACAAUUUGAAGAUACAAACCAAGCAAAAAAAUCAAUGGUUCCAAAACGGUGAAGGUAGAAAAGAAAAACCGAACAACCAUAAUUCUGGUCAGGAAUCAACCGAACAAACUCAUGCAACCCUAAGAAACUGGAGAGUAACAACAUCAUUCGAAGUUUAGAAAACCUUAACGCCCACAUUAAUAAUAACCCCAAGAUGAUCACACGCCGCCCUCAGAAACCUUUGAAUUACGUGCAGUAAACUGGCAGGACAAAUCUGUAUAAAAAUACUCUAAUAAAUUGUCUGGUGAAAUUUAAACGGAUCCGUUACAGUGCGGUGACGACGACGUUUGUUCAUUGUUGGCUGGCUGGCUGAAUACGGAGGCUCCACUCCACCGCCGCAAGGCCAAGAAGGAAAUUAAAGAUGAUCCAAUCUUUCCUGUUAACGGUCACAAACCCCGUCAUUGUCACAAGAUUCAAUACCUUAAUCACCAUGAACAUGGCACUACCCACGUACAUUGUCCCCACAAUAAUGGAAAAUUAUGAACGCAACUUCUGCCUUUAGUUUCUUUUGGGCUUAUUUUGUUUUUGGAGAGUUUAAAAACAAAUAGUAAAGAAAUCAUGAUCAUGGAUCUUAUACGCUUCACAAAUUGGCGACAUGUUCCAUGUUUUGUGGUUAUUUCUAAUCCAACUCUCAUUAAUCUAUUGGUAUUAUGAAACUUAAAACGUUCUUCUCAUAGUUUUGACGUCUGUAUUGUUCUCCUAUGUUGUGAUGUUUUAGUUACUCUUUUUUCCGACGACCAUAAAGUGACAUGUAACAUAUAUUUUACGGUUCAUUUUGAAUCUAAUUUGAUUGUUUUUUUAUGAAUUUAUAUUCUCUUAUAUGCACAUUAUUGCUUGACAUGUACUUUGUGAUUUUCAUGUUUAAAACAUGGAUAAUCUUUCUAGAGAUGAUAAAGUUGAAAAUGGAAAAAAAUGUUGCUGGAUUCGAGAAUAUUUAUUUAAAAAUUUAGAGUAUUAGAGGGAGCACAUUGUAAAUUUUUUUUUUACAGGCAAAAGAAAAGAUACCCAGCAUGCAUAAACCAAAAUGAGCUAAAGAGUGUAUGAAUAAUAAUAUAAAUAAAUCAAUCACUUUCCAAGUAAGAAAAAGGAAGCAUUAUUGGAGAGGCUCAGCUGGAUCCACUUGUGUUUUUGCAGCUAAACACAAAAAGCAACCCCUGAAUGUGAAAGGCCGACCUGCAAAUGCAAAGGCAUGUGCGGAUGAUCAUGGCCACAAUGAACAAACUUAAGGAGCCUGUUAUAUAUUAUAAAUUGGGAAAUAAGCUAAAUGGAAAUAAAUUUAAACAGACGACACAAUUUAUCUUACAUGAAAAAUAAAUUUGAGAAAAUAUUAUGUACGAACGGUCGGUGAUUGGUGACGAUAAAAGCUCCACUAUAUCUGUUGAGUGUUAUUACACAUUUUCAUCCCAAAAUUUAAUUUAAAAAAAACCGUUUUUUCUUUUUUAUAUAAAAAAGAGGUUUUCUCUCACAUUUAAAGUGCACCUACCCUUUUUCACUCAUAAAAUAUUACAAGUUGUAUAGAUUUAAUGAUUUUGUGAUAUCUCAAAUGACUAAAACUGCGCAAAGAUAAUUAAAAUAGGUGAAACGAGUAGUACAAUGAAAAUAAAAAGUACAGAGUGAUCUAUACCACGAAUGCUCCUCCUAUGAGCUCGGUUGAUCAGUACCUUUGACACAGGAAGAUUUAGAUCGCUAAACUUCAACAAAAUCAAUUUGAACGACCAUCCAUGAUAUUCCGAUCACCGAGCAACAAAAUUUAAGGUAAAAUUGUCUGAGAUCAAAAUAUUUUAUUGCAUCUAUGUAUCUCGAGUGUGGUGUUUUCAAACUUACCGGACUCCGGUCAAUUGGUUCUCUGCUUCCUUGGCCACUUGCGGAACUCCAUGAAGAAUAUUCAAGCUAGGGGUGCUAACAGUAGAACAAGUGCAAGAGUGCAAAACAAACGUUUCAUUCUCAAACUCCCACCCACCUAAAUUUUGUCUUAGGUUGUUAUCCGCAACCAGUACGGAUUUGACGUGGAAUGUAACAAAUGUCUUAUUGACAGACGACAGGUUAAGAUAUAUACUAUUGGACAAAUGCCUAAUUAACGGCUAAUUGCAAUUAGCAGCACGGCUGUCGGCUGGUGUAUUCCAUGCUCUCUUUUGUCCAAAUAAUUAUUAGCCGCUAAGUAUAUUGUUGGAAAUAAUUAUUAUGUCUUGAAUGCAUAAUGAGACGAGUCGUAUGUAUCUUGAAGAUUCUCCAAUGUUGUUGUGAUCCAAGGGACAAAUAGAAGUGACAAAAGCUAGCUAGUGAUUCCUAAUGUAAUCGGGAUUAUAUUUCAGUCUUAAGUGUUAACCUAGAAAGUAAUGUUUCAUAAACAGUAAAAGUUGGACUCAAACUUGGAUUGGAGAGGGUACAGAGAGAGUCAUGACAUUAUUGAUUGGAGAUGGAUCCCACAAAUAUGAAAAAAGGAAGGGAAAGGCAAAUUUGGUUAGAAAGACUACAACUACAACUAGUUGUGGUGUGUUAGUGUGUAGUGUGGGUGGUGGUAGUAACAAAAAGAAAAGAGACAAUCCUCCACCGCCCAGCCUGGAAAAGGGGCCUUUGAAUUCACAGUAUAGUUUCCAUUCAUCUCUCUGUUGUUUAAUCGCCCCACAAAGAGAUGAAUUGAAUGGUUCAUGGGUGUGAAUCUGCAAAGAAACCCUACCCUUGUUGGGUUAAGUCAAAACACUUUUUCUAUUGUGUCUACACCUGCGUUGGAAACGUUAUGAACAGAGCAAGGAAGCAUUAUUGUGCAAGUAAAACUUAACAAAUAUAUAUGAUACAAUGUUGGGACCUCUGAAUCAAAUUGUUCCGAUCAUACAAUAAAUAAAAACACGUGUCUUCUAACAUUUUUGUUUCAGAAAUGACAAGAAAUCAUCAGCUGAACAUGGGCACAAAUGGACUGAUUGUCUGUCUGGUUUGGAGAAAUUCCUGGAUGAAAAUGUGGGGUUCAGAUCACCAUGCAUGCACCCCCCCUCUCUAUUAAACGUCACUACUGACUCUUUCAGUUACAUAACAUGUGGGUUUCCUAAAUUAGUCAUUCACCAGUUCUUACUGCUAAGUAAUAGCAGUUAAAAUGUGCGAGUACGAGGAAGAGAAUGUACCUAGUACCUGAAGAAUUGACAAUUAUCAUUGAGCUCUGAUCUGCGUCGACUGGCCAUGAAACAUCAUAUCUUUCGGAUAUUGUGGUUGAUGAAACAUCAUAUCUUUCGGAUAUUUACGCUAGCAGAACCAGAGAGAGCAACAAGAUGAAGAAGAAGACAAACAAAAGCAGCUCAGCAAAGCGGUUUCCUCUUUCUCAGAGAAGCCAACCAUGUGUAUGGAUCUUCCUUAGCGUCCGCGUCACGUCUGCGGGAAAUCUCAACUCUUGCCACCUCACCACCAUCCACGUGUACAACUAACUGUUCCACCUGGUCAAACUCUAUCUCCCAUAACCUCACCUCACUAACCCAAUCUGGCUUCUUCCGCUUUCCUUCCCAGUAUCAUUAAACCAAUUGAACGGAAAUAAAUUAUCUUAGAUAUAUAAAUAAUCUCCAUCUCCAUACCAUACCAUACCCUCCCCAAAAAUAAUUGAAAUUUCGUCAUGACCAUCACCGAGUUUUGGUGGUCCGCAUUCUGUUUCGACAUAACAGACUAAUUAUACAAUAGAGUUGAACUACACAUGUACUCUUUAUUGUCCUUUUUGAUCGAUUAUCAAAUGAAACAUAUACAUUAAAAAAGGAUGCAGACCACCAACGUUGUUCUGAAUAAUGAAAUGGUUGUUUGGAAUAGGAAUAAUCACAUAUACAUUGAGUUCAGUAGACAAGCAUGAGUAUGUGUUGUGACUUCGACUAUUAAAAAUGAUUCGAUUAAAUAACUAUAAAUAAUCGACUAAUCCUAUUAUAUUAAUAAUUGGAGGAGACAAGCUCCCUGCUAAGUAAAAAUCUAAAAGGUGCCGCUCUCUCUUGCUUUUCCUUCCUUUCUUUCUUUCUUUCUUUCUUUCUAUCUUCUUUCCCCCAUUUUUCAAUUGCUUUCAUCAUUGCUUUGGAUCAACUAUUCACACCAAUACCCAAUUCAAUACCACUAUGGUUAAUAUACAACCCGAGCCGAGAAGAGACAACCCGAGCUACAUAUGACUCGCUCUGUGAAUCGUAUUCAACCAUCCAAUGAGUCGAGCCGAGUCUUAUACAUCUCCAGCCAAACUCAUUUCAACUCAAAUUUAGUUAAUUUAGCUCUCGAGUAUGUUCACAAUAAUUUUAUUGAAUAUAAAUUUUAUCGAAUCAAACACCAAGCUAACCACGAGCGCUGUACGAGUAAAAUGCAACGUGGUUGAGAAAUAACAAGCAAACUUUCACUAGAAUACAAAGAACAAUCUCAUCCUCUUCUUCCUCCUUCUCUUCCUUUAUUUUACACCUAACAAGUAACACCUCUCCAUCCUCUGUCCACUCAUUUCCCUCUUCUUUCUCUCCCAAUUUCAUCAAACUUCAAACCUUGCUUCUCCUCCCAUGGCCACCGGAAUGGCCAUAACCAUCUUUUCCAUUCUCGCAUUCCUCCUAUCCAUCUCCUCCUCCGCCGAUGCACUGCCCAAUUCCAGGGCAUUGUACGAAAUCGCCUGCGAAAUGUGCACAACCUGCUGCGGAUCCACUCCAACCCCGUCUCUGCCACCUCCCUCUCCGCCGCCGCCGUCCCCACCUCCGCCGUCCACCACUCCUUACUGCCCACCUCCUCCUUCCCCGCCGUCCUCCGGAUCAGGUGGGUACUACAGCUCCCCGCCGCCGCCUUCUUCCAGCUCAGGAUACUACCCGCCCCCAGCCAAGGGCAGCGGUGGAGGAGGCGACGGCAUCGGAGGGACGUACAACUACCCGCCGCCGACGUACCAGAACUACCCGGGCCCUCCUCCGCCGAACCCGAUAGUGCCUUACUUCCCUUUUUACUUCCACAGUCCUCCGCCGCCUGGCUCCUCUGCCUCUAGCCUGAAGAUUGGAUCCCGAUUCGGAAUCCACCACUGGUGUAGCUCAGUCGUUGCUGCGGUCGCUAUUCUGCUCUGCUUUUCUUGAUUGCGACAUCAAGAAAAUGAAAAAAAGGAAGUUGUAGCGGAUUGGUAGAUCUGUGGGGAGUUCAGAGGGAACAGAGACUUUCGAGGAGUGGGAUCUCCGGCCGGUGGAAGUUUCCGGUUUCUUUGAUCUGGUAAUCUGUUGAACGACCAAAAAGAUGUUGUACCAUUAGAAAAAAAGGAUUCUUACUUUCUAUUUUAUUUUGUAGCUCUCUCUGCUUUUGGUUUCUGCAAAUUUGUAUGUAUGAAGAACAUCAUGAAUUCAGAUGAAUCCCAGUAAUUACUAAUUAGCCCCUAAUUUUGACAAUAAAAUGCUCUUUGUUAUGAUGAAAUGUUGUCCCCCUGCAGCUUAAUUAUUUCCAGUUUAUGCAUUUCACUAACGACGGAUUUCUGAAAUCGACGGAAUUCGUGUCGGUGGGUUUACUGAAUUGAAUUGGCAUGCAUGUUAAUUAAUAAUCUGGGGAGUCUGAUCUGGAAGAAAAAUGUUGGAUUAUCUGAUCAAAUUUUAUUAUUUUAUAUAUUUAGCAUCGGAGGACACUGCAUAGCUGUUACAGGUAGAUGAACGCCGCCUGCCGGAUCUCUCUGACAGAAUGGGAAAGUAAAACGUGUUCAGUCAAUCUUAGUCGCCGGCCGAGCGCCGGUGAUUUGUUCUUUUAUUGGGUUGCACAUGGAGUGUGAAAGUGAAAGUGCGGGUGUGUGCAAUUCCCAUUUUCUACGCGGGUGCUGUCGUCUUAGUGAUUAAUCGUUAUUAUUAAUUCAUGUGGUCAAAGAAAGUAAUCAUCGAUUAAUGGGCAUAAUCAUUUACUUCUCCACCACCCUUAACUAAUCACCCUUUACUCAAUAGGGUUGCUAAAUUAGUUUCAGAGCACGAGUCUAUGUUUAUUGGUGCGGGUCAUAUGGAGAUAUCGAAUUUUAAUUUAUACAUGCUUCAUAAAUUCAUAGAUACUUAUGUAAUGUUUAUUUACUUUUAUUUUGUCGUAUUUCUAUCUCGAAAGGUAAUUGAAUUCAUUGAAUUGGUUUGAAAAUUCAAUUAUUGAUAUGUUUUUAUUAAAUAGUUUUGAAAGAGAAAUUUUCUCAAUUGUGUUUCAUCUUAUGUAUUUAGAUAAUAUAAUUUUUAUAAAGAGUUAUGAUUUCUCCAUAUUAAACGGUUGGUUUCAUUGUCUAUCGAAUAUAAAAACCAAACUCGUUUAUCUUUACAUCCUUCCACUGUCUGUCGUCAAACAAAUUUCCAAGUGUCCUAUACCUUCACGUACCUUCUAAAUUGUGAAUACUCCACGCCAAAUUGCUGAAAAUGUAGGAUUGAGAAAGAAGAUAAAUAGAGGAAAAUAUCUAAGUUUGGGAAAAGCAAAUAGGAAUGAAAGGUGAGAUGUGAUAAGGCCAUUGAAUAAUGGUGGUGGGGGACAAAUCGAUAAUUAAUCCCAAACCCAAGUUGGUGCGCUUCCCCAACUUCUCUCUACAAUUUCCAGUCUAUUGUGUUUGGGAAUGAGACAAACUUUACUCACACAUUAGCUGGAUCUCACAUUCUACCUUGUGCCCUAUGUUCUCAUUCUUCAUAUCCUCCCUCCCCAUAAUACCCCUCAUUUUCACAAACUAUAAAUAGUUCUCCAACUAUUCAUUUCGGUGUAAUGCAUCAAAUCCUAUCAAAAUUUGAGACUUAUGUACUAGUACAAUUGUCUUUUUUUUUUUUGCCGUAGUAAACCGAAAUUCUUUAUAAAUACAAGAUAGAAAACAAUAAAUAAUAUAUUUGUGUCCGUUUAUAUAUAGAGUAUGUUGAAUUCAAAUCCACUUUCAAAUGACCGAAACAAAUCCAUUAGAGGGUACCAUUGUUAUGAGACUAAAAAAGGAAUUAAGAUGUGGGAGCUAUUGGAUUUCAGAUGCUGAACCUCAGAGACUCUGGCUGUUGGUUUUACCAAGGAGUGGAUAUGAGUCCUAAAAUCAUCAAAAUAGGCGUAGCUACACCUGCAGGCCCACUUAGAAUCAUCCGGGGUCCAACAUAGCUCUACAACCACAGGCCCAAUUUUCAUUGUGGGCUUAUACUAAUCUACUAAUCAGCUUAUGGGUUUCUAUUACUAAUCAAUGCCCUUCACUUGUCACCAAAAAAAAUCAUUCAUUAUUUAUAACAGAUUUACCAAGAUCAACCCAUUUAAAGAAUUAAAGACAACAGUUUUAUAACAUAGUUCUCACUUUUUGGGUAGAUUUAUAAUUGAUUUGCGGUUUAUUUUUUUAUUUUUGUAAAGGGCUAUCUAAAAAAUAAAAAAAUUUAAACUAUUAAAAAAAAUCCUCUACGUCCAACCACAUACUCCGACCACUAAAUAGAUUUAAUUUUUAGGUAAUUUUUUAGUUACGUCCUAAUGGAUGGGGAAGUAAAAUGUGUCGACUUCCACUUCUACCCGAGAUGACUCGACAUGUGUACAACAGUGGAUCACAAUGGUUCAAGCACUCGAUCUAUAGUUGUAUAGAAUUCAAAAUAUAAUGAUAACAAAAUUUCAUAUAUAAAAAGUUCCAAGCUUGAAAGAAAACUAGAUUAUGGUUCAAGGAAACUCCUUAUAGAUCUAUCUCUUCAUGUGCCCCAUUUCGACAGAAAGACCCGAAAACUAAAAAAAGAUGAACCUAAAUGGAAAAUGGGUCUAUGUUUAGUUAUUGGGACGUAAUGGUUCAUAGUAUUAUAUUAGAGUUUUGACUGAUAAACAAUAUUGUUUCAAAUAUCGAUAACCUUCUAUCCGUUACACAAAACUUAUGUACGAAAACUGUAAAAAUUAAUCUCAAUCUCUUAUGAGAACCUUCACGGUAGUGUUAUGGGAAUCUAGAAUGUAGCAACGUCAGCUGGUAAAAGUACUGGUAUGGCUAACUAGGUCAAGACGAUGUUAAGGGAGGCAUGUGAGGAAAAGCACACGCAUGCAUGCUUCUUUUCCCAAAAUCCUAUCCACAACCCCAAAAGAGGUCAUCACACUUUCUAGUUGAUGUUCUUUUGGCAACAACCGAGACAUUCUGUUAAGUCAUGAACAACUUUAUCAAGGGAAUGGGAACGGUGUUAACAAACCCACCCUCAUUGUUGUCUGAUUGUCUUUUAAGUGUAUGUCAACCUAUGUAGUCGCUGAUUUACCGCAGAACCGCCGUUUCUUUAUCACCGGAUUUGUCAUGAUGGUCUUUUUCUUCCCAGUAUAAUGUUGGAACAUUGGUUUUGCGUCUUGUUUGGUUGCUACGUACUUUUGUUGCGUCGGAUACUUUAGUCGUUUUUAGUGUCUCGAGUUAGUUACUUUUAACGAGUUAGUUACUUUUAAUGAGAUGUAUGUUAGGAGAGUAAAGAACAUGACAGUCAGCUUCUGCUUAUACUUAUGGUGAUUGAUUUUUACCAAAUCCUUUAAUGAAUGAGUGAGUUUUGCUUUGUCAAAAAAAUUAUUUGUUUCAAUUGUUACUUGUUUUCAAGUAAACUACAAGUAGUUGAAUGGUUGUUUGGAUAACUUAUUAAUUUUAUCGGAUUAAUUAUGAAGAUCUGGACCCCAACUCAUGUGAAUGGAGAUUUCGGUGUAAAGUAGAACAUUUGUUCAAGAGAACUGGUUCUCAUAUUUCAUAGGACUAAUUACGCAAAUUCGAUCAAACAAUGAAAGUUUGCUUAUUAAAACCAUUUAGUUUGUUUUUGUCAGAUUGAUAAAAUUUUUAUCCUACUUCUUCACAUAAGAAAUCAUACUAAAAAAAUUAAAUUGAAAAAAUCAUAAUCUGAUUCACAAAUCAUUAACAAGACUAUGGAAACACUUCUAAACCAUGUCCAAAUUCAUUUUGAUUAGAAUUAUAAUAUUAUAGGUUUAUUCAUAGAUAUUUGUGAGUAUAUUUUCUAUGUAUUAACUCAUACAUUUCAAAUUCUAAGAAUCCCUUCCGAUAUCCUUAAACUUUGAAUUCAAAAUUUCAGAUCAUUCUCUUCGAAUAUCAACCAAGUAGAUAAGAUUACAAAAGUUGAACUACGUAUCAUGAAUGUUUGAAAACCACAAAUCAUUGAUUUAGGGUUAUCAGUUGACCCGAGCGAAGUGAGUGGUUGACAACAGAGCAACGAAAAGCAGAGAUAUCUAUCUAUCUAUCUAGCAUAGCAAAUAGCAAUGGCACAAAAAGGAACCCCGACAGCCAACAACUCAGAGAGACAUCACAAUCACGACAGUUGUUUGGGGCAAUCAAAUCAUUAGAAAAACCAAACAUUACAAAAUUUAAAUAAAACCCCAUUAUCCCAUCUCAUUUUUUCAAAAAAAUCAUUGAUCAGAAGAAUUUCCCCCUUUUUAAAAUCAUUGCUCAUCAUCUUCAAUUCCAACACCACCAUCCCCAACCACCACCUUUCAAUUUCAAACCCUAGACCCAAAUUACAGUUAGCCAUUGAUCUCUCCCCCCCCCCCCCCCAAUCCCUCAAAACUUUAGGAUUACAUAUUCCCCCUUAAAACAUUACAAACACAACGAAUUCACUCACUCACUACACUUAAAAUUGGUCAGCUAAUACAAAUUCAAAGCUACUCUCUUCUUUCUGGGCUUUAUUAUUUGGCACCCAAAUCCCUAAAAUUAAUUAGAAAACAAAACAAAUUCUAGGCAUAAACGGAUCCAUAAGAUAGAGCCAUCAAGAGAACCGCCGCUUGCUCUUCCUCACCCAGCUUCCUUCUCUGCUUCUCCACCGUCGAUCUCUGCAUCAUCACUUCCCUUCCCAACGCCAUCAAUCUCUGCUUCAACCCAUCUCGCAGCUUACUGUGGUUAUUUUUGCUACCGUCGUGAACUCCGCCGCCGCUGUUAAUGUGAUUGCUCACGGAUUUCUUCGCCUUCUUGUCGUUAGAGGAUGAUUUCGUUAAACCCAAUACAUCCCUUCUCUUCUUCCUGCUUCUGAUCCCACACGCGUUGCAAAGCGACUGUUUAAAAAAUAAUUAAAAAAUUCAUGAUCAGAUCGGAGAUCGGUCGGCUGAGAUCUAAUCAGGGGUAACGGGAAGACCGGACGGCUGAUAGAUCACCUUAGGUCCAGCUGGGCCGCCUCUCCAUAGAGGAGUUUUGCUGGUUCCGCAAUCGGCGCAUGUUUUCUUCUGUGGGCUCUCUCCUCCUUCCGGCGAGGAUUUACGGCUGACUUGAAGAACCUGAAGGGUAAAAGGGUCAAAUUUUUGUUAGUAAAUCGAAUCAAAAUAUACAGAUCAAGGAUUGCAUCAGGCUGCAAAAGAGACAGUAAGGUGGGAAACUCACCUUUUCACUCCGAUCGAGCAUUUUUUGUAGCUGUUGUACUCGAGAUCUGAUCGCGACCCAGGUGAGGAAUGGUGAUGAGAUGAACUGGGUAGUGGGCGAGCUCCUUGAUCGGAUACAGAAGUGGAGGUUGGGGUAAUGAAUGUGGAAGAUGAGAGAUCUGAGAAAUUUUGGAGGGAGAUGAUCAGAGUGAAGCUGAUCCGAUUCAGAUUUGGAGUGGGAAAUGGCGGGGAAUGGAUGAAUUGGAAAUGCGAUCAAAGGAGGAAGAGAGGAAAUGACGGGAAGAAGAUGCAAAGAUAGAUUUUGGAGAAGAGAGUGAAGAGAAUCCAACCGACAAACACACUACAGCAAGGCAGCAGCCGGGAUCCGAAAAUGCAGUUUAUAAAUGGGCAAGGCAAACCCGAGCCCGCCCUUGCAUUUCAAAUGACUAUAAUGCCCUUAUGUGUCGUACUUUUUUCAUCCAUACCAUCCCAUCCCGCCAAACCAAACUAACCAUUCCCACCUAUGGACACAAUUUGAAGGAUUUCAUUAUCAUUUUAUUAUAUAUUUGGAGAAAUAUAUCUAAUAGUAGAACUAUGAUGAAAGUGAAAUUUCAAGUUUAUAGAUCUAAUUCAUAUAAAAUUUUAUAUGGAUUAUAAUUUCGUAAAUUUUACAUAGAAUUUCAUCGCUCUUGGAUCAAGAAACUUUGGCUGAUGGCAUAAGUGGAGUCACCCAUAAUUUCGCCAUUGAAUACAUCCUCCUUACAGUUUUACGAUUCCCUCUCAACUUUUGGAUCGAGUCUUUUAUCAUACUCUUUUUUUUUACUGAUCAUCCAUUUCGAUUAUCAUACACUUCUCAAACCAUUUUUCUAUCUCCAUGUAUCUUGUAGCUAGUUUUCAAACUCUUCAUACCAAACGGACUCUCAAAUGUUUAAUAUUUGGAAUCCACCACUGGAUAAGUUUUAGUUACAAUUCUUCUUAUAAACUUUUUUCGAUUCUAGAUUUAUUCCAGAGUCCGGAGUUGGGAUGAGUAAAAUGGAACAUGAGAUUCUAAUAUUUGAAAACUUGAAUGUGAGAGUCUUUCAAAAGAGAGGAAAAAAUGGCGGGGAAUGAAGGAUCGGGGGGAAAAGAAAAGGCGCCAUUUCGGGUGAUAAGUUGUGAAAGAAACAGAUGAGGAAGGGAAAGGCGUUGGUGGAGGGAAAUGUUAACUUUUUUGGCGGGAGAGAUUAAGGUGUUUUUCCGCAAAAUGAAAAAAAAGGAGGGAAAGGGGAAAUUGUAGACUAUAGGGAAGGAGGGAGUGAAUAGGUACUACACUACACUAUUCUUCUCAUAACGGCAACUGAGGAAGACUCCACAACUCUCUCUUUGUCCCCCUCUCUUUCUUACUUACUUGGUUUUAUAUUACUAUUUUUGGGUUGAAAUUUUGAAUAGAGAAUUCAAGAUGGGCGUGUGAGGAUCACAAAGUCAAGGCACAAAAGUAUCGAACAUUGUUAACAACUAAAGGGGAUUGAGCGCGGUUGUAAAUUUUUCGAAUAUUGAAUUAGAUCACAGGCUUAUCAUGAUAGAGUGUUGUUUGUUAGUGUUUUUUAUAAAAAGUGUUGUUCUUUAUUAGUUAGGUUACGUACAAUUUUGAGUAAGGGAAUCGGGUUUGGUUUGCUCGUUAGUUGGGUUAGGUACAAAUUUUACGGAUUUGUGGAAGAAUGAUGUUUCGAAUUGUAUAUGAAUUAAGGUGGUCAAUGAGGCCAGUUAUAUAUGGGUCUAUUCUAGUGGGUUGUAGAUUGGUCAUCAAAUCGAAAGGAUUAGACGGAUCACAAAAUGACAUUCAAUUUGAUUUAUAGUCAGUCACAUGUUAGGUUUGGUUGAACUGUGUUGCACAAAGUGAUCAAGUUGAGUUAGGUCAUGAUAGUUGUACAAACUAUUCACUUUCCCUAUCAUCAUUUGGUUUGUUUUAAACGAAAAGGGAUAAUUUCAUUCAUCAUCACUUGAAACAAUAAUGGAGUAAUAAGUACAGCAACAAAGACCCUAUCUCAAGGAAGGGUGUGGUUACACAUAGACUGUACGAUCGAGUAUUGUGAAUUUAGUCAUGGUUUGCGGGAUGAAAGCGGAUGGGAUCGAUAUUCUCGUGUUACUUCAACAUUAGGUGAACUUGAUACAACAAUGCUUUAAUUUCCAAUGCUACAACCGAUGCAGGUGGUGUCUUUGGUCGCGACAUUGACCGAUUGGAGAGUUUUCGUUGAUGAACAAGUUAUAAGGCUCAGAUUUAUUGAUCAGUGAAAAUGGAUUCUGCUUUUUAAAACAACUUAUGCUCAGAUUUGCAGGCUGUAACUAUUAUAUCGGGAAUCAAUAUGAUCGGGACUUUUAAUCAAAAUUCCAAGCCUCACAGUCAAUUGAUUAUAAUUUCUACAUUAAAACUUUAAUUUCGUAAAAUUUUCAUGACAUUGCAUCGCUUUUAAGUCGGCAAACGUGGAUUAAUUGAGGCUCUUAAAUGACAAUUAUAUGAUAAUCUAGUCUUUGUGGUGCUUAAAUGCAUGCAACUGUGGCAGCAGAUUAUCCAAGUUGCUUUGCUACAACCACUUACUUGCCAAUAUCGAUUCUGAUAUAGUCUAAUUGAGUCAACAAUAAUCAUAAUAAAAUUGAUAUUCAAACUAACAACCACAUAUUUUGUAUUAAUCUGAUUUUAGUUUUAAAUUUAUUCCGUGAUAUGACAUGGCUUUAUAAAAAAUAAUCAUAGCUUUUAUCAUUAUAUCGAAAAAAUUGAAUAGAUGAAUCUAGCAAUAUAUAAGAUACGAUUUUCUUCCAUUAUGUAAUAUGAUGAGUUGUAUGUGCUAUAUAGGUAUUUAGUCCUUAGCGUAGCGGGCGAAUAUCUAUAACUUUUAUCUCAUCAUCUCCCCGUGAAUGUCCUCUCUCUUGAGAGGACUCCAAAAGCAAGAAAAUACGGACAAUAUCAUCGCUACAAUGUAUGAACAGACGCUUAAUUACUAGCAUAACUACGUUAUAUACAAUACAAAACUCGAGCCAAUCUCCAAGAUAACGUAGGAUUUAGGAAACGAGUCACUCACCUUGAAAAACAUUCUAGACGAUGGAAUCAAUAUAAUCCAUUCAUUUGAUUUGUUCUCCUAUAUCCUCUAGAAAAUACGUGACAUGGAAAAGGAAAGUGAUAGGUCCAGCCAGAUACCCCCAUCUCCCUAUUUUGGUUCUUGUGUCUCUGUAUACAUACACACCAGAGGACCACAUGUAUUUUAUUUCCAAGUUCACUCAUGACUUGCCCAUUUUGAAAUACUGAAUUUGAACUGGCGGGUGAAUGGAGCAGAGAGACAGCAGAUGAAGGAAAAUUAUUUGACAAGUGGGGGGAAAGCUUUUCAGUCACUGGGCAUCGGGCAAACCCCUCCGCUCUUAAAUGAUCUCCACUAAUAAUCACAACAUCAUUAAUGGCGUUUUAUGGCUCCCUUUUUGCCUUUACUGCCACUUCCAGUUAGUAGUAGUAAUCACGACGUUUGGAUGAAUUCCAAUACAAGAUAAAAAGAAUCGAACAUUGCCGCAACUUCCAUUCGUAAGGUGUAUUGGAUUCUAAUACGUUACCACUACACAACUCUAUCAUCAAAUUAUCUGCCUUUCAGUUUUUAGAAGUUCCCAACAGCAAUGUCAAUAAACCCGAUAUCAACAUGUACAAUCCGCUAAUGCAAUAAUACGGUAUCACGAACCAUGUGUGCUAUUUGUGAUCGUAUUCGGCCGGUACUUUAACCUACAACUAUAAGGGAUGUGUGCUCCAAUUGACGUGUGAUCCAAUGAAAUCCGAAGUCGAUUCUUCUAAGUAUUACAUAGAUGCGAAUAGCAAGGUCAUUUAGAGGUGGGUACAAAAGGUUUAUGUGAAGCUGUCAAUCCAUUAAGACUGUUUCAUACCUAUAAUUAAAAAAACAAUUAAAACACAAGCUGUAAGUAGCGAGGUAGGGAAGCUGGCACAUGACAUCUCUGAUUCGAGUUUUCAAGUCAAAAUAAUUUCGCAGAUCUUGUCCUAUGUUCUUCCUAUUAUUCUGCUAGAUUCCAUGCGCCCCCCUGCUUGGUUUGACUGCCGCACUUCAUUCAUUGACUUAACAAAAACCGUUUUCCUCGUGUGUGGUUUUAGUUAGUUAGUGUCCAAGAUCAAGCAUGUUUGUGGCUAAAAAGUAACGAAUUCGAAUCCAAUCGGACGAAACCUUUGUACCCUUGGUAAGGUGGAAGAAAUCUAAGUGUUGAAGACAUUAAAAAAAAAUACAGCCAGUUCCAUUUCUCCCAUAAAAUAACUGACUGGCUGACCAUCACAAUGCCACUAGAAUGAAAUACUCUCUGUAUGCGAGUUUUUAAGUUUUUUCAAGACACGGACGAACUUCAAACAGAAACUUCAUACAACGCAACCAGUUGUCGGAACUCUCUGUUUCGUUCUACGGGGUUUGACACCGAAGGAUCCUUCGCUUAUAUCUGGGGCGACACUUCUAGUGACUUGUGGAAACUUUUUACUCUAAAAGACCCGACCGAGAGAGGCACCUCCACGACGACCGACCAUAUGAGGACACUAGACCGACCAGACUCCGAAAAAAUUAAGGACUCUUCAACCUCACAUUUCUUAACCACCAUCUGAAUUUUUUCCAUCACACCCCUGCAAGUUUGUUGUAAAAUUAGACCGAUUUAACCGAGAUUCAUAGAUCAAUCAUUUGCAUGUGCAUUAAAGUUGGUAGAAACGUACCUUCAACCGAAGUUGAAGCCACCGGAAGGAACAGGGUGGUCAUUCCCACCAAACUAGAAACCUUGUUGCUGGUUACCGUCACCGGGAGGUAAUGUCUCGUCUUCUUCCUCAAGCCAAUACGUCUCCAAAAUCUUGACUGCCUUCUCGUAAAUCUCAUUGUUAUCAUGGCUCUGCAGAUUCUCUAUCUUCUCAAGUCCUUCAGCAUCAUCGAUCAUCUGGGCAAACACAUUGACUUCACUGUUUCCUGCGUUCUUCUCUGCUUCUCCAACCUUCAAGAUAUUCUCUAGCCCUUCAAGGCAUACUGUGACGAUUCUUGGAUCGGGGCAGACAAGGAGAUCACACAACGGUUUUAUGCAUCCGUGGCUCACCAGAUACCUAUCAAGCCGAAGAAUUGAAUCCAUGCAGGUUGAAUGUUAUAAUCAAGUGAGUGAAACAUCAACGUGAACAAACUUAUAUUAUAUGCAGUACAUACUUGAUUUGUUCCUGGCUACCACCAGAAGUAGCAUUAGAGAGAGCCCAAGCAGCUUCUUUCUUGAUAUCAAACUCAGCAUUUUGAAGUAAGUUAACUAGAGGUCCAAUGAGACCUGCCUCAAUGACAGCCUGUUUCACGAUAAUCCAAACUACAGUCGGUAAUCUAUUCCGAACAAACAAUGAGAAGAAAAAUACUUUUAGGGUAAUUAUGCAUUCUCAGCAACAAAUAUUUACCUGAAUCUGUUCCUUGUUUCCUGCUGUAAUGUUUGAGAUGGUCCAGCAAGCUUCUUUCUUAAUGCUCUUCUUAAAGUUUUGGUUCAAUAGGUUGAGAAGGCAAGGAAGUGCAUUAUGGCCAAUUAUACACUGUAAAUGAGAAAAGUGUACAUGUCAUUUUUCAGGAAACAUAUAGAAUGACAAAUAGGAUACUGAAUACAUGAAGAACGCAAAUGCUAUUUCGAUACAAUAAGAGAGACAAAGGUUUAUCCACUAGCAGUAACUUUUAGAUAAACGGAGCAAGUUUUCAUUAUCAUGCAACAAUAUUGCAUUUUAUUAUCCAUCGCAAGUUGCCCGCUAAUAGACAGCCAACACUGCAGGUGUGCACUUUUGAUAGAAAAUUAUGAUUGACAGAAACUAAGUAACCAUAGGAAGUGUUCCAUUGAGCAGCUACACAAUCAUAAAAAAACAUCUUCAAUCGUGCCCAAUUAAAUACCUGAGUUUGCGAAUCAUCCCCUGUUACAAUGUUUCCAAUAGUACGAAGGGCAGGCACAAGCACUGAUGGAGAUGGAUGGCUACAAGGUUAAAGUAAACCAAACUAUAAGUUGAUAUCAGACAGAUGUAAAAAGUUAGACAAGUACUUGAUAAUUACAAACUUACAGGAGAAGUUGAACAAGUUUACUGCAGACACCAGCGUCAAUCACAGCUUGGAUUUUAUCAUUUGUGCCAUCAGAAAGAUAGGAUAGCGCCCAGCAUGCAUCCGUCAGGACUUCCUCAUCAGAUGAGCACACAAGAUGUGCAAGUGCAGGAAGUGCUGGCCUCACCUGCCAGACAAAAAUGAUGAAUAAAGGAACUUCCAAGACAUUCUAACAAAACCUAGGCCUAGGCGCUGCCUUGGGAGAAAAAGGCUAACCUGGUCAAAAGGAGGUUGAGGCUUGCCCCUACAGAAGUUUGAUAAUGUCCAAGUGGCAUUCCUCAACAUUGAAAGCUUAGCAUGUUCAUUCAAUUGCGCCAGAAGCGGAAUCAGUGCUCCACGACUCAGAACAAGGUCACGGCAUUUUGGGGAAUCACCAGCAACAUUACCCAAAGCCCACACGGCCUAUAGUUCCACAAACGAAAAUCUUUUAAGUUCUGAUUAUUAAUUAAACUUAGCAAUCAUCAGGAACUAAAACAAGAAGGGUGGAAAGAAUUAUAUACCUGCUCUCGUACAUCGUCACUGGAAGACCCUAGAAGCUUAACAAAUAUUGGAACAGCAUCAUGAUCAAUCACAACUUUGGUAUUCUCAGAGGUACCAGACGCAAUAUUGGUGAGAGCCCAAGCAGCUUCGAACUAUGACACAAGUUAAUUAUUACCAAAUGAACAAUCAGUACCUAGAUAAAACGCAGUGUUAAUUAUAUAAUUAAUUCAGCUACAUACCUGAAGCUGAGGGAAAUCCUCCCUGACGAGAAACUCCACAAAGCGAGGAACGACACCAGACUGAAUAACCUCCUCGAUUGGAGGACUUCUUUCUGGAAUCAUCAAUUUCAAAUAUCAGACAUCAGGAGCAAUAGAAAAAUCAGAAGUUGUCGAAAAAUGAAAUUGAAAAAACUACGUCAAGAUUACCAAUUGAGAGAAGCUUUCGGAAUUGAGUUGUGGCUUCAAGCUGGAGAUUACCAUCAUCAGACCAAAUGCUAGAAACCAGAGCAGGCAAGCUUUCCAACUGCAGAUAUCGCAAUAAAAUUGCAUGUCAGAAACAAACUAUACUAGCAACGUCAUGAUCUCUACUAACCCUAACCCUAAGUCCAAGAACACUAAAAAGAACCGCGGAUCGCAGAGCAUACUCUCCUAGAGAACACAAACACAAAUCAAAGUACACACACGCAGCAACACCAUACCUUUUUCUCCAUAGCACCAGGGAGAGCUGAUGCCGAGAGCUGAUGCGCUUGAAGUCCUUCCCGGCGCUUCUUCAUCAAGUUCUCCUCGCGCUUGUUCUUCCGGAUCUCCACCAUAUUAUCCUCUCUCCUCCGCCGACCUUCAUCAGCGUCGACGGCGACCUUGUACCUGUUCCGACGAAUGUCGGUCCUGGCGUUUGGCCUCAGAGACAUAGUUACUUGAAGAGUUCUAGACACUCAACGAGACAGCCUAGAGCGGAACGAGAGAAAAAUCGAAGAAACGAUCAAGUCGGGGAGCGUUCAGAAACCGUAGAAGCAGGAAAAAAAGCCUUGAAGGUCGAUUGAUUAAAGCUUGAGAGCGACGGAAGAGAAGCGAGUCCGCCGCAGACUGAAACUAGAGACGGGGGAGAGAAUAGGAGCGAGAGAGCGGCUUUUUAUUUCAGCUGAUUUCAAAAAUACAAAUUCGAAUUUAUCCAAAAAGAAACAUUAUUGAAUAAUUGUAUACCUAAUUUGUAUUAAAUUAACAGAUUUAUUUUUUUUGUGUUUAAAUAUUAUGGAGUUCGAUCUGGCAAUUAUUACGUGCCAUUAGAUUAUUACGUGGCAUUAAUAAUUUACGAACGAAGAGCUUUUAGAAGUUAGAAUAAUUAGGGUUUUUGUUUACGGUUAACAGCUGGUACCAGGGAGGAUUUGGAUUUGGUUCUAGGGUUGGGUUUUGUGUGUGGUAUUAUUGGAUUGGGCCCAUUAAGUUUAAAUUGGCUUCUUCCUGGACUUUUGACCCAAUCUUCAGUCGGUCGAAGUAUAUUCCAAGAGGAUUAGGAUCCGACCGACCGUUUCCUUUUCCUGUAUGCCACAUAAAAAAAUUUCAUAUUUUAAUAAUAAUGAUGAAAUAAACUCACUUGACAGUUAAAGUUGUUUAACAUUUUUUCUCAUUCAAAUAGCUUCAUAAAAAGAGAUCAAGAUAGAAAACAGUAAAAUUUAAAUAUAUUAUUAUAUUUUAAAAUAAAAUUUUAUAAUUUCAGAGAGUAGCAACCUAAGUAAUAAUGCUUGAACUUCAUAUUGCUCAUUUUUUUUAUUAGGAGAAUGAGUACUGAUAAUACCUCUGAUAGAUAUUCAAAAUCGUAAAUAAUAAAAAAAGGCUCCAUUAUCAAGAGGCGAGCAAUAUAAAGUUUAAACAUUAUCGCUUAGGUUGCUAUUUUCAGAAGUUGUAGGAUCUCAUUCUAAAACACAAUGAAGCACUAAAUAUUGAGAGACACGAACAUCAAACAAAAAGACACACUGAAACCAAGCAUAAAGCAUUGAGCCUUCUUUCAAAAUAUUUAAAAAAUUGAUUGAUCUCAACACUAUUUUCGAGUUGCGAAUCCAAAACAAUUAAGUACUGGCUGAAUUAUAUAGCAUUUAAAUUGUGAAAAUUAUUCAUUUAUCUCUAAAUAUAAAGCACUGAUCCUUCUUUAUAAUAUUAAAAAGAUAAUUGAUCUUACCACCAUUUUCAAGUGACAAAUCCAAAACAGUUGAAUAUAUUGGGACAAAUUGUAUAACAAUUGAAUUGUAAAAAAAUAUUCAUUCAUCUCUAAAUAUACAGAAAAAAUAUAUAAUAUCACAAUAAACUCGAAGAUAAACUGAACCACAAUCUCAAAAAGACUUACCUAGAUCCGCCAAUGUUGCAUAGCACUCUCAUAAUGUAUCAUUUUGUGGGUUUAGACUAUCAAGUCAGUAUCGAUGGGUCACUAAUCCAUCAAUCAUCGUUUGCACACAAAUACGACAGUUUACAUGUAACUUGUCACACGUCUACAAAGGAAUCGUUAUUAAGUUCAAAAAGGGGAAAAUAAGGUGCCUUUCACCAAAAGGGAAAAAAAUGAUUGGAUUUACAGAUUAUAUGCAUUCUCCGUAUGAUAACGUAUGUACUUCCUCCUCCAGUAGUAGUGACCCAUUGUCAACCUUUAAGCUUUUGGCUCAAUAGGGCUGAUAAAUUUAUUCCCUCAUCUCCUUAAAGACCUCAUUUACAAGAACCCCAUUUGCUUGAUCAAACCAGGCGGCAAAGCGAUCGAAAGACGAUCAGCCUGGCUCUCCCAACGAACAGGGUCUUCCCUCUCCGCCGCCACGACGAUGUGAUCACGCCGCGGUGUUCUCGGCGGAGAAGCGUGGAGGACAGACACUUCAAGUAUCUGCCGCCGCACGUUUUCUUGAUCUUGUGAUAUUCUCUGCGCCCGAAAUGCAGUUAGGUAUAACCCGCCGGCAAGCAAUACGGUGAGGAGGGAAAACACUCCGGCAGCAGCGAAUACUCCUUCUCUGAUCACCAGGCAACUCUGCUUUGGUGUUCCCCAACUCUUCAGGUGUCCCGAUUCCACGCUCAGUCCUAUCAACAGCAGGAUUUCCGCCACCGCAAAGCUCACCCUGCAAAUUGAAUCAAAGGAUUAUAUUGAAUUAUAGUACCAAAUCAAAGGAACGGUAACGGUAAAGGUUUCGAAUUGCGGUACCAAGUAGUGAGGAAAAAGGCUCCAGCUCGCCAAGUGACAUCCUUGGAAGGGGCAUAGUUAGGGUCCCAAGCGAUGAGAACAGCAGGGGGAGCUUUGCUAACUGCGAUCAAUAGAUAAGUAUGUUCAGUCACCAUAGCCACAGCUAAUCCGAUAAAUGCGAUUGCUCCACACAGCAAUGGAGUUUCUCCACUGCCACUGUACACGCAUUGACGAUUCUCCCCCCACGUAGCCUGCCAAAAAAACACCCACCACCCAAAGAUUGAUUAUUUAUGGUGGUGGUGACCACCACCUCUUCUAAUUUGUCCCAAGUGAAUUUUUUUUCUUACCUGUGAACGAGAGGCUUCAGCUAUGAGGCAGAGAGAGAAGCAGAAGAUACCAGAGAGAAUUGUAAGGAGCAUAACUGAGACUGCUGUUGUGCUGCCCAAAUCAGAGUUUCCAGGACCUGGUGCGAGAUCGUCAUGGGUGACUGCUCUUCCUUGUGCCAUGGUUGGAGUUUGAGAGAACAGAGAACAACCAAUUUUUUAAUCUAAAGCUCCAUAAGAAGAAGAUGAAUAAGACGAAUUUUGAAGAUAGAUGCAAAACCCAUUGAUGGGGAGAAGGGAUCGGGCGGCUGGAGGGGGGAUACUGUAGAAUUACUUGGACGAAAGGUUUGCUUCAGAGUUUCAAAAGAUUCCUUUCUCUCUCAGGAGGAGCAGGGAACAGCCGACUGUAGGAGCAAAGUAUUUCAAACUAGACUAGAAGUUAUGUGGUUGCCGAUUAAUGAAGAAGAAAGAAGAUGACAUUAAUAGCAUAAGGAACUAGGCACCUGGUACUGCCUGACACGUGUGACUUACCUACUUUUUAGUCAUCUCGCUUCGUACUUUGGCUUAAAGGUUCGUUUUUAUCAGUUAUUCUCUAAUUAUCUCUGCUAAAGAACACUUUGCUUUCUUUCGGUACAUAAAUCCUAGCCUAAAUUUUACUUGUUACCUAUAAUAGGCCAACAUCUGAUUUGAAGAAUAGAUGCUUAGAUGCUUGAUCCUCAAUUGUUUUCUAUUAUUCUUUGGUGAUUUUUAGAUGCUUGAUUCUCAAAAAUCUUAAUCACUAAUCUAAGGCUGAGAAACCACUCCCAAUUUUGAUUCAGGUUGGUUCUUGACUGAGCGAAAUCAAAUUCGUUAUCAGACACUGACUGUUCUUUUUGUACUGCUAUAACAAUGAACCAAAGUAGCACCAGCAGUGGGCGGCUAUCUAAUUGGCCACUAUGUUGGACGGCUAUUAUAUUCUAUUGACGCAGUGACGGAUAGAAUAGAAUGUGGUUCUGAUGCUAUCCUAUAGUAGAAAAUUUUAAGCAUUUCUAAAUCUCCCUGCACUCUGACGUAUGUGUAUACAAUAAUCUUCAAGUUAAUGAACAGUUAUGAAACUCAAAAACGAAAAGAGGGUAACACAGAUAUUGUAGUAUCUUCAGAAGUAUAAAAUCUAGGUGCAUAGACAUAUCUGAUAAAGGGUUGACCUAUGCAUGUAUGCUUGUAAACUGUAAGCAUACUUGUCUUUUCUACUUUGUGCCAUGUGCAAAAUCUAUAAAACCACGAUUGUGCCUACUCAUAUUCCACCAAUGAAUUUAUGUUUCUGUCUUUCAUACAUGGAGUCCUUCAUUGCUAUGCGAAAAUCGUAUAAAUCCACGAAAGAAAAAGGUUUUAAUCGGCAUCUGAGAACCCCCUUAAGCCACCUAAGAAUGAUAUAUCCUUUGCUGCAUCUUUUGAUUGCUUAACACACAAGAUAAGGAUACUUAUUCCAUCAGUAAGAAUUUGCACAAGUUUGAUUCUUUUAUGCACCCGGAUCAGUAAAGCUUUCUAUCUAAAACCGACCUCAACAUAUCCCUUCGGUACCUAUCGUGUCGUUUUCAGAACAAACCAUUUUCAUUAUUCUAUAGAUCAUAGGAGAGUGACGAGUACCUUCUUCAUCGCUGAAUCCUGAUAAACUCUGUCCAGCAUUUCAGGGCUGCAGCGGAUAUGUCUUCGGACAAGGGCAAUGUUGAGGAGCUGGAGGAGCCCUGCACCAGCAACAAACACGCAAGUCUUGCUGACAGAAAACCUAAUGCACAAGGCACAGGGAAUUCUGGUUUAGAGAGAGCGCUUGCACAUAGAGCACUCUUUUGGUCACACAAUGGCAGGGUGAAGGGGAGAAAAUCUGUGAACAACAUUGCCAGAAUGUUGCCAAGCAGGCUAAGCAAGGUAUCCUUGGCAGAUGAUCCAGCUGACUAAUAAGUUAAACUGGCAAACAUAUGGAAAUUUAAACUUAUAUGUCACUGCUAUAUAUAGAGAGAGGAAUAUGUAAUGUGAUGUAUCUAUAUGAAAACAUUCACUGCCUGUAAGAUCUUAAACAUGUGGUCUUACUGUAGAAUGUAGAUCAGUAGAUGAGAUGCUAAGCUAUCUUAUUCUAACGGCCAAUAUAUUACACAAUCAGCUCCAAUUAUACGGCAAAGGGAACAAUAACAUCAGAAGGGUAAUUUAGAGAUUUUGAAGACAAUCACACAAGGAGAAGUCUAUGAAAUUUGAUAUGAUAAUGAGAUGCGAAACUUACUGCAGCUACAGCUCCUUUGCUCUAGCAAGGAGAAUAAAUCACUUUGCAUACCCACAUUUAUCUACAAUGUCUCUAAUCCGUCAAACUUCAAAGAUGUCGAUUGUGUAAGAACAUCAGGAUCUGUACAGCCUGAUGUUCUUGCUCCAUAACCCGCAUCUCUGGCUUGGUUCCAGCUCAGUAAUUACCAAUUAGCAGCAGGCAAGAUUGACAGCUAAAGAAGCGCAGAGAUUUACAGUUCCGCUGACUGUCAUCCGACGAUAAACCGCCGCGGUGACAUCUGGUGUGAAAUCCCUUCCGGUGCCCAGGCAAAUCAUCUCUUUAUCCAAACGCCAAAGUCCACGGGCGAGGCCGAUUUGACCUCUUCUAUGGGCUCCGUUGAGGUUUGUUAAAAUGGGCUUUCCAAGUAAAGGCUGAAUGGUUUGGCCCAUUUGACUUGUCAUUUCUUCUUUAAAUUCUUUUUCUUCUUUUACUUUUGGAUGAAUGAAGAAAAGCAAAAUGUUUUAUCUCUUCAGAUGAGUAGUAAACUUUAUCAUAAAAAAUAAAAGCAUAAUGAGCCACACAAAAAUGGUAGUAUAAUAUUUUUUGGAAAUUAUACAAUAUUUAAUAAAAAAUGGUAUUAUAAUUAUUAUCCCAGUUAUUAUAUAUAAUAUAAUUAAUUUUUUUUUGCUUUGUGCGUUUUAAUUUUACAAUACACUAUGUUGUAGUAAUAACUAAUCAAACUAUAUUUAGUAUAAAAAAUGAAAGUUUUCUCACUUGAUCAUUUGUACUUCACUUUAUCAAACAUGACAAAGUUCUUAAAUUAUCUUUUAAAUCUGUCACUCAUAUAUGAUCUUACAAUUGGAUAGAAAAUAAGAUUUCUUACCGGUAUAUAUUAUUUUGAUGUUCAACCACCAUAAAUAAAUCUGAUAAUAAACCAUUCUAACACCAAUAAUAACUUACACAAAUUUUCACCCCAAAAAAAUUGAAAGAACAUUCCCUUUAUUUUUAGCCCCUCCAAAUCAGAAACCCAUACAUUAAAAGCAAAUUUCAAAAUCAACGUAAAAACCUCAGGCUAAAAGGGUUAGAAAUUCCCCUCUAAAAUUCUUUCUUUCAUUUCCCUUCUUCUUCCCGCCCUCAAAUUCAAUAAAAAAAGAUGAAGGCGGCGAAAGAAACCAUGAGGGAGAUGGAAGAGUUCAGGAAGGCCAACGAUCAAAUGUACAACAACGUUGGCGAAUGGAAGUACGAGCCCAGCUCGGCGCCCGGCGACAAGCAUGUUUUCUCCCGAAACGUGGCCGUACAAGCUCCGGCGACGAGGUCCAAUAAGAUGAUAGUGGUGGCGUCCACGAUGCCUCCGUCGACAGUGGCCGUGACGGCUCCGAGGAUGGCCAAUAGCCACAAGGCGAGGGCCCAGAGGAGCGAGGGCGAAUCGAAGAGGCAGAGGAGGGUGGUGAAAUACAAAUCGUAUGCCGUUGAAAGUAGGAUGAGGGCUUCCGUUAACAGCGGCCUACGAUGGUUCAAGAACCUUGUAUGAUUAUAAUUACGGCGAUGAGCUAAUCCUUAUAUUUCAUAUUAAACUAUUAUGGAUAUACCGCUCAUGAUAGAUAUAUAUACAUAUGGUUUUUACCCAUAAAGGGUUUGUGUAAUAUUUGCUAGACGAAAACGGCUAGCUAGGAGUUAAAUAGUCGGCAAACUAAUUCAUGUAAAUAUUUACUUCGAAUGUUGGAUGUUAAUAUGUGUAUAUAUUGAAUAUUUCGAAAUAAAGAAUUGGAAAAUUAUGUUCCUUAUUCUGACUUGUGUUGGGUGUUCGGGUAUCCAUUAUAUUCCGAUUGUGGUUGGUUUUUACUUCAUAUCCUCUUCCAAACUUACAACCCUAAAAAUGAGCAUGUGCAUUGAAAUUGAAAACAGAGAUGUUUGGCGGUAAGAACAUAAAUAUCCCAAUUACAUCAAACAAGUUUCUGUGAAUGAAAAUUAUAGUUGAGAUCUAACUAGACAAUCGUUGAAGUUAGUUGAGAUGCAAAUAAAACUUAUUUGGUGUCAUUGAAAUAUGUUUUCACACUGAGAAUAAAAAUAUAAUUUGGCAUACAUACCUUAAAAAAAAGAUGUAUGUAAUACAAAUACGACAUAGUUUUUACACUUUUUUUCUCCGAUCAUUCAAAUGCGUCUUGACACAUUUUACAAGUCGAGAGAUAAUAUAUACAUUGCCGCAAUUGGUCAUAUACUAAAUAUAAAUAGACAUUAAGUUUGAUAGGAUAUUGCGUAUCAACUUAAUCAGGCGAUGUAGCUAAAAUGAUACAAAAUCGUAACUAUAUAUGGUGACAAGCGCAUAUGCAGUAAUCUAAAAGCCGUACCAUAUAUCAAAUCGGCAGAGCUAACUACAUAAAAUAUUACAAUGUUCAAACCAAUUAUUGUUAAAAUAUAAACUCGUAAGUAUAUAUGUAUGCUAUGAAAAAUAACCACUUGUUAACCGAUGUACGAGUGUGUCAAUCGAUAUUAAACCAUAUUUCAAUCAAUAUGUACAAUGGCCAUACUGAAAGUUGACAUGACAUGACAUUAGCAAUGUACUAUAAUAAGGGCAAUGUAAACCUUGACUAUGGACCAAAGGCAUUCAAUAAGAUUAACUCAUUAAUGUUGAUAUACGUACACAAGCAAGCUAGCUUUAUAUUUAGUUCAGAGGACCCAAAUUAAAGGCACACUAGCUAGUUGAAGACAUGGGACCUCGAGGUAGCAAACAUCUCUGUUUUUCUGCUGCCUACAGCCAAACAUAACUUCCUUAGAUCGAGUAGCAAAGAUAAAAGAAACAAGACAUUCACCAUCAUUUCUCUCUUCUUUAUGGCAAAGUUUUCUUAUAGUCAAUGUAAAGUUAUUUUUUGAGUUAUAUAUGUUCAUGUUUUAAAAGUAUUAAAUUCAAAUUCAAUAUAAUUUUUAUUUUCUUUUUUAUUUUAUACUGAUCGUAAAACCUAUUCAAAAUAAAAGUAAUGAAGUGUAGAUUCGGCCUAAAAAGUUCAAUCAAUUUUUAAAAGUGCAAAGGACAAAAUAAAACGCAAGUAGUGAUCACAAACGCCAUUAACACGAGUAGGUAUUAGCAUCAUUGUAAUGCUCGUAAGUCGUAUCGUACCGCCUUGAUCUUUAUAAAUAAUUGUUUAAACGAAAUUUAAGAUUGGACCGGACCAUCCGGUUUUAGGAACAAAAAAAAACAAAAUCUCCAUCUGUGUGGGCCGGGUCCGGACUUUACGACACUUGAUGGGGAAGAUGGAUCCAAUUCAGGAGGGGUAAAACGGUAAUCUGCGACCACGGACGGAUCUGGAUAUCUGGGAUAGCCUUUUUAAGUUGCAAUUUGUCGUCUCGUCUCGUUAACCGGGUUCUGGAUUCCGGGGCCCGCCCGUCCGUUUCCUUUUAAUUUGGUUUUCCUGGAUUUGGACUUUUCGAGACAUCCGCUCCUCAAAGUCUUUUUUUUUUUUUGCUUACAGCACCUUCUAAUUUUCCUUUUUUCCACACAACCAACGGUCACUAUUCGAUCUACGACUCAGAAGCCGCCACCUGGAUCCUCUCUUCCGUUCGCCGCAUGUGACUUUAUCACUUAUCGCACACAGCCGGAGAGAGAAAUAAAAUUAAUUAAGAAAAAAACCACUACGGUCGGGAAUUCGAAAUUUGUUCGUGUCUGGCAAAGAGACGUUAUAGCUUUUUGAACUUCACUCCACUCCACUCCACCGGAUUAAAGAACAAACCAUAAUACCUUAUUUUUAAACAUUUAUAUCCGUUCAACAAUCAAAGAUUAUAUUACAUUAAAAUGAAUGAUAUCCUCAAAGCUUAAAUAGUAGUAAUUGGGAUGAAUAUUGUUAAAAUAAUAAGUAUAUUAAGUUUUUUAUUACCGUUGAAAUUUUAUGGUUAUGCGACAAAACAAAUUUAAUUAUAUGUUAGUCGGGUAUAGCUAAUUCGAUUGAAACACUUUUAAUUUGUUUGAAACACUUUUAGGCCUCGUUUGGUACACGAUAAUAUUUGAGAUAUCGCGAUAUUAGAUGAGAUUGAUAUUCGGUGAAAAUAAGUAUGAAAUUAGCUGAUCAACCAACCAUGUUCCAUGCUUGUUUUAUAUUAGUUAAGAUAUUAAUAGUCUUCUACACUGUUGUGUGACGGUCUAUUAAUUCGAGCUAUCUCGUUCGUAGAAGAAUACCCUUCUAAAUUGGAGGAUGUUGUUUAUAUGAUCGUCAUUGAUAAGAUUAUGAGCCAUAUUAAAACACAAUAUGUAAUUCAAAAUGUCACUAGUUUUAAUCAAUAUUGUAUAAUAAUUUUAAAUAAGUAUGUACUUUCCAAUUUUCAUUGAAUGUGAUGAUAAAAUUAGAAAUAAUGUUUGUAAAAAAAAAAAGAAAAAAGGAAAAGAAGAGUGGGGAGAAGGAGGAGGGUAUUCAUGGCGUUUGGGUCCAUUUAAUGCAUUUGAACUAUUUGGACAGUUGGGAAAGAAAGACAGGACCUUUCUUCUUCUUCUUCUUUCUUGUUCUUUCAUAAAACCUCCGGAACGUCUCUUUAAAUGCUGCUUGGGUCUCAGAGGCCACAGUAAGAAAGACAAAAGCAUUGAUUCAAAACCCUUCAGCAGCAUUUACAGAAACAGAGUUCUUGAGAAGAGGAGACGACGACAGAUCAAGUGAACUUAGCUUGCUGGAGAAAGGAAGGUUUUCUCGAGGUCGAUCUGACCUUAUUCUAAUGUGGCAAAUCUGGGAAUCAAUGUGGGUAUUCCAAUCUUGAUCUUGCUCUCACCACUUUAUUUAUGGCCUCUGUUCAUCCCGAAAUUGAAUGUUUCUCAUAAAAGUAGCUGCUUUCAGCUUUGAUUGUCUGUCUCCUGCUUUCAUUUCGGUUGGGUGUCUAGAAAGUAGAAACAGCUGUGGAAUCUUUGAGAAUUAUACUGAGCUGUAGGUCUGCAGAGAAAUCAAGAAAUGUUUAGGGUUUUCAACUGUUAAUAUGGUUGUGCUACAUUAGGAUUGAGAUAAAAGGAUAACAAUGUAGCUUGGAAAAUUGCAGGGUUGAGGGAUUCAGUCAUCUUCUUGAGUAAGGGGAAANNNNNNNNNNNNNNNNNNNNNNNNNNNNNNNNNNNNNNNNNNNNNNNNNNNNNNNNNNNNNNNNNNNNNNNNNNNNNNNNNNNNNNNNNNNNNNNNNNNNNNNNNNNNNNNNNNNNNNNNNNNNNNNNNNNNNNNNNNNNNNNNNNNNNNNNNNNNNNNNNNNNNNNNNNNNNNNNNNNNNNNNNNNNNNNNNNNNNNNNNNNNNNNNNNNNNNNNNNNNNNNNNNNNNNNNNNNNNNNNNNNNNNNNNNNNNNNNNNNNNNNNNNNNNNNNNNNNNNNNNNNNNNNNNNNNNNNNNNNNNNNNNNNNNNNNNNNNNNNNNNNNNNNNNNNNNNNNNNNNNNNNNNNNNNNNNNNNNNNNNNNNNNNNNNNNNNNNNNNNNNNNNNNNNNNNNNNNNNNNNNNNNNNNNNNNNNNNNNNNNNNNNNNNCAUGCAUUCAGGUGAUCUGAAGCUGAUGGAGUCAUCUAGGCCUAGAAAGGCGGUAAGCAGACCGAUCGAGAAGUUCCAGACUGAGAUGCUGCCUCCGAAAUCGGCCAAGUCAAUCCCCAUCACACAUCAUAAACUUCUAUCGCCUAUAAAGAGAGCCAAUUUCGUCUCGAGUAAUACUGCUGCUCACAUAAUGGAAGAAGCUGCAAAGAUCAUCAUCGAGCCUAGUCCUGCAAAGCCAAAGAUGACCGGUGUUGGAUCUUCUUCAUCAGCACCACCCUUGAAAGUUCGUAACUUGAAAUCGAGACUCGAGGCUACUCAGAGAACGCCUAUAUCCGGCUCAUCUGCACUGAGAGCCACCCGCGAUAUGAAGGAGAAACUCGAACCUGCUCCGAGAACUUCCAGGACUGCAGAAUCAUUUCGAAAACCUGCCGAGUCAAACGCUGCUAAGUGCCUUAAGGGGCAACCUUUGAACAAAAGCUGGAACGGACCGGCUGAUUCAGCAUCUUCGAGAGUUUCUCAUGAACCUGGGGAAGGAUCAUCUUCUUCUUCCGGUCAAAAGAGCAAGGGAAAGUCUGUCUCACUGGCUGUUCAAGCAAAGGUAAAUGUACAGAGAAGAGAAGGGCUGAAUCCGAAUGGGGGUCGAGAUCUUGUACAGCAAUUGAGAGAACAAAGUGAAGAUGUGACAAGCCAACCAUUCAGGAGCGAAACGAAUUUCCAGAAGAGUUCUUCAGCUAAUAAGAGGCAAUCGUCGUCUCCAAGUGCUUAUGGAGUUCUUAGACAGAACAGCAAGAAACNNNNNNNNNNNNNNNNNNNNNNNNNNNNNNNNNNNNNNNNNNNNNNNNNNNNNNNNNNNNNNNNNNNNNNNNNNNNNNNNNNNNNNNNNNNNNNNNNNNNNNNNNNNNNNNNNNNNNNNNNNNNNNNNNNNNNNNNNNNNNNNNNNNNNNNNNNNNNNNNNNNNNNNNNNNNNNNNNNNNNNNNNNNNNNNNNNNNNNNNNNNNNNNNNNNNNNNNNNNNNNNNNNNNNNNNNNNNNNNNNNNNNNNNNNNNNNNNNNNNNNNNNNNNNNNNNNNNNNNNNNNNNNNNNNNNNNNNNNNNNNNNNNNNNNNNNNNNNNNNNNNNNNNNNNNNNNNNNNNNNNNNNNNNNNNNNNNNNNNNNNNNNNNNNNNNNNNNNNNNNNNNNNNNNNNNNNNNNNNNNNNNNNNNNNNNNNNNNNNNNNNNNNNNNNNNNNNNNNNNNNNNNNNNNNNNNNNNNNNNNNNNNNNNNNNNNNNNNNNNNNNNNNNNNNNNNNNNNNNNNNNNNNNNNNNNNNNNNNNNNNNNNNNNNNNNNNNNNNNNNNNNNNNNNNNNNNNNNNNNNNNNNNNNNNNNNNNNNNNNNNNNNNNNNNNNNNNNCUUUGAACUAGUCUGUUAAAAAUAAGCUCAUUUCCUAGUUGCUGCAGAAUCAAAAUGUGGUAUCUGUAUAUAUUUUUGCAGGGAGUUGAUGCUAUGGAAGAAUGUAGCAGCAGCAGCAAAUAUGACUGCAGACGUCCAAGUCCGAUCUCGGUUCUUGACUAUUCUUUCUCAACUGAAAGCAGCUGCACAUUAGAGAGUAUGGACUACAGUAGCAGUACAGAGGGUAAGAAUUGUAUCUAUGAAGCUAUAGUUGGUUGUCGAAUAGUUUUUGGGGAUAAAAUUCUCGUCUUGAUGACUUUAAUUAAAUGUUCAAUCGAAAUCUAUCAGGAGGCAAGCAGUGUUCAUCUUCCAUUCAAGCACAAGAAGUCCUUGGCCUUACCUUUCUUCCCAAGAAACAUCAACACCACCCAGACACAGAGCUACUAGAUUCUGCUUCAUCGACAAGCUCCAGAAUCGCGUCUCUCGCUAGUACAAACAGAUCAACCGGCAGUGAUAAAUCGGACUAUUGGGAGGUGGAAUACGUCAAACAAGUGCUUGUUUACCUGGACUUGAUGUUCCAUGACUUUGCCAUUGGCAGAUGCAGCGAGGUCGUGAAUCCCCACCUCUUCGAUCAACUGGUGGUUGGAAAUCACUUCGAUCGAACUAGGCUAGAAAAAAGGGCACUGUUCGACUGCGUGAGCGAAUGCCUGGACUUACGAUGCAGCAGAUACAUCGGCGGAGGGUACAGUGCUUGGUCGAAAGGGACGACAGUGAUGAGUAGAAAAGACAGAUUGGCUGAAGAAUUGCACAGAGAGAUUGUAACGUGGAGGAAAAUGGGAGACUGUAUGGUCGAUGAGCUCGUCGACAAGGACAUGAGCAGCCAAUACGGGAAUUGGCUCGACUAUGAGGUAGAUGCAUUUGGUGUUGGAGAAGAGAUUGAAGGGUUAAUACUUAACUCCUUGGUUGAUGAGUUAGUCGCCGAUAUCCGGCCCCAAAAACUUACAAACAAGAGGAGAUUCAUAUGAAGAUGAUUCAUAUGCAUUUUAAGUCUACUGGUUUUUUCUGCUAUUGUAAGGAACAACUGAUGAUUCUCUCUAUAUAUAAGUCAAAAGUUGUAAUCAAAGGACUGCAGUUAAACAAAAUUGCAGACAUUUUGAUGACCACCAUUUCCCCACAAACUAUGCACUAUGUUUACACAUCAAACACUACUGAGCAACUUAUGAUAGAUAGAAACUAGACGAACAUCAAUGUUUUCCAAAAGAGCCUGAAGAGAAACCUUGUGAAAUGUCACAGCAACGAUGGAGAAGAUGAAGCACCAUCCUAGAGCCAUGGGAAACUGUUGUUGUAGUCUACUUCAUGAUCCCAUUGGAUGUUGUCAAUCUGGUCCCAAUCCAGCCACUCUUCUUCCCCUCCACCACCACACUUAUUACCAUUGCUUUCACCGCCUUUAUUCUCAACCACCAUAUCAUCAUUACGCUUCACUGCCGAAUCUUCUACCUCGGUGGGAAUCAGUGAGCUCUUAAGACGGUUUAUCUCGCUGUCCAGCCAUUCGUAUGGUUCCAGAACAUCCUCGUCUCCCACAACUUUCAUCCCUACCCCAUCCAACGACAUUAAUUCACCUCCCCCGCCAGCGGCGGUGGGGGCGGCCCCAUCAUCUCCGCUGUUCUGUUCGGCGGAAUUAGCACUAAUUCCGCUCAGUGAAGCUUCCGACUUCCCGUCUUUAGACUUUUCGGCGGGUUGUUUUUUCUUAUUGGCACUUGAUUUCCGGCUUUUGCCUCUACUCGCGGCGGCGGGGGGAGGAGCGAUGAUGUCAAUGGAGGUGGUGGUUGAAUUGGCGGAGGAGGAGGAGGAGGCGGCGGAAGAGGCGGACGAGUGGCCGGCGGCGGGUGAACGGCGGCUGGGGAAACAGUAAAUUUUGCGACUGAGAUGAGAGUUCCAGUAAUUUUUUAUCUCAUUGUCGGUUCUUCCGGGUAAUUGGGCCGCUAUCAACGACCACCUAUAUUAAAUCACAACACAGAUUUGGGCCACGUUAAUUACGGUAAAACCACAUAGCUAGAAAACAAAAUAGUGAAUUGUCAAUUUUUCCGAAUUAAAUGGCUUCUACAAGAUAGAUACUUGUAAUUCAAUCAUUAAGAAAUAUCUAUCGAGUAACUCCACAAGUUUAAUGAGAUUAUUAAUUAAGUUUAUGGGUGUUAAUCACUCCAACAAAAUGCAUAGUUUUUUAAUGACCUUUGUUGAAUUUUGACUCGGGUGUCAAAUUCUAAACCAUUUGAUCAAAUGUAACUAGUCAAAUCAGUUAGAUCGAUAGAUUAGAUGUUGAUUUUUUGUUUUACACACGUGAAUCGUAUAUGUGUUCGACAUAAAUUUGUCGUAAAAAGGUCAUGAAAGAAACGACGACAAAAAAGAUGUAAAUCUCAUGAUUAAUCAUAUGUCCCUAUCGACACACGAUCGCCUUAUAAAACGUAACAAUCAAAUGGUAUAAUGGUAUAUGUGUUAUGCUUUUUCCCGGAAACAAAUCUUUGGCUGAUACUCCACCAUAUAUGUCAAUGACUAGUAUAUGGUUCCAUAUAUGUAGUAUUCCGUCAUCUCUCUCAUGCUAUUUUAUUUUAAAUAAAACAAUUAUAAAAUAAACAGAAAUACUUCAAAUAACGAUAUAUAUGCGCGUAUAUACAAACACAUACGUGAUAUUUUAAAUAAAAUAAAAAAAUUAACAAUAACACAAUUCUAAUAACAUCAUACAUCCAACACCCUAAUACGAAAUUUACGAAAAAAAGGAAUGAAUACCUAUUGCCAAGAGCGUUGUGGAGCUUAACAAUAGUCUCUUCCUCAUCCUUGGUAAUAUUCCCACGCUUCAAGUCAGCCCUUAGGUAAUUAAUCCACCUCAGCCUGCAACUCUUCCCACACCUCAACAGACCUGAAAAAAAAUAACAAUGAGUAUCAAACGAGCAAGACAAAAUAGUACGAUGACCAAAACGGAGAACAAAUUUUCUUAAUCUUUUUCAUUUACCUGCGUCCUUGGGGAGAGAGCGCCAUUUGCCUUCGCCGUUCUGGAGAAUGUACGCCGUCAAGAUCUGGUCUUCCUCCGCCGUCCAUCUCCCCUUCUUCAGGCCGACUUUCUCGCAGCACGGAGCUCUUCCCAUUUUCUCGGAGACAGAUGUGUAAAUUUUUUCACUUUGGUUUUGUUUCUGGAAGGAGGCAGAAGAGAAAAGACGCAAAGUUAAUGAGGAGAAGAUGACAGUAGUGUCGUCUUACUAUUAUACCCAGUUGGAGUGUGAGAGAUGGUGGUAAUAUGGACACGUAAUGGGGGAUACGGGGUGCCACGUAUGCUAAUUUUAAUUACUUUUGGUGUAUUUAAACCAGUUGACUUAUUAGGCUCGGUAAAAAUUCAAUUAGAUUCUGUCCAGCCCAGCGCAGAUUUGUUUUUAAUUACUGUAUUAGAACGAUAAUUUAUUACUUCCUUAUCUCGUUGUUUAUGGUAUAUGAAAAAGCUCUAAUAAGCAGUUACCAUAAUUAAUUGUUUCAGUUUCCCCCCUUGGUUAUUAAUUACUUUCCUUACUUAUUUUGUUGAGGUUUACAUUGUUUACUUAUUUGCUUUGUGGGUUAUAUUUAAGGUAAGAUGUAUCGAAUCGUUGAGGAUAAUGUAACCGUUUUUAUAGUGGUUAAAGUUUUAAAUUACGGAAGAUAAUAGUUCGAAUAGUUUGUUACUCGAUUGUUUAUCGAUUUGUGAUGUCGGUUAAAACCUUACUAGGUAUGAAAUCAAAGAGGAUUGUGGGUACGUAGCUAGCUUGGGGGUGGGGACGAUGGUUGCAGACGAGUACAAUUGCUGAUUGAUUUCAUAUGCGUUGUUCGAUCACCUUGUAAUUCUCCGUCUGCUAUGCUCGCUAGUGGUUAUUAUUUUGUGACAGGGAUGUUAAAUCCUCCUUCACGGUGGAUGAAGAAUCAACACUAACGAUGCAAUCACAUUUGCGAGGGGAGGGGGUAUGCGGUGGGAGUGAUCAAGAGGAAUAGAUAUAGCUAGGUGGUGGUGUUUCUUUAGCAAGAAAAUGGAUUCCUAUUUGGUUUAACUUUGUAGGGGGAUUUUAGCUAGACAUGCGCUACUUGUUGUCCUAUGUUUCGCUUUAUGGAUCGAGGUUUCGUAAAUUUCGACCUGUUUCGAUUAAUAUGCCUUCCGAUACUAAAAGACAAGGUUUGACCCUGACUUCUGUCUAUCGAGAUAUCCACUCGUUAAAAUUGGGGUGUUCAACUAUCAAGUAACAAAUACCAAACCACUCAUAUUUAUCGUAAUACAAAUAACCCUUGUUUUUGAAAACCCAACCGGACCGAACGGUCCGAUUGCAAACCAACUCUUAGCCCAAAACUAGUUUGACAGUUUGUGAGAUGGGUCAGAGGCGGGUAUUGACCCAAACUUGACCAAAACAUUCAGCCGGUUGAACUGAAAUUGUUGGGCCGGUUGAACUAUAUUUUUAUGCCUACUCUAUUUUGUAAAAGCUGUUGCAAGUAGGAGUAGGAUUCAAACCCUAAUCUUUAAAAUAGAGAUUAUGAGUAAUUACCAUCUCCGUUCAUGUCAUGAUUCGAAUAAUGUAUGCAUUUAAUUGACAAUAAUAAACAUUAUAACAACUAAUUAACUCUAAAAAGUAUUACAUCACUAUAAAUUAAGUAAAUUAUAUAUUAUUCAAUUACCCUUUAAUUAAUAAAAAGCUUCAAAUAAUGUAUAUAGUUUGAAACUUGUUAAAAAAAAUUAAUUAUUAACUAUAGUUUUGAUAAGUUAGAUUAUGAUAUUAAAUUCUUUAUCCCACCGGUCUGAUCCACCUCAAUAAAAAAAAAUUAUCCGCCCCCCUUUAAUCAUAAUUAUAUUUAAUAAUUAAAAAUAUCUAAUCUCGAUCGAACCACCAAACCCUAAACCGGUAAAUUCACCGAUUCAAUCUCCAAUCCGAUUUUCAAAACCUCAAGUUACUCCGCUUCUUCAUUCUAGGUUUAGCAUUUAGUUAACCGGUAAAAUUUGGAGACGGUGGAGGGGGUGGGGGGACAGGAAUUCGUGAAGAACAAAUGUAGGAAAUUACAGUUUCAGCGGUGAAGAAGAACCCAUAUAUGUACCUGGUUUCCCAAUUUGGGAUGGGACUUAGAGACAUACUCUAUUUAAUGUCGACGGUUGGAUAUUUUCUGAGAGAUAGCCGCUCUCUAAUAAAUAAUAUCUUUCUAUAUAUUAUACUCAUUUUUUUUUAAAAAAAGUAUACAACUGGGACCGCAACACAAGAAGACCUACCUACAUGCUUACUAAUAUCCAUAAUUAUUAUUAUUAUUAUCUCUGCGUCUAAAAAUGGGCUGCAGCUUUGCUGGAUGAUGGAGAGACCCUGAGAGACCUUUCUUCCUAUAAACUAUACAUAUUCCCAAACCAAUUCCUUCCCCUCUAUAUUAAUUUCAUUCUUUCUGUUUCUUCUGUUCAUCCCUUUCCAACAUAAAUGAACAGCAUGUUGAAUGCGUAUGAGCUGUUUAUAAGGAUUCUUCAUUUGUAUUAACUUGUUAUUAUGCUAUUAUUUCACUCCCAUAUAUCACUCAACUCAACAUGGCUUCCAUGUGGGUGGAUUGUUUUCGAAAAACAAAAAAUUAUCGAUGCUGCAUUUCAAUUUUGUGAUUUUUUUGGCUAACCAUGUACUCAUAAAAAAAUGUAUUUGUAAAUUGAUUAUUCGAUAUAUAGAUUUUAAAUUUAAAUAUGAAUCCGUACAUGUACGAAUAUGAUAAUAUGCAAAUAGUAUUUGACAAGCAUCAGAGAUUGUAGUGAAUGGGGGCACAAACGUCUUUUUUUAACUUACUUACUUGGCAAGUGUAGCUGCCAUUCCUGGGGGAAACGUUCACGUGGAUAGCUAUCUACUCCCCAGAAAAGCCUCAUUUUAGCGAGCCAGCUCUGUUGGGGAGUGGAUGAUUCAAUCUGCAGUGUAGUCAAAGUCAAAAUCAACUACUACUAUAUUAAGGGAUGGAUGAUGCCUAUAUGACCAAAAUGAACACUUUUUUAUUAUUAUGUAUGUAUCAAAUCAAUUUUAAACAAACGUGCUACAGUCAGCAUUUUCGUCACACUUAUUUUGUUUUUGUCCGGAGGGAGUCAUUCGCCGCCAAGACUCACCUUUUGCAACGACAGACAGUGAGUGUGGGUGGCAUCUAGGGGUGUAAAUAGGUUGGGUUGGGGUGGGUUUUAGAGGGUUGGGGUUGGGUUUAGGGAUUAAUAGGUUAUAAAUUUUGUUAACUCAGCCCAUCCUUUUUUUUAAUCUAACCCAAUUCAAUUCUAAUGGGUUGGUGUGGGUUGAGUCGGGUUUUAUUAUGAGUUAGACCAUCCUCCUAAUCGUCACGGCUGGAAAAACCCAAGGUAAGGAAAAGGUUAUUCUUUUAUUGGCGCAGUAGUCAGUAGAAGGAAGAUUAGGAGCUUGGAAAUUAUAAAGCCGAACGAAUUGGCUCCAUUGAUUUUCUUUUCUACUCUGUUUUCAUCCAUGGCCACUUCGUCGCAUCGUUUUCUGUCCGCACCAUUCACCUGCCAUGCCAAGCUUCCACUUUUGCUACUGUCAAAAUGGUCCUAUCUCUAUUUUCCAAAAAUGCCCUCCAACCUGCUGAUGAAUGCACACUUUUUUUUUUUUGGUUAUAUAUUUAUAGCUGAUAAGUGAUAGAUAACAUAACACAUAUCCUGGUCCCGGAAAUGAAGACGGCUGCAUGUGACUAGGCUUAAUUAUCACAUACGUACAUGCCCUACUUGCGUCAUGCUCUGCAUGCUAUACAUAGCUGUUGAACCUUCCUGACACUCCGGCUUUGGUCAACCGACGACGAAAUAUUCUACCGCCGGCCGACGAUAUUGCGGCCAUCUUGUAAUGUUUUCCCUACGGAGCAGUUGGAGAUGAUUCAGUCCAGAAGCUGCCACGUAACAUCAGUCACCAACACAAAUUUUGGUUACCCCUACAUGCAUGGAAUUGGACAGCAAGCUAAAAAGUAACUUUUUGAUUGAAUGAUUUCCACUAAUCAAUCAUUGUAUUAAAUAGAUGUGAGUACUUGUCAACUGAUAUAUAUAUAAACAAUGUUGACUUUUCAACGAUGAAACAUAUAUAUAAAUGCAUGCUAUAUAUUGUGAAAAUGAUGAUUAAUGAAGAUGACCCCUCCAAACUGUAAUCAACGCUUAACCAAAGCCCACUACAGCCAGUGAACUUUUAAGUGACAUCGAAUCGGUACGCUGGUUUGUGCUAUCAAGAUAUCAAAUGCUUCAGGUAACAUUAUAUAGGAAAGCAUUGAGUGGACUUGGGUGAGCAACUUUGCUUAGAUGGAUUUGAGCAUACUCAUCUGGCAAUUGAGCAAGAGCUAGCUAGCAUAGGCGGGGACUUGUGUCUAUUACCAAACAAAGUGAAAAUUAAAGGAUUAUUCCAUUGCUUCGGGAACUAAUUAACGUCUUCACAAGUUCAUUUCAGAAUCAAUGUUGUUAACUUCCACAACCAAAUAUUCCCGUCUGAUCACAUAAGAAGAAAUGCGGGUACAUCGCUGAUGAUAAUAUAUGCACUGCAAAGAAAACAAAGACCAGUAGCCAAAAGCCACUAAAGCUUACGAGUGUGGGGUGGAUGUAGGAGUUAGUGACUAGUUUGAAUGCUUCUUACCCUGCAAGCCAGAGUGGCUAGGACACUACAUUAUCUGUGUAUCAGAAGAGCACAAUAAAGCUGCGAAUUAGAAACAAUGUUACCCUUUACCAGUAAUCAGCACGUACGGUACGAAAUCCCAUUUGGUUCAUUAAGGCUAUAACUCAAUAUCAACAUUUGAAAUUUCAGUUAUAUACUACUUGAAAACAGAUAAUCUAUGAACAAAAGAUCAAUAGUCGUGAUGUGCUAAAUGAGGCUACGGACCCUACACUUUAUAUUCAGGAUGUGGUCGAUGUUUUCAUCGCAUAUUAUCAUUUCUGUUAUUCUAGCUUGAAAGUCUGGUUGAAGACUAACAUCAACUUUCUUCACACAAACCAGAAAAGUUAUCAUAAACCGAUCAAGAGUGCAAGAGAUCAGCAUAGAGAAGCUGGUUCCACUGAAGUGAGAAGCAGAGUAUCCACGGAAGAACACUCUGGUACGGCUAGCGUUGAUAUUGGAAUCAACCCAUUAAGCCCACGUCCACAGUGCUUUCUUGUACGCUUCACUCACUUGCAGCUUGAUGUACACGUGGCUCCCUUCUUGAUAGUAAUUCUUCCUACAACUUUAUAGCAACUAAGCCCAGUAAUUUAAAUCACAACAACACCAAAAUUGAUGAUCUUAAUUUAACCACUUACCCUCGGUUGGUUUUCUUGUGAGUCCACCAGUGUCCAGUGUUGAACACGAUGACGUCGGCAUUUCUAUAGUCAGAGAAGCUCCUCUGUAUCAUGUCAAGCCUCAGGGUUUCUCUUUUCUUCCGAUUCAUCCUUGUUUUUGUUGUUGUUCUGUUCGAAUCCUGCUUCCAUUCCUGUACUAGGAAUGUCAAUUUCACAAAGUCCAGCGAGCAAUUGAAUUCCUGCCAAUUUGGAGAUUGAAAUAUCAUCUAGUCACGAAUGGAACCAAAUUAGAAACAAACAGUACCGUUUAAUGGACUUACGGUGAAUUUCACAGAGUAGAACCCCUGCGUUCUGAACUCCCUUCUGCCAAACUCUUCAAAGAUUCCACUCUUGUUCUUCACCGAUUCUCGCAACGAACACACCAGAGCUUGCCACAUGUUCCUGCUCAAAGAAUCUCCCACGAAUACCAGUCUCCUCCCUCUCAGAAUCUCCAGCAUCUUUCUCCCGUUAAACCUGCAGGAAAAAAAAGAUAGUACUUUUUCCCCUGAUUUUGUUUGGAGCUCCGACGGCAGAAAAUAAGAAGAAGGAAAAAAGACAAGUUUGACCGUGGAAUGUUGCAACCGUACGGCUUCCACCGGCACCGGAGAUAACCCAAAAAGUCCCGGCCGUUCUUGAAGCAAUUGGACGAAUCGUCGAGGAAGGGGCAUGAACCGGGCGGGUAAACCGGAUCCCAGUGGUCGACAACCCAAUUCCCGUCAAAGAUAUUGCAUGAAGUGGGCCGAGUCAAGAACUCGUCUUCGUUUCGGGAUUUCCAGCGAGGAGUAAAUUUCGUAGCUGCGGCGACAGAAGAGAGCGUCGGGCAUUCCGAGAAGACGGGGCAAGUGUUGAAGGAAUCGACGGGAGAGAAAGAAGAGAGGGAUUCUUCGUGGUUUGCGUCGACGGAGAAAAGGCGGGAAGCGGAGGGAAUGGACGCGGCGCCAGCGCCGGAGUCAUUGGUGGUAGCGGUGAAGAAGAAGAAGGAAGGCGACAGGCAGAGGAAGGUGAUCAUCAAGAAGAAGGGAGUAUUUGCGUAGAGUGGAUUCUUGGGUUUGUGAGGGUGAUGAUCUUGAGCUUCGUCAAAGAUUCCAUGGCGGAAAAGAAAGAAUCGGAAGGAGAUUUCUUGUUGUAGUUGAUUGGUGAACAGAGUAAUUUCCUUCUGGAGGGAAGCGCGAGGAGGGAUAAAUUUAAUUUAAUUACGAAUUUUAAAUUUGCUGCUAUUGGGCCCGAUUGACCUCUAGGCCUAUUCCAGAAUCUUGUAGCUUGGGCCCAAUGGACGAAACCAGAGGCCUUGUUAAUUGUCGGUCUAUUUAUCCAGAUAAAUUAUACAGAUAUUAAUGAACUUGUACCACACUGCCAAGCCAAAAAAAACAAUACACUACUGCUAACUUCAACUUUGCUCAAUGCUGCAAUGAUUCACCAAGCCUGAGCAGCAGCAAUGGCGGAAACAAGAGCAGACAAGAAGAGAAAUCCACUGGCAGACUUCACAACAGUGCUCUGAGAAGCCUGAAGAUGUUCCGACACAUCGAAAUUGCCUCUAUCAGGACCAUCACUGCACCCUGCCUUCAUGGUGUCCUUAACAUCCUCAAUCGUGGCAGUGUUAUAGAAUACAAAGUUCUCCAUUAUCCCUUCGACACAGUCCAGCACCAAGUUAGUCUCCGAAAAGCAUGGCCCACCGCAGUAGGCGUCCACUUGAUCCAGUGGAACGCUCAGCCUCCCGCUCUCGUUCAGCCUGUAGUCUUCAUCGCAGGUUCUGUAUAUCUGAAUCAAUCAUAUUUUAUAACAUUAUGUUGUGAUAAAUCCAACUAACAAGUUUCAAGUUUCUUCCUUCUUUUCCUUAAUCUAGUAUUUAGUAAUGUUUUACCUUCCUGUCAUUGAAGCAUACCAAAGCUCUUGCGACGAUUUGGGCAGGAUCGUCAGCAUGAUGACUACUGCUCGUAUCAUCAUCGCUACCUGAAGAUGAGGAGGAGGUCGGAGAGGUUCCUGAGCUUCCGCGGUUUCCAACGUCCAAGUAAGGUGCAUCUACAUCUGCCUUUCCUGUCAUAUCGAUCAUCAGCUUUUAAAGUUCAAAUCUUUACUAACAAAUCGAAAACUGGUAAUGAAACAUACUUCAUAAUGAGACAUUGUACCUAGUUGGCAGCAGGAAAUGAGUAGUGACAGAAGAAACAGAACAAUGAAAACGAUCCUUUUUGUGGCUGAAUCUGCCAUGGAUAAUUAUUAUCAAGUUGUGUUUUUAAGGGGGGGCAGCAGUUGAUAGAACGGUGGGAGAAUAUGAAAUUGUGGUGUAUGGUCAUUAUUAAAUAAGAAAGGAGUUACACCAACCAUGGAAAACAAAAGCAUCAUUGGGUUUAUUUCCUUAGCUUGAGAGAUUGAUUACUUGGACCGAUUGGCAUAACUAGCCCUUUCGGAUAGACAAUGCAGGGAAAAACCAUUGAUUUGGUUUGUGAAAUGGAAUAUGAAUAUUCAGUCAUUUACUUGUGGGAGGAGAGAACUGAAAGAGAGUAAAGAGGUGAGGAGCAGUUAGAGUGCAAGUAACCAACUUUCAACCAGUAAUGGAAACUUAGUUCGUCACUCAAUCAAAUACUUGACUAAAAGUCUUACAUUUGCAUUCUUUGACAAUAAGUAGGUGUGUGCAUCUAGAAUAUGGUGCGUCAGAUACUACAAUAACAAAUGGGAAGCAAAGGAAUCGAUUGUGGAUUCAGAGACCUAAUAAGAAGCAAGAAACAAUUUGUGUUUGGAAUUGGUUUUCUUUAUUGAAUUCAGACAAGUUUCCAGGGAGUAGUAUGUGAAUAUAUUCACCUGCUUUGAAAUAUCAGCCCUGGAGUUGCGCAGUAGAUUCUGCACAAACAAAUUUCCAUCUGAAAAAAUAUGGAUUACAGCCAUAAGAUUCGAUUGAGUAAAGAUGCAAUGCUUCAUGAAGCUAACAAAACAACAAAAGGGGAAAAUAUUGAUUGACAAGUGAAACGUAGGGUCUUCAACAUCUCAAUCAACCGCGAAUUAGCGAACAAAACAGCUACCAGAAUUUCACCUUUCCGACAGACGGAGUUGGCUGUAUCGUGUUUCGGUAAACACUCAGCUCCUUUCCCGAGAGGAUGUUGACUAUGAUCGACUGGUUAUCGCCGGAAUUUGAACGGAAUCAGUUGGAAAUUGAUGAGUAUUGCAUGUCCAAGCAUUUGCCAAUGCCCAGAGGCCAACGACACUGACGUUUUGCACGGCCGGAGAUCCCCGGAGGUUCAAGGUGCCAGAAAAUGGGCCCUCAGCAGGCCACUAAAUAACUAAUUUGCGCUUAAAGGAUAGCCCAAGAAAUAUUGGGCUUCUACAGCUAGACAGUUCUUCCCAUACUUCUUAUUACCUAAGUUUAAUUUUUGUGACAAGGUGGUCACUUAUUGUAACAUUCCGGGUCGUGGUGAACUUAGGCCACGGUUUUUCGCUCCUCGACGUUCAAAGUCAGCCGGAAUUCGGAUUUGAGGCGAAAUCCAUCAGGUUUUGACAGUUCCUUACCUCUACAUUCGAAAUUUAACUGUUGAAAUUAGACGGAACUAAACCCCAUAAAUCUAUCAAAAUUAAAGUUUUAUCCGAUGAGGAUCUCCAAAUUAAGGCAUAUAUAUGAUAUAUUAUUGGGUGAUGAGAGGCCAUAGUAAAAGCUAUCGAUCAUGUUCCAAAAGUCGCAACCAAACUAUUACAAUAUUACUUCUUCUUCCUUCAUAUUUCCCCUCCCUAACAAAAAGGAUAUUCUAUUGACAGCUGAGAUAUAUUGGAUAUCUGUGAAGCCAAUUCAAUCGCCCCGCCAACCCACUCCUCCCCCCAACCCAAAAAAUUCACCUGCCAUGCACCUAAUCAAAACGACUCACCCUGCACCAACCACAACAGGGGAAAAUGUCGCCAUGGUUACCGUAAGAAACAAGUUAAUUUCACCAAGUUUGGUGAAACCAAACAGAUAAGACUUUGAAAUUAAACUGGUUCUUAUACUAACAUUAACGUUAGUGGUGGUUGUGGUGGAUGUACAAGCUGGCCUUCUAGGCGGUAGCUGCUGAUGUGGCGUUCUCUGCAUUCAACCAAAAUCACCUUCUUCCGUUAAAAAAAAAUUAACUAUUUACUUUGCUAAGUAAAGUAAUUACAUGGUAGUUUAAUAAUUUACCUGUAAUUUAGGUUGCAAGGUUUCCAUUGCUACUACCGUCGACGUCUCACUACUUGUCCCUGAUCCUUGCUGCUCCCAUGUUCAUGUAAGAAACACAUCAAAUCCAAUAUAUAGUUUGGGUUGGAUCCGUUCAAUCGGUUCGGUCAUCGAUGGGAUAGGUUAAGUCAGGGUGAUUGGUUGAGUUGAAUCUCAUAUGAAAUAGGUUAUAUGAUAGUGAGUAUAAAUUUAUUUUCUACUUUAUCCCUUCAUAUAUCGUAAUUUGAUUUAAUUUUCGAAACUCAAAACUCAAUUAUAUUAAUUAUACCAAAAAAAUUGGAAAUCCAUGUGUGAGCAUUUAAAAUAGGACGGCAGGCUUAUUUAUUUGAGGGGAAAAAAGGAAUUUGAUAGGGACCAUGCAUGUUAUAGAAAGUGGACCAAAUCUGGAGUUUGGCAUAGUAACUAAUAAACCAAUAAAUUUGUGGAAACUGAGUCUUUAUUAUUAUAAUAAUAAUAAUAAAUUACUUACCUUACAAAGAGCCCAAUCCGCCGAAUCGAAGAAUGCACGUUCAUUGUCCUGCAUAAUAUCACCAAUUUCCCAAUUCAGCACCACGUUUAACAUGUCAUUAAUUUAUUCUGAUUUCCGUUUAAUUGUCCCUUCAAUUUAAUUAGCAAUUAGUAUAGAAUCACCUUUGCAAUCAAUGGCUUCUUCUUUGGUGCAAGCCCACCGUACUUCUGUCCAACCUAGUAUUAAGUACCCACAUUUAAUCAGUACACGUAAUCAUCAUACCAUAAAUCAUAAGAUUAGAACGUGUUAACAAUUCAGUCCACUAUUCCAGCAAUUUAUUUAAUCGAACCGGACUUUGGUCGACUCGAGUUAGCAAUCAAUCAAAAUUAAAAUGGAAAUCGAGCACGUGAUUCGGAGCAAGUACAGAACGAAAACAACAAGGGAGUGUUUGUCUCUGUGUCUAAUCUGAAAGUUAAAUUUUCUUCCGAGGGUUUGGUACGCCGUACGCCACAAAAUGUCUGAGUUGCUCUGGUUCCCCAAUCCACCCGUUGGGGAUGGCAGGAUACACGUGUAUACACAGGCACCAAACAAGGCACUAGCAGCUUCUUUUUUGCUUUGCCACCGAGGACGUCGUAUCAACAACCUCAAAGGGCCCUACUUUACUAAUGAUAACAGGUGAUUAGUGACGGAAACUGGUUAGGUUGGGAAAUUGAGUUUGGUUGGUAAUUAUUACGACGAGGGGGCAGCGGUUACGCAACAAAAUGAAAAAACCCCACUUAAUUAGGCGAUUAGGUGUCCUAAUUAGGCCCUAAAGAAAUGUUCAAAUGUAUUCAGUUGAUGAGAGAGAAGAAAAAACAGAGUACCUGGAGGAGGUUUCCGCCGCAAUCCGCCAUGGCUCUGCUCCUGUGGAAGAAAAAAAACAGAGACAUACCGAAACAGAGUUAUGGAUAACAGAGAGAUGGAGAUAGACAGUAAAAGCGAAACGUAAAGGUGGGGCGGGGGGAUCAAAGUGAGUACGUUACAGACACAACGGAUAAAAAAAGAUGGUAUCUUUGUGAUGAAGAAGAAGCAGAGAGAGUGGGGGAGAAGCAGAGAUGGGUUUUGGAAUACCUGGUGGAGAAGAGAAGAGAGCUCCUUAAAAUUCGGGAGAGGGGGGGGGGGAUAAGGAUUCAGAGAGUGGGUUUUCAAUUGGCGACGAAGAGAUAUAUAUGAAGGGGAGGGGAAAAGAGCCGAUACAAAAUAGGGAAGAUAGAUUGGUUUGGCGAAAUAAAUGAAAAAAACAAGGGGAAACGAAUGAUAUUGUUCCAAGGACGGACCGACAAAAUUUGAGUGUCCAUUUUGAAAAUUGAUGAUUUGGUUAGACGGAGGGUUUGAACAACCUUUUUUACUGUAAUUGUUGUAUUUGUGUGGCAUUUAGAUACAUCCAUUCGGAAAAAGAAUAUUCUAAUUUCAACAUUUACGGUUGUCGGAUUCGUGGUUUAUAUUCAUACAUCUUAUAGUUAAUUACGGUUUUUUUUUUGAGAUUUGAACAAUUUGAAAAUUAUUAGUUUGAUGACCUCAAAUGGAUGUAGAAUGUUUAAAAAGUUUUGUUUUUUUUAUAACCAAUCAUUGUUGGCAGUAACUCAACUCCCAAAGUAAAUCUGUUUUCAUUUUGAAAGUUUCUUUUUGGAUCGUAAAUUUUAUCGUUUAGUGACGAUUAUAUAACUCCUAAAAUUGGAGGCAUGUGUCGAAGUAAUGUCUAUGAAAGUAAAUCUCUAUAUUAGAGUAUUGCUAACAAGAAAUGCUACUUUGAGUAUUUUGUUAAUUCAAACGCUCGAACUAUCUAAACUCCUAAAAGAAGAUUAUUAGCUAAAGGGAAAGCAAUUGAAGUAAUUAAUCAACAUGUAACCGGGUCAUCGACAUUAAGAGUCAUCUAUAUUUAACGUUUUUAAAAAAAAUAUCUUAACGUCGUUUUUUUCAUCAAAAUGUGCUAAGUCGCAAUUUUCGCAACUCGCCGUUGGCGUUUUCCGUUAGAAUCCGUCUACUUUACCACGCAGAUCUGCCACACAUACAUGUCACGCCAUCAUUAAUCCUAAUCAUUACUGAAUAUAUAAAAAAUUAUUUUUUUUUUAAUUUUGACGGUGAGUUGUGAAAAUUGCAAUUCAGACCAUUUUAAUGAAAAAUACAAUAUUAGGAUAUUUAAACAUAGAAAAUUCUUAAUGUGAAUAAACCACACGUAACCAGAUGUUUGAACAUUUUAAGAUCGUAAGAUACAGUGAUAUUGUAUUUAGGACACUGAUAUUAUAUAGAAGCGAGAAAAAUAGGAGGGGGUGGGUUGAAAGUGGAAGCAAUGUUGGGUAUGUGGCUGGUGGGCAAGGAAGGACUUGUGAAGCUACUAUUGUAAUUUGAAUUAUGGUUUCACUUCGCCAACACAAGCUACAUAAAAACAAAACAAACCACAACAGAGAAAUACUGUCUUUACAAAGGGGGUUUUGUUAAUUAUGACCCCUUCUCCAUUAUAAUACGUUUUAUUUUCAUAAAAAUAUGAAUAUUUGAAAUUUAAAUUGAGUGAACGGCUAAUACAAAUACAAUCUUUUAUGAUAAAUUACAUAAUGUAUAAUCUGAUAUUAAGUUGCUUAGAUAUCUCUCGUAGGAGAGCCGUGAAAUUCUAAUCGCCGCCACCAUAACACCACUGCCAACUCCACCACCGCGGUUGCUACCAAUCCAUUGUUUGCGCAAGCAACGAAAUCGCCUCGCCCUAUGUAGCCGACCGGAUAUGCACCACUGCAACACCCACCUAGCCCAAGCUCCGCUAUCAUCACCAACAAUCAAGCCAUCCGACACUCUCCAUGGUAGCCGUCCAUCCAAUACCACAUCCGCAAAAUCACCUAAGAAGCUAGGUCAGGGUUCCGCUUCUGCACCAUCAGUCGAUAUACUAAUGGGGACCGGUCUACCACACUCACCAGAUUGUGCCAACCAACUAAGAUCCUUUUACCUUUCUUGGUGGUUCCAAUAAGAAUGUACGUACAUCUAAUUUUUUUAGGUUUUUUUUUUCAAUAGUGAUAAUUUCGUGUUUGUUGUUUUGACUUUAUUUUUUUUUGUUUUCUUUUAUUUGAAACAUUUUUGAAUACCACAUCCUUUUGUCAUAUAUCAAUUAUAAAAAAAGAGGAUUGAAAUCUUCCUGCUUACACAUAUCCACAACUCAUACCACUAUGAUUUAUGGGGAUUACACAUUCUCUGUACAUUCUCCAAUUAUAAUUAUUUUGGGAGAUACUCUUUGGUUAAAAAAAAGAUGCAGGAAGGAAAAAUAGACAGAAUAUCCAGUUUGUGGUUAGAGUUCAAACUAUAGACAGUUUUACAUGGACCAAAAUGAGAUGGGCCCAUUUCCAUGCGUUCGGCCCUUUUCUUUCAUCUCUUGUACAAUAAUACAAAAGUUGACGUUGACUUGACUGUAAAAUCUAAAUUCCCACAUGCCUAACUAUUCAGGUCAUUUCAACUCAAGCGUGGUUGUUAUUAGCAAUUCUCAUGAAAGCAAUCAUCAUUCAUGAGAGACAAGACCAUAUAGCUGCUGCCAUUUGUUUCCUCUGCUAAAAUUUCCCUCCCUUUAAUGAUUCACGAAUAAUCUCAACUAUUUGGAUCUAUUCCCCACAGCCUUGGCUUCCUUUCAAUCAACUUGUCCACAACAUAUAGGAAUCGAAUCUCCCCACUCUUCGAGUUGAGCCAUAAUGUCUCAGCAAACUCUUCAAAACAAUCGAUUUCUGCAACUGGGUUUAGAAUAUGACAAGCAAGUAAACAGAACAAUCAAACCUUUCUUUUAAUCUCUAGUCCAUGAGUACAUCCUCUGUUUUCCUCGAGGCAACAACUUCAGGUUUGUUUCACAGUAGAAAACAAACAAACGACAAAAUAGUAAAGCAAAUCUUCGAAAUCCUUAUCUCACAGUUGCUUCCCUAUGAACAAAGAAACUGCAAACCCAGCAGAGGGAACCCUUAAAAGCUGGUCAUUCACUCACUCACUCCUUAUUGACCAAAUCAUUUUCAAUCUUAGUAUUCUAUUCUGUUUACCAAUCUUUGCCCCUGCCUCCUAUCUUACAUUUGCUAAGAGCAAAAGAAUCAGUUUCCAGUUUAACUUAUAAUGAUAAUAAUAAUAAUCAUCAUCAAUUCAUCAUCGUAAUCAUGCCUUGAUGAUCGCAUUGGAACCCAAUUGGAUCAAAACCGAAUGCUUGAGAUCACCGAUGUGAAGAUGAUGCUGACCGAACGGAAUCCUCCGGUGCCCGUACUGGUCAACUACGCUCAGGUGCUUACACACCCGGACAUUGACCCGAACCAGUUUGCUCGACCCGGCCACCAAAUUCACCUUCUCGAACCCGAUCAGCUGUUUGUUAGCCGACCACUUAUCACCCUCUGGCGGGCUGGAGAACACCAGGAGUGUGUGGAUUCCGUCCACGCUUCCGGUGUUCUUGACAUCCACUUCGAUAUCCAGGGACAUCGCGUGGCUUUCGCAGUCUGUGUGGAUGGUUCGGAUCGCAGCCGAGGAAGGUAGUGAAGAAGUGUUGCCCUGUUGUAGAGUUGUGAGACUUGUGGUGGAGAGUGGCACAUUCACUUGUUUCGGACCGUUGGAUAUUGCCACCCCGAAUCUGGCAUAUGUGAGUCCGUAGCCGAAUGGGUAAACCACGGGUCCCUUGUAGAACCGGUAGGUUCUUCCCGGGUAGCCUCUUCUAGGGUCGGGUCUCAUUCCCAUGUCCGUCAUUGGUACCUUGGAUAUGUAGUUUUGCGGGUACCAUGUCAUCGGCAACUUCCCAUCUGAAAGAUUAAUUAAACAAACAUAGAGUCAAAAAAGUAAUCAGUUUGUAGGACACUAAUAGUUAAGUGAUUAGUAUGUUAAAAAAGCUGGAUCUUACGUGGAUUGGUAGUUCCGAACAAUACAUCGGCGAUUGCAGUACCGCCGGCCUGACCCGGAUACCCGGCCCAUAUAAUAGCGCUUAUUCGUGGAUCGUUCUUUGCGAAUGUGACAUCAAUUGGGCUUCCGCUCAUAAGUACCAAAAUGGUUGGGCCUUUGGAAACUCGGGCCACUCUGGAGAUAAGCUCUUGUUGGUGACCUGGCAACAAGAGACCCGACCUAUCCCUAAACUCUGCUUCAAUGGAUUGGUCGAGUCCCAUUACCAGAACAGUAGCGUCCGCCUGCCGUGCAAUCAACUCCGCCGCGCUGAAUUGUUGGUUUCCGGCGCAGGUAACGUCGGAGCAUCCCGAUUGGUGAAACGUCCUUGCAUAUCUGGCGAUUCCUUGCAGGGGAGUCGUGUAGCCGCAAGCAACUCCGGCGUAAUUACCGAUCAUGGUGACGGUGACGUCUGAAUUGGGGCCGAUGACGGCGAUAGUGCGGUGGCGGGUUGUUGAAAGCGGCAACGCCUUGCCGCGGUUCUGAAGAAGGACGAUACCUUGUCGGGCUGCAUCGAGGGCCAGCUGGUUAUGGGCUGGAGUGCAGACGUCAGUUGGGCCCAAAUGCCCAAAAGGCUGGGCCGACGGUUCUCCGUCAAACAUACCCAAUCUCAUCUGGACAGUUAACGUGUUAGCCAACGCCAGGUUAACGUCUUCCUCGGUUAACAGCCCGCCUUUAACGGCGUUCUCCGUGUGGAUUGCCAAGAACGGGCCACAAUCCAAGUCCAACCCGGCUUUAAUGGUGGCUGCAGCGGCUUCUUCUGGGGUCUUGGUGAAAUGUUGGUUGUCGUAAAGAACCCCAACUGAGUCACAAUCCGAGACGAUGUACCUAUACAAAAUUUGUAGAAAUAUCAAUCAAACUAUCGAGUUAACGAAACAGAAUCGUCCAUUGGUGUAUGUACUAUACGAUCAACCGACCCGUUAAGGUGCCAUUGGCCGCGGAUGGUGCCCUUGAGGAGGUCAGGGUCAGCGCAAGUGGGCUUGCCGUUGACUUGAUUGUAGGAGCACAUAACACUAGCAACAUUGCCUUCCAUCACGCAGGCCUUAAACGGCACGUCGUAUGUAUCCGCCAAAUCUUGCUUGCUCACCUAAUGAAUUAAAUAAUGGAACAACCAAAGAAUAGAUGACAGGUCAGAACGCAGAGUUAUAACGUGAUUGGGAAUCAUAUCAUAUAUUAGUUAUUUAAUUAAACUAUCAAUUUAAUUAAGAUAAGGCGGUUGUGAUUAAGACAUGGGAAAAAAGAAGUGUCGAUAAUGGAAGGAACUUUAUUUUCACUUGGUUAUGUCCCGACAAGAGGCAUUUGGUUGGGAUUAUCAAGGAAUCAUUGGAAAAGAAUUGUCCACGUAAAAAAGUAGGGUCCAUAUUAUAUGCCAUAUUGUGAGUAUUAUUUCCUCGUCUUGUGUCUACAUCAAUACAGUUACAAUAGGAAAGAAUAACCUCUGUUUUCUCACUAAUCCACCAAAUCAAACCUUAUCCAAAAUAAGGAUCAACGUAAUUUUGAACUCAGAUCAAUCGGGACCAUAUGCUAUGUUUUGGGCAAGUGUACAGCCCCACCAAAUGAGUUCCAGCUGGCCAGCUAUGCCAAAUAAUAAUUCAUCCAUUUGUCACUUUCAUAAUUUUUGUAACUAAGCUCAAAGUGGCAAGCCAUUUAGAAUCGGGCUAGCUAGUGGGUGAAAGACGUGGUGUUUAGUAAUUACCUGGGCAUUGAAAUGGUAACGAUCCACGCCGUUCCAGUUAUCGAGAUCGUAAGCGGUGUAGUGCUUGCAGCAGGCGGCCACUUUGAGCCUGUUCCCUGACACACUUUGGAGUCCUUUGACGUAGCUGGCAGCGUACUUUCCGGCGAGGUAUGGGUCCUCUCCGGGAGUCUCUUGGCCUCUCCCCCACCGUGGGUCCCUGAAUAUGUUCACGUUCGGGCUCCAAAAUGUCAGCCCUGCCGCCCCUCCGUUGUACAUCGCCCUCGCCUCGUCCGACACCACCUGCGUCACUCAAGUAUCCGGAUUAAUUAGUAACCUUUUCCAAUAUCAAACUAUAUAUAAUAUACUAAUUUUUGUGCUUUAUAAAAUUGAUUGAUUAUGUUGGACCUUAUCCGAUUCGACGAAUUAGACUUAGACAUCAAGUGUGUUUAACAACUAAAUUGACAAAAAAAAGUCGAUGACUGAUGGUUACAUGAACGGAUGAAGGUAAUCAACGCAAGCAACUUCAAUUCAAAUGUGUCCAUUUCUUUGUAACCAUGCAAGAAAAAUCAAAAGGUUAAGGUGGAAAAUAUAAUAAAAUUAAAAAAUUAAAAGUAAUCCCCGGCCCCGGGUAUCUUUUCGGUUGGAAAAGUUUAGGGAAUUGGGUAAUUGUCAUGAGAGUUGUAUGUGGGCCCAAUGGACUGGAUCCGUAACACAAUUGGGCACGUAAAUGGUUCAAGGGUGGUUAGCAAUCAACAAUCUAAUUUAGUACAUUUAGAUUGAUUAAACACAAUUCUCUAUGGUACAAUCACAUCAUUAACGCCGAUUAAUUAGUUUCUGAAACAAACUAGAAAAAGCUACAAUUCUGUGAUGCAAUCCUAGCUAGAUCAAUUACUGCCCUUAAUUACUGAUUUGGACUCACAAACUAAUUGGUUGUUGGGCCGGUGAAAACUAUAGUAAAAGAUAUAUAAGUGUACGACAUCAGCAGUAAUAAAAAAGAACAAGACAGUAACUUUUAAGGUAGUAUANNNNNNNUCCCCCCCCCCCCAUGCCGAUGAUGCCACCCAAAAACUUAACCCACACACUCACCCAUCAUUAUACCCAUCCGUGACUCAAACUCAAAACCGAAAUUCAAAAGUUAAUAUUUAUACGUACCCGGCCGAUUUGCUCCCAAAGGGUGGAGUUGAAGGAAGCGGCGGGGGGGGGGGGAAGAGGGGAGCGGGAGGGAGGGGGGGGGGGGAACCGGCAACAUGACAGCAGNNNNNNNNNNNNNNNNNNNNNNNNNNNNNNNNNNNNAGAGCCUCCGACCACCACUCGUAGCCUUGAAUCCCGAGCCUGGGAACCGCCGCAGCAUUGUUGACAAGCAGCCUGAUCUUCUCCUGCAAUGUCAGCCGUCCGAUCAAGUCCCUCACCCUGAUGUGCAACGGCACCCGAACCCUGCAGAACUUCAGGCUCCGGGUUCCGGGGCUACGAGGGUCGCAGGCGAACGGCACCCUAGACUCCGACGAAUGAAUGAGGAGGAAGAAGAACAGGAAGAGGAAGGGUAGUGUCGUUUUGGUCUGAGCCAUUGUGUUGUAGUGUCGUUUUUGGGUUUGUGGGUAGUGAUAGUGUGGGAGAGUAUUUAUAGGGAGUGGGAGGAGAGGAGAAAUGGAGAUGAAUAUAAGGUUGCGUUUGGAUUGGCGAUGGAGGAAAAGUCAUGUUUGUUUUGAUGAUUGGGUUUCCACGUCAAUAUUGUUAGCCCAUCAAAAAGCUUCACACUAGAUAAGUGACUAUGUUUUUAGAUUGGUCAGUAGAGCACGCAUUUCGCACUUAUUUUUUAUAAAAAACAAAAUUCAGAAACUAAAAUUAAAAAUAAGAAUUGCCCAUAACCAAGCACGAUUUUGAACACUAUCAAAUCAUAUAUUUCUGAUUCAUUAUGUCUUCUACAGAUAGUAGUUUGGAAUACAAUAAGGUGGUAACGAAUUUUGAUAUAAUUUUUAAAAAAAACUUCUCCUAAUAAUUUGAAUUAUUAAAAUUUAAUAUAUAGUGCAUUUUCUAGCGAGCGACCAGGACCUACGGACUUAAGGAGUAGUGAUAGUGGAUAAAAAAUGGGGUCACGGACCACUGAGAAUCUGUUUCCAGUCAGCUGGUGGAAAUAUUGAGAUCUAAAUAAUUAUUGGUAUGGUAUUUAUUUUACUUAUUUUUUGGCUUCACGUUCCACCCACUCUGAAAUGAAUUUGUACAUAUGCACAUUUCAAGUAUUCUCUCCUAGUUGUUAGCUAGGCCCAUUAAACAACGAGGCAUCCGGCAUCCCCCUAAGAAAACAGCGACCAUGCUGUGUUAGCUUUUUGUUUUCUAUCCAAUCCAUAAUUCUUUUUUAUCGUUGUGUGUUCAAAUCUUUAAACGAUCAUAUACUCGACUUUUCAUGAUUCCAAUAUUAAAAGUUGGUUUAAACACAAUGUAUGAUGGACAUGUGCAAACUUCAACUUCAUGAGUUGAUUUUCGUUUGAGGGGGUGUGUAAAAAAAUGAUAUGUCAUAAUAGAUUGUAUAUCAUUCACGCUCCGACUAUGAAAGUUCAAUAAUAUAUAUAAUUCGAUCGGAUCAUAAAUUCCUAAACCCAUGUUUAGCUAAUCAUAUAUUUACCUUGGUAAGAGUUCACGCUUGCAUGCACGUGAGAUUAGAUGCACGGUAACAAUAAAAAUUGAAGAUAAUCUCGUGACUGUCGUCGCUCUGUGAAUUUCUUUUCCCGCCCGCCACAGAGUAAACGGAUAUCUUUUUUGACUUUUUUUUUAAUUUUGUCCUACUGACAAGUCGGACAUCAACUUGUGUUCUUCUUACAGUCUUGUGACUCGAGUACUGAAUCACUGAUCAUACCCAAUAUUUACGGUGUACCACUGUACUCUGCCUGGUAAUUAAUAUGUUAAUGGAACUUGAAUUCCAAUCACAAUUUUUUUAUGAGGUGGACAUUGGCCUUCGAGAUCAAAUCCUUACAUAUAAAGAUAGAUUCAAAACGAUUGAAUAUACCGGAUUAAAUUAUAUAAAAAUGAAAAACAUUAUACAUACAAAUAUUAGAAUUAUAGACUCAACAAUUCAGUAUUAUGAUACAUUAGUGAUCGAUUUCCAGUCCAAUGGUACAUUUUCGAGUCAUUAGACUGUGGGAACCAAUCAACCGUAAAAAAAAAUUAAUUAGAUUAUAUAAACUAAGUAUCAAACGUGUCUGCAUGCAAUCAUGUACUUAAUUAGUGAUGAUAAAGCGAUUGGUUUCUAAUUUUUUAUUGGUUUUGAGUAGUAAGACACAUCACUUAGCCCUUUUUUUUAUAUCUGAACACAUCAUUGAGCUUUUCAAUUACUUGGUGACUACUAUGUGGAAAAAGUCGCCAUAAUUAUAUACGUUUAAUCAAGCAUCUAAUUAGUAAUUAACAACCAAACGCAAGAAAUUAUGGGAAUUUGAUUAUGCUGUGGAGGAAUCAAUCAGUUAAGGGAAGAAAUUAAAUUAAAGCCGGUACCGAAUUUGUGAUGUUACACCACAACCACAUAGAACAUUAUUAUUUUUCUAAUGGCCGAAUGAAAUUCGUUACAUUUUUUUAUCGCACGGAAAAAGUGUUCAUUACGGGUUGAAAAAUUACGUUAAUUUGAGCACAACAGAUCCAUAAUUAAUCAUCUUCCAACAAUUUGAGUUAUUGGAAUGUAACAGUUUAUGUACCAAGUAUCAGGUCCUAAUUUGAGUAAAUGGUCGUGAAUUCGAAUUUCCACAAACCCCAACAUCAACAGUUCAUUUAAACACAAAGUAGUGGGCAUGUGCAAACUUCAAUAUCGUAAGUUGGAUUUUAUUUGAAAUAUUUGGAAAGCAAGAAAUGAAGUGGCCUUCCACAAUAUUCUUCUGAUGUCCAAAUCUUGGACUGCUGAUAACUGUAUAUUUGGUAAAAGAUUUUCAAUUUCUUCAUGGGUCUAUAUAUGUACCCCAACCAUGUCGCUUUAUCGACUUCUCAUACGCAGCUUCUCCACUGCCUCUAAUGCAUAACCAGUGGACAACUUUUUGUGACAUGUACUUUCUUAAAUAUUUGGUCACACUUCUUUCGGUAAGAUCGCAUCGUUCUUUCCUCGAAUUGCUUCGUCUUGAGAUGGAAUAGUUGAGAACAACUUAAUUCAUAUACCCAAUUCGUUAUUGUAGGUGACAAUGGAGGUCACCUAUAUUGACAAGUUAUCUCAAUGAUAUAUUUCAUCGUUGUACCAUUUUCUAUGACCAAAAGAGUGGAAGUUUGGGAUAGCACAAGUGAAUCUGGUUGUCUGUUUCAAAAGGAUGAUAGACAUGAUGACAUUACUACAUCAUGGCCAUGGGGGUGGGGGAGGAUCAAGUUGAUGUUCCUUAAUUGUAACGAACACAGCCUUUUCGAUCCCCACUUCUCCUAACUUCUGUCCAAUUCGUGGAAUAUAGCUACCACCUACCUAUAUAUGUCGUCAUGAUCUUAUAUAUCAUCAUUCCACCACCUGAAUCCCUAAUUAUUAUUUUAUUUUAUCCUCUUGGGUUAAUAACAUAAAUGAUAUUUGCUUUAUUAAAAUUGUACAUUUUGAUAUUUUACUUGUCAAAAUGGUAAAAGGUAUGCGCCGGAUGUCAAGACGGUGAAAAAAUUAUUUACUAAGUAAUUAAUAUAAAUAAGAAAUAUUUAUAUUAUUUUGCUGUCUGAGAUAGGUGAUUGGGAUGCUAUGUAAGCGGUUAAUGGAAAAAAAAUACGAAAACUAGUUAGAUAGAAAGAUCAUAAAAUUAUGUCUAAUAAGUUAAGUAUGAAUUGAUUACAAUUGAUAAGUAAAAUAUUAAAAUAUAUUGUUUUAAUGUGUAAGCUACCAUGUUUAUAUAUAAAAAAAUGUAUAACCUACCAUUUAUGUGUUAGUUCCUCAUAUAUAUAAAAAUCGUUGUAUUUUAAAAAUUUGAAUUAUUGAGAGGAGAUUUUAAUUGGUAUUUAUAUUAUUCACUAACAACCAUGACCUAUACUGAAAUGCCAGGAUCUCACAAAUUUAUGCCAUAUCGUGGAAUAUUAAGGAGAUGUCCGAGAUCCUAUAAUUUCGCUAUAGGUCAUUCCGCAUUUAACUACGGGACCAUCAAUUACAUACUAGCUAGCUAGCUUUAUUUAGGCUUUAGCGUAGCUACCAAAUAUGUAACCGUGCACUUUCUGAUGGAUCAAUUGAAACUUAAAUCAUUGUUCUUGUCUUUUUUUAGUUUUUGUUUUACCUUUUUCUAAAUACUUGACCUACUACUGCUAGUGAUUAUACAAACUUAAUAAUUUAUUUGUUCAUGCAUGCUUUUAAUAAAUCAUUGUUGUCUAUGUGAGAUCCGGGGAGAAACAUAAUAUAUGAUGAUCAAUUUAUGCAAUUGGGACAACGAACGAAACCGUAAACCCUAACUCGCAUGCACCAACAAAUCAAACGAAAGCUUCAAGCAAGAGCACAAGGAAUUGGUGACGCAAUUUGGAAAAUUCAUACUCUACAAAGUAUCAAGAGGAGGAGAGACUCAACCCAAAGUAUAACACGAGAACGGUAGAACCCACGCAUGGGAGGUCUUGAAGCGGCAUGAAAAGCUUCAACAACGAUCCGAUCAGGCGAUACAAGCACCGUCAUUCACAAACUCUAACGGCAAUUCAGAGCUUGCUACCUCUCGGGGAAGAUCGUACGCAUAGUUCGCUCGUACAAGAGAAGCUAGUGGCUUCUAUAUCAAGGGAAAGUAGGUAAGCGCGACAGCGGUUUCGAGUGUGUAUAGCUCGAAUUGGGCUUCGGUCGGUCUGACCAAACCGACCGAGACAGGAAACCAGGCAGCCGGGCCCGGGUCAUCUAGCAGCACACCAAAUUAAGAGUGAUUUAUGACAGGUGUAUACAAGUUGAUGGCAUUGAGUAACAUAAUUACAUCCUUGUGAAGACAUGAAGAUACAUGAGUGAGGUGGUUCGUACGUGUCUUGGUUAAUUUCAUUUUCAUAGUUUCCCCACGUCCAAAAUCAUUGUUUGGAUUUUUCUGGCUAUAGUAUUUGGAUUAGGGUUAUAUAUAUAUAUAUAGCUAGGUUCCGUGUCAACCCAAAACGUAUUGAAAAAAUUGAUGCCGAUUUUAUCUUCUGCCUCAUUAAGGAGUCUACUAAAGUAUACUACUACAAUAAGGAACUGUCACUAUUCUCUCAACUUGAUUAACCGUACCCUUGGCAACUCAUGAUUCAUUCCAUGAUCGGUUUUAUUUACAUAUAAAUAACUCCUUGACGGGCACACCAUUUAUUGAUGUGGCCGUCAGGUAAACUUCGAAGCUCUCGGCCAUUAGUCCAGGUGAAACCGGUAAUACCAUCACAGGGGUGUUGAAAUGAUUGUGCAUUUCGAGUUUCGAAUCCAAAAUCUCAGGGAAUGAAGUUAGGAUUAUAGUUACAAAUACAAGUGGGCCUCCCCAGUCCCCUUCCCAACCCAUUUUUGGAUUUUGAACUUCAAUACUAUGUAAUUCUCCUCAUAUUUAUUGGCUGGUUAAUGUGGCUCAGUGUAUCUUAAUAUCUGUACUAUUCGGCUUAGUAUAUUGUACCAUUAUGGAUCCGCCGUUGAGUCAGAUGCUACGUACAAUCACUCGACUACAACUUGUUUGACUGAUCAAGGUUAUUUAGUACCCUAUCUAUCCACAAACAUAUAUUCCUGAUCUGUCUAAAUUAUGAAUUAGACUGCUUUUUUUAGAACGUUUGUGGCACUGUCUCGUAAUCGUGCACAACAAACUAUAAACAAAUCAGCUGCAAAAUAUAACAACUAACUCUCAAUUCUCCUUGUUUGUCGAAAAACAUAGAAAUCUCUGGAAAAACGAUCUCAAAUUAUUUCUGCCGAAUUAUAACACUCCAUAUCUGAACACAAUAACAUCGAUCCACAUGAGUGGUGUGAUCUGAAUCAACCAAACUUGAGGUGAUGAGUUGGGUUACGUUUUGAUAGUUACAAAUGAAAUGCAUCAUUCUGGACAGGGAAAUUAAAGGAAAGCGUCAUGGGAAGUUUGCGUCUGCUUGAGGACUUAGCCAACAAAAAUUAUCCUCAUUGGAUAUCUUCUUCAAUUUAUCGUUACGCAACAACAACAUCUUUCAACAAACUUAACUUACCCGCUUUAUAUAUCCACUUGAGUUCAUAUAUAACAAGAUGGUUUUAGGCAUAUCCGUUCAUACUUUUAAUGUUGAGAAUAUCGAUACCUUUUAAAGUACCAAAACGUUCCUCAACUCUCGAAAUUGAACCACCACCCUUAUUAUAGUACCUAACUACUUACAGUGUUGAUGAUGUGCACAAUUUCGCUGUCAGGAAUUAUGCUCAUUCCCCCUUCAAAUCAUAUACUUGUGAAAACAAAAGAGAAGAUACCUAGCUAUCAAAGAGAUAAAUAAUAAAUCAAUUGAAGAAAAUAGAAGUGGAUGAAUGAUGGGUGACGUGGCGAAGAGAGACAGGCCCAAGUUGGCCUAACUGGAUCAUAAAUAAGAUGGACCCACCACUCCCCUUGCGAUAUAUCUUCUCUUAUAUUGAAUGAAUGAACCAAAAUUCUUAUCUGUCAAGUCUUGAAAUUAAAUAAAAUAAGAUUGAUCGUGCAUGGUCAUGAGACGUAACUCGCCACAUACAUAUCUGGAGCGAUAAUAUAGAUGGAGAUGGAAAUGUUGUUUAUUUAAUAAUAUCGAAAAUCUCAUUUCUUCAAAAUAAUAAUAUUUGUACAUAUAUAUAUAUAACGGCUGCAAAAGGGAAGGACAGAUAUAGAUGAUGGGGUGUUUGGAGUGUUCGGAUGUAACUACGUAACAUUCUUAUCCUUAGAAAACAACUGUAUCCAUGGAUGAAAUCAAGCUCCAUUUCAAUGGAUUAGAUAAGCUUUGCCAUCAAAGCAGCACUAUCAUCUAUUUCCAAAUGCCAAUAUAAUUGGUCGCGAAUUAUGUGUUGAAUUAUUAUUCAUUUAUCGAAUCUUAGGUAUUAUGUUCUUC
rnacentral:lncRNA from 1 species